UGUAGUGGUUAUAAAACUUUAUUUCUUGUUAUACUCAUGAUACACUCAUAAAUCACAGCUUAUAAUGAUUCGGGUGGGAUACAAAAACAAAAACCUUUAGGACAGAUUUGUUUGUUUUCAUUUUUACAACAAAAUCCAUUUUUAGAUGGACAAUCCCUCACACAAUCAGAAUCUUGGGUGCAACGAAUUGGUAACCCUCCAGUGUAGGCUUCAGCACUUGGUAACUCAAAGAUUGUGGUGCCUUGCAAAUUGAGAUCAAUAAUUCAUGAUUAUAGAGAAAUGAAAUAAAAAGCGAAAUGUGUUAGUAAUUAGCAAAAAAAUAUACAAAGAGAGAGAGAUAUUUGGGACAUUGACUAACCAUAUGCAGCGAUCAUGAGAACGACCAAGAAAGUUAGUUUAAACGAGACUUUCUCCAUUUGCUGUAAGAAAAAGAUUAUGCAGGAUGUUUCUUUGAGUGGGAAAAAAAAAUCUAAAAAAAUUGUAUGCAAGAACUUUGUUCUUCACCUAAUAGUUAUAGAGAUGUAAUAUACAAAUGGUAAAAUGGCACACCCAACUUCUAAGUUAUUUUAUAGAAAAAUCACAACAAAUCAAAUAAACUUGCAACCAAUUAAUAUUCAAAUCAUUAAACCUAGCCCAAUAGGAAACAAUAAAAAAAGGAAAAAAAUAAUUUUUUUCAUUUUUUUUCCAGCUUCGCAUUAACAGCGCAGACACAUUUUCCGUUGUUGAUAAAAUCUCCAUCCAUCUUAGUUCAUAAAUUUAAUUGCAUCAUUACAAUCUCUCAAUCAACAUCUACACAGUACAUGUAAGUUGAUGAUCCCACUAUUAAUUCCAUUUCACGUUGAUUAGGGUAAAAAAAAAAAAGGAAGUUUUCUUGUAUUCAUGUAAUUUCUAUAAUCUCUUAAAAAUACCAUAUAAAGUAGGUCUAUUUUGCUAUUAACUAAAUAUCCCAGAUUUUGUAUUAUUGAAUCCAUUUAUUGCCUUAAGGCUAUAUAUAUGUAUAUUUUUUAACUUUGCUUUGAACUCAUCUCGUGCCAUUGAGUUUUUGACUUUCUUCUGUUUAUUGCUACCAUUUUUAAAUAAAAAAAUUGAUUCAAUCGAUGGACUUAUUAAUAAUUGAUCAACUUAAUUUCAUUUAAUUGAUCAACCUAGUUUUCUUUCAUUAACGUUUUAUAGCAUGAUUCAUUCGUGAUAUAUAUUUACAACAUUUUUUUUUAUGUGUCCUUUGCUUCAAUUCACUCAUAAUAAAUCUUAAAACCAUUAACGACCAUCGUGAUUUAACUAUAAUAGUCUGAAAACAAUUUGAAAAAAAAAAUAACUCUAUGGAUAAUUCAAUUUUAAGUGUAUUAUCAGACAAAUCAUUGCACUAACAAUUUCGAUUGUUUGCUUGCAAAAGUAAAAUAUGCAUUUGUAUAUCUGGUUUUGCAAUAAGAAAAAAUGUCAAAAGGUACCCCAAUUUUUUCUUUCAAGUUUCAAGUUAAUUAUAUGGUUGCUAAGUGAAUUAAAAAAGUAACCUCAUUGGCCUCUCUUAUAAUAUGGAUGUCUUUUGAAUUAUCUUAAUUUAGAAUUUAUUGACAUACACUAAUUGAUAAUUAACUUUUUUGUUCUCAUCAGUGAUCUUCUUCUUUAUGCUUCACCAAUGGUGACAACAUUUUAAAUCAAUGAGAUAUUCAUUAUAUUAGCAGAAAUUACGAGGGAUCUUAACGAGAAUAUUAGAAUAACCCCAAAAUAAUAAAAAAAGGAUGAUUGUGGCUUGAAGACUGGUUCUCGCCACAAGUUGGGCUGGUUUAUGCUCAGUCCACGGCCAUAACAUCCUAGGAAAAGUUGAAUAAAUAAUAUUUUGUGAGUUCUUGAUGGAGCGAUGGUAGCGGAAGUAAAAUUGAUUGGGUAAGAAAAAACGAAAGUGGAGUUGAUAGGAUAGAAAACACUAAAUAUCAUUCUAAUACUUGACUAAGCCAACGCGAUUAGGUUACGCUUUAAUCAAAGCAUGAUUAGAUAUCAUUUUAAUCCAAACGACUCAAUAAGAUUUUUAAUAACGCUUAAAGCGAGAUUAUAUGAUGCUUUAAUCCAAACAACUCUACAAGAGAGAUUUUGAUAGAUAAUUCCAGAGGAAAUUAUAAAAGAGGAAAUUUUAUUAAAUAAUUGAAUAUGAAGUUAUGAAAAUAAUAACAAGACCUCUCUAUUUAUAAUAGAGUAAAUUCACUUCCCUAAGUUAACUUACAAAAAAGGGAAACUGAAUCGCAAUUAUAAUGGAAAUAAAAUAUACUUUCCCUAAGUUAACUAAAUCCCAUGCCUUAAUUGACUCUAAUAAAAAUAGAAAGUUCUAAAGUAAUAAAAUACCAUAAUUGACUCUAACUAAAAUAGAAAUCCUAAAAUAAUGAAAUUCUAAAAUCUUAAAAUUUCUAAAAUAACGUCCUACAUUAGUUCUAGUUGAUAUUGUUAAUUUUGCAGAAAAAUAUUUUUUAGAGAAAUUUUUAACCUACCCCCAAAUAAAUUGACAUUUUGCACCGCGUUCCCAAAAAAUUUGACUUAUUGCACCGCACCCCCAAUUCCAUUAUUUUCUCAGUUAAGUGUAACGGUGGAGGGGUAAAAUUGGAAGUUCAUUCCUUAAAUUAAUUUUAAUGGGAAUUCUCUUUAUUGCAAUUGAAAUAAAAAUCUAUAAAAAAUUAAAGGAAAAAUAAUAGUGGUGACAAUGUACAUGUAACAAGAAAUUUUUUUUAUUGCAAUUGAAAUAAAAAUCUUAAAAAAAUAAAAAUCUUAAAAGAAUUAAAGGGAAAAUAAUAGUGGUGACAAAUGUACAUGUAACAAGAAAUUUUUUUUAUUGCAAUUGAAAUAAAAAUCUUUAAAAAAUUAAAGGAAAAAUAAUAGUGGUGACAAUGUACAUUUAACAAGAAAUUUUUUUAUUGCAAUUGAAAUAAAAACCUUAAAAAAAUUAAAUGAGCUAAAAAUUUUGUUUUUUUUCAUAUAGAGGGGCAUUUUUGUCAUUCAAUCAAAAGUUAGACGGAGCCAUUAGAAAUAACUGAAAAAUUAACGGAAUUGGGGGCGCGGUGCAACACGUCAUUUUUUUUGGGUGCGCGAUGCAAAAUGUCAAUUUAUUUGGGGGUUGGUUAAAAAUUUCCCUAUUUUUUAAGAUAUUAAAAUUCUUCAUAAAUCUUUUAUAGACCUUUCCUCAUUUAGGCCUUCUCGAAAAGCUCGAACUUACAAUCAAACUUUUGCCCCAUUAUAUGACAUAUGUUAGUAAAAUUUAUUUUUACAAAUGAUAAUUCUAUUCACCCCUUUCUUUAUAUUUUGUAAAAGAUCUAAAAUUUUACUCCCAUACUUACGGAAAAAUUCAAACCUUCUAAUGAUAGGCGAUGGUGAUGAUGAGAGAGAAAGAAAAAUAAAAUAAAAAUAAUUAAUAAUAUAAAAUUUUUUAAUUAUAGUAAUUUUAAAAAUAAACAUUUAAUACCCAUAACUAAGACAUCUUUGAGUUGAGUUGGGACCCCAGACAUGGUCAUAGCAGGUAUGAAACCUUUUCAAUUGUUCGGUUCCUUAGUUAGCUCCUCAAACUUCAGAAAGUAUACAUUUCCGAGGAGGUGUCUUCACCUAAAACCAAAUCAACUUAUUUGAGCUCAACAAAAGUGUGCAUCUCCCUCUAAGUAACAUAUAUUUAUAUGGUCUCAACAUACACCUAAUAUUGAAAUUCUUUUCAAAAGCAUCACUUCAUUCGAUGAAAAGCACAUUGGCCAUAGUAUUUGCCGUCUUUUACUAAGCGGGUACCAUCAAGAUCAACCACUACACCACUUUUUAUGCUACUUGAAAGAUGAUUAUAAAUAUUUUAGAGUUCCACAAACUCUAUAAUAUAGAAAUUUAAAUCAGUGCACUACACAUAAAUUUCGUACAGAAAGAAGAUUCAAACAUCUUUAUAAACACAAACUCUCAAGAUGUUUUAGAGUUAAACAAAACUACCAUUUCAUGCCUAGAAAAAAUUUAACAAUUUUUCCCACCAGAGUGGUUAAUACUCAAUACGGAUUUGCUUCAAGUCACCGGAGAGGCUUUUAGAGCAAAUGCAACAAUUUUGGGUUCUAAAAUUUUGCUCUUUAAAGCGUUAUUUUGGCUCAGUGUUUCAAUUAUCAAGAAGAGGUACAAAGAUCAAUGGCUCCUACUAUCCUAGUUUUAGCUUAAUAUUUAUCUCUCAUUUUAAUAAAUAUGGUUGUUUCUUAAAAAUUUAAUUAAGAUCAUUGGCUUUGAGUUACUACUAUAGGAUUCCGAAAAUGAUCAGCAGCCUAUUUCUUCUUCAUCUUCAAAAUCACCCAAAAAACCAAAGUUUGUUCAAAUUUAAAUGUCCCUGCUAUAUUAGUGCUAACGUUUGUCUCAAAAUUGUGCUCGAUUAAUCCUUGACUUCAAAAGGAACAACGAUCUUUUCCUAUUCAUAGUUCCUUUUUUUUUUAACUCAUAUUUUAAUGAUUGGGUAAAAUUGAGUUUUAAAUUUUAAUGUUGAUAAUCAAGCCAGCUUUUUUUUUAUUUACGACUAAGCCAACUUUUUUUAAUUAGAUUUGAAAAAUUAGGAGAGUUUAGGACAGAAAAAAUAAAUUAAGUGAGAAUCCUAAUCCAACUUGGAGACUCAUGUUCAUAAUUGUAGAGAUUGUUCUGCUGCCUUCCACGUAGAAAAAUAUUUACUUGGAUUGAGGCUAGGGAUUUUUUUUCUUCUUAAAAUAUCUUUUAUUUAUUUAUUUUUUAAUCAUAAGUUUGUAAGCAACAUAUAUAAAUCACAUUGGUGUUGGCGUUUGAACAAGUCAUCUUUAGUUUAAAAUUAUAAUAUGAACCGAUAUCUAAAGGUCCUGCUUCUAAAUCAAAUAAAAGCUUAUCCAUAAUUAACCCCCGGCGAUGCCCAAAAACUAUAUGAACAAAUGAUUAUACAAGCAAGUUACUGCAUAAUUAUAUUUCUUAUUCGUGGAUAGCACUUGUAAUAAUUCAACUUGAUUUUCUUUCAAUGACGAUUAUAGCAUGAUUCAGUCAUUCUAUUCACGAUAAAUUUUUAUUUUUUUCGUGUCCUUUUGUACCUUGGCACCAAAGCACAAAGUACAAGGGGCAAUUGUUCCAUAUGAACUUCAUCACCGGCAUGGUUAACAGUAACAUGGCCCAAUAAGCAAGCCCAAGUGCAAAAGGACCAAAGGGAAGCCCAAUAUUAUUUCAGCUCUUAACACUAGGAAAUCAAGCAAGACUCAAUAAAAACACAUUUAUUAAAUAUUAUUUUUUAUUUUAAUUUCUCAAAAGAAUUGAUAACAAAUAGCUAGGUUGAGGAGUAUAUGUGAAUUAAAAAAAACCAUAAUAAUAAUUAUCUUCGUAAAUUUACUGAUAACAUUUUCUAAUUGAAUAAGGGUAUUUUCUAAUUGCUAUUCGGCUUGCACAAUUAUCUUCAACACUUGGUAGGCUUGGUUGCUUGGUCGUUUUGAUUUGUAGACUUGUAAUGGAUUCAGAGAUUUUUGUUCUUUGAAUAGAGGGGUGUUCCUUUCGGGGAAAAAGGGAAAAAAGAAAAAAAGAAAAAAAAGAGCGAUUUUGGCUAAGCAAGGUUGGUGAUUGGUCUUUGAACAUUCUUUGGUAGUUCGGGUGUUGAAAGCUCGAUACUUUAAACACAGUUCUGUUCUUACUGCAAAGCAUGGUCAUAACUGGUGAAGUCUUCUAUGGGGGCAUGGCGUUCUUGAACGAGGUAUUUGGUGAAAUAUUGAGUGUGGGUCACGCAACUCACAAGUGGAUGUCUAUCACGGCAAUUGGAUUCCACUGCUCAAAUAUUUUCGCGCAGUCUCUAGUGCUUCGUUUUGAUACAAAAGUGUCUCCUUGUGCCGAUGGAUGGUAAUCGUAGGAAUGAUUCUUUGUUGCGGAGUAUUUUGUGCCGAUGGAUGUUGAAUACAUUUUUUGAAUUCAUUUGCCUAGUACUCCAACGGCUAAUGAGGUGUUACGACAUUUUGCGAAGGAUGGCAUUUAUACUGUUAAAUAAGGGUGUCUUAUGUCUUUGGCUUGGGAGAAUAUGGAUGUUGCGAAAAGUUCUAGUAGUUCUUCAAGGGAUCGGAAUAAGAUCUAGCGUUUAAAUGUUCUUUGGAAGGCCAAAUUCUUUUUGUGGCAGGGUUACAUAGUUCUGUUUCAUUUAGUUAACGGCUAUUUGAAUUGAAGAAAGGGUUUGAUGAAUACAAACAUAGGACAGUGCAGAGAUCGAAACCAAACUUUAUGUUAGUGUAAGGUGCCCAAAAUCUUUUGCAUCGCUGCACUGCUUAAUUCAAAAUGUUCUUACAAAUGCCUUUGGCGGUCGGUCACAAUUUAAUAUAUUACCCAAUGGUGUUAUGUGUCAAACUCUAUUUUGAGAUUUUUGUGUUGAACUAUUCUUCUAUGGAUAUUUGGCAAAUGGUUUUGAAGGUUUUUGACACUUUUGGAGGACUGAUCUUGAAUUCUUAUGUCAAUUGUCAUGCUUUAUAUGGGUUGAGUAGUUCUCUAGGAAUAGAUAUCAAUUGUCUCUCUCUCUCUCACACACACACACACAAAUACACGCACACGCUUAUAUUUGCAAUGUUGUAAAUAUUUUACAACACUGAUUUUAUGUCAUAACAAAGUUAAGUUUAUAGUUUAAUCACUACGGCUUCCAUCAAAACAAAAUCCUGAAUCUACCGCUGACUAAGAAUGCUCGAGACUUUUUUUAUUAAAUGAGGUCCCGGGGAUAAAAUCUUAGGUGAAACAAUCCCACAGGACCCGCACCGUCAUCAUAUAGAUGUGGUGAGAUUUUUUUUUAUUUUCAAAUGGGGUAUUAUCAUUUUCCCACCAAAGUUAUUCUGACACUUCAUGUCAGUACCAUGGUUUGGUAAAAACAUCAUUUUACCACCAAACGUUUAAAUUGUUAGCAUUUUCUCACCAUUCCGUUAAAACUCAGUUAAUAUUUAACGGAAAAUACAUAAAAAGUCAAUUUUACCCAUGGAGCGUAAAAGACGAUUUUACCAUUUAAAAAGAAAGAACAACAAAAGACGAUUUAAUUAUAAAAUUACCCCCAAAAGACGACAAGACGAUUUUACCCUUUAAAAGGAAGAACAACAAGAGGACGAUUCAAUUACAAAAUUACCCCCAAAAGACGACAUUGCUGCGAGAGUGAGAGAGAUAUAGGUCAGUGACAGUGAGCGAGAAAGGGCGGAGAUGGAACAAGAAACGAGAGAGAGGGGCUUGAUUUUGAUUUCUAGGGCUUCCAUGUCCAAAUUGCUUGUUUUUUUACAAUUGCAAAACGCAACGUUUUGGCUUCGCAUGAGAUGUCCAAAAUGCCCUUAUGAUAUCAGCAUAAUUUUUAUUUAGCUAACGGAAUUGUGGGAAAAUUCUAACAGUUUAAACGUUUGGUGGUAAAAUGAUGUUUUUAUCAAACCGUGGUACUGACAUGAUAUGUCAGAAUAACUUUGGUGGGAAAGUGAUAAUAUCUCUUUUCAAAUUUAAAUUUGACAAACAUGAGAGACAAUGAUGGUGGGACUGAAAAUUUAAAUUUAAUUGGACGGUGCCAUCCCUCUCUCGUGUUUGUCAAAAUUUAAUUAAUUAAAUAGUUUAACAUAAGUUUUUUUCAACAGCAAGACAAUGUUUGUUUUAUUGUAAAGUCAAUGUAUUACGUCAAAGCGAGAAAGGAUUUGCUAUUGGUUUAAUAAUAUGGUUUGACACUAAACUGAUUUAUUAUUGUGAUAAUUGUCUUAUUUUUCUUAGUUAUUUUGCGAAUGUGAUUAAACCGAUUAAAUUGGUUCUAUUUAAUUUAGUUUAGCAUAUACAUAAAUGUAUCCCUAUAGCAAUCUCUACUGAUAAUACACUCGUAGAUUGAUCGGUCAAACUCUCGCAAAUUUGUUAAAAAACUGAAGUAACAAAAAUAAAUUUGUCCGAUCUAUUGACUUGACUAGGCUGGAAUGCAAACAUUAGCAUGUGGGUUCAUAUAUUUUUUUUCAAGUAAAUUUUUUUAAUCUCUACAGUUUGAGUAAACAGCAAUGCAAUUUAUACCACACAGGUAAAAAUAAUUUAAGAAAAUAAAUAAUAUGAAAUAUAAGAAAAUUAAUGAUAAAAUAUGGUUAUAUUGGUUUGAAUAAGAAAAAUAUUUUCGUAUAAGAAUUCCAAUCUUAUGCAAUUUAUACCACAGGAGGAAAAAUAUAUAAUUAAUUCAAUCCAACUUAUUCUAAUUAUUAUUAUUAUUUUGAAUAUAUAAUUAUUAUUAUAUAGAUGUGGAAAAAUAUAUAAUUAAUAUUGCCAGUAUCGCAUACAGUUGCAAAGCUACAGCCUUGCAUCUUGAACAACCUUCAGAUAGUCUUGACUCUUGAAUCCAAAUACUCCGCUACACUUGAGUGUAGCCAAUGAACCGUGGUCCUUCCUUAGCUAUAAUAUGAUCCUGUGAUGAAGUAUCACAUAUGCAAUUUUUGUAACGGAUAGACAAGAUGAAUUUAAGUGAAGUGAAAGCAUAAAAAAAAACAUAACUACAUAAAUGAAUCCCUUCAUGAUAUGUUUAGAACAGAGUUUUAUAUAAGGAGCCGGUAUGAUGUCGAGCUCUCAAAAGCUGUGUUUGGCUACCAUUUGGCAGCUAAAGACCUUGUACAAUCCGUUUAUUAACCGGUUGCACAUUAUUUUAAAUUUAAAAAAUAAAAUAAAAUAAUAUAUUAAUUUAGAAAUUAUAGAAAAAAAUAUUAAUAGUAAAAAAUAAAUAGAAAAUAAAAGAAAGAUAUAAUGUUGUCAAAAUCAAGAAAAAAUUUAUAUAAUAAAUUAAAAAUGUUUGUUUCAUAUAUUAUAUGUGAUGUGUCAUAUUUAACAUCAAAAUUUUCUAGAUGUUUUGUUAUUUUUCUCAACUUUGUUAUUCUAAAUAACCCCAAAAAGUUUUUUUUCCUGCCUGUUUUAUGUUUGACGUCCUUAUUGCAUGUUUGACCCCAUUCUUACAUCUUUCACAUGACCUGUUGCAUGUUGACAUGAUUUUCAUGUUUAACCUCAUAUAUUACAUGUUUGUCCUCACUUGUCACAUGUUUCACGUGGAUUGUUGCAUGUCUUAAAUAAAGCUAAAAAAUAAAAAUUAUCCCACCUAUUUUAUGUUUCACGUCCGCGUUACAUGUUUGAUCUCCGUUAUUGCAUCUUUUAUGUGAACUGUUACAUGUUGAUGUGGUUCUCAUGUUUAACUUUAUGUGUUGCAGGUUUGACCUCAACUGUUGCAUGUUUUACCUGACCUUUUUACAUGUAAAUUUCAUGUUGCAUGUUUGAUCUCACUUGUUGCAUGUUUCAUGUGGAUUUUCGCAUGUUUGAAUAAAGCCAGAAAUGAAAAAUUUCCCGACUGUUUCAUGUUUCACGUCUGUGUUACACGUUUGAUCUUCAUGUUGCAUCUUUCACAUUAAUUGUUGCAUGUUGAUGUCGUUCUCAUGUUUAAUCCCAUAUGAUGCAUGUAUGUUCCAUGUUUUAUGUGACCCUCUUACAUGUAAAUUUCAUGUUGCAUGUUUGACCUCAUUUGUUGCAUGUUUCACAUGGAUUUUUGCAUAUCUUGAAUAAAGCCAAAAAAUAAAAAUUGUUCCACCCGUUUCAUGUUUUACGUUCGUGUUGCAUGUUUGACUUCCGUCGUUGCAUCUUUCAAGUGAAUUUUUGCAUGUUGAUGUGGUUAUCAUGUUUAACCUCAUCUAUUGCAUGUGUUGACAUCAGAUGGUGCAUAUUUUACAUGACCUUUUAAAAUAUAAAUUUCAUGUUAUAUGUUUGACCUCACUUGUUGCAUGUUUCACUUGAAUUGUUUCAUGUCUUGAAUAAAGAGAAAAAUUGAAAAUGAGUGAGGAAGACAAAGUAACAGUACAUAUAAUCACGAAGUUGGCUAGCCAACUUAUUUAACAAUAAAUCUAGCGGUUAACCACUUCCACUCCAGAGACACCCAACAAUGAAACGGUUAGCCAAUUGAUUUAACGAAGAAUUAAGUGAUUUAUCGCUUCCACUCCGGAAACACUCAACAAUUAAGUAGUUAGUCGACUAAUUUAACAAGGAAUCAAGUGGUUAACUGCUUGCGUUCAAGAAAAUAGCUAACAAUGAAACAGUUACCCAAAUUGUUAAGCAAAGAAUUAAGCAGUUAGUUGCUUCCACUCCAAAAACAACUAAGUAUGAAACGAUUACUCAACUUAUUUCACAACAAAUGAAGCGGUUAAUUAGUACAACGAAUGUUUGACGUUGAUAUUUCAUGUAUCACAUUGUCUAACACAUGUAUAAAUAUCAUGUUGCAUUUCAAAAUUUCUUGACAUUUCACGUGAUAAUUUAUAAUCAAAAUUAUUUGUUUCAUAUUCUUUUUUAUUAUUAAUUAAGUUUAAUUAAGCCCCAUCUAUUAAGAAAAAAAAUGAAAAUUUGAUAAUUUAAGUGAUCAUUAUUACUCCAAGUAAUAAUUUAUCAUUUUAGUUAUUAUUUGUUUCAUUAUUUUGUAAUUUGUUUAAUUUUUCAAACGAAAAUAACUAUGGUGACAAUUUUAAAUUACCAAUUAACCUUCUUUUUUUUUAGUGCAAUUGGUAAUUUGUAAAUUUUUUAUUUUAAAAAUCAAAUAAUACAUACAACACAUUAAUUAUUUUGGAUUAAUUUCAUCAGAGCUUGUAAAUGAAACCCAUAAACAAAGGCAUCUCAAACUUUGUAAUUACAAAAAAAAAAAAAAAAAAAAAAGCGUAAAGAACAGAGUUGGCGGGUGCACGCCAUACGCGAAUUAAUUUUCACCAUCAUCUUCCACCAUAUGUCGUGAGCAAUGGAGGCUUUCCCUCCCCAUUACCAUUACAAAAAAAGUGUCGAAAAAGGUGUCGACCUGUGUCACACCCCCAUCCAAGAAGUGAGCUAAAAAUUAUGAAACUCCAAAGCACUGUCUAAGCAUAGCACACAGACUACUUCCAGCAUCUCCAUUAACAAAAUACUUGAAAAAAGCAAGGCAUGAGCUAUUAGCCCAUACACUUUUAAGCAUAAUGAUUCUAAUCACAUCUCAUUUAACCACGAGGCCAUGAAAACAUACUCAAAGAUUCCAAAAGAAAAUUGACAUUUAAGCACAUAAGAAUCAAUCUUAAGAAUCCAUCAAUUUUCAAAUCAAGCGAAAAAAAGUCAAUCGCUGAUCUAUAAGACCAAACUUCAAAGUCUAUAAUUUCAAUGAUCAAAUAACAAAUGAUGUCCAAAUAAAAUUCAUGGAAAUCUAUAGAAACCUUUGGCAUUAUUUGAGACCUUGUAAUAAGGACAGGCCUUGUUCAAUAAUCCCUUUAAAUUAUUGGGUUGGUUCAAUUACUAUACAAUUUUGCAGAUAUAAUCUAGACAUGUAAAGCACCUAGAAUAUAACAUCUUAGCUCAAAUUAGUUACAUUUAUUACUAUUUCUAUGACCCAAUAUUGAGUUACAGAAAACUGGUUUAUUGACAGGAAACACCAACAACCUAAGCUUGUGAUUUUCUUUAAAAAUUCAAUACUAUUCAGAAUAUUAUGAAAACUUCCAGAAUAUUAUUAGACACAACAUAUAAAAUUUUCAAGCCAUUUGGACAACUCUUUAAUAGGUUCUCACAGGAUUGAACUAAACAAAUCAAAACUGCCUUUUUAAUUCACACAAAUAAAGCUGAGCUUUGGUGAUUUAUUAAAAUUGAAAUACUCAGUAUGUUGGGAUGGAAAUUCCCAGAACAUAAUUACACAUAUAACUUGAUAACAUAUUAAAAGUUCAAGACAUUCUGAUAUCAUUAAGCUAAUGUUUCAUAAGAUCAAACACAAGUGAAUAGUUCUGCCAAGGGGUUUACGGCUAAAGCAGUGGAGUUUAAAAAAUCAUAAAAAACAAAAAAGUACCAGAAGUUCAAUUACCAUGGAACUUUCAACAUUUAAAAUAGACAUAUUGAAGUUUAAUAUCUCAAAAUUUCAGCUCAUGUUGACCCCAUUAGAUUAUUCGUUUAUAACACCAAACAUGGUACAUAUACAGUUUCUGAUAAAUUCCAACAGCAACUGACCAAUUUGACAAAUCCAUUAAAAAUCAACUAUUAGUUCAAUUCAUUACAAAAUGUCCAGAAUCGAAAUAUACAAUUCAGCUUUUAUUACUCAAAAUUUGAAUCUAAUCAAGCAUCAUUUAGUCAUAUUUUCAAACAAUCAAAGUUAUGAUAAACUAUUUAUCAUCUUUUCAGUUCAAUAAUCAAUUUUCUGGCAAAAUUAGACAUCCAAAACCAACAACAACCUUCCUUUUCAAUAUUGAAGUAACAAAACAUCAAUUGCACAAAGUUACCUACCUAAAUCACAAGCUUUAACUUCCUAGCCUCUUAAUAAAGCUUUCUGACACUCAAGUAUUGACCUCGGCCUUGACAUUACCAAAAAGCCUACCCAAAAUUUAAAAAAAAAUGAUAAUCAAUCACACUUCCAUUAAACAAAGUCAUGAGAGAUUAUUUGAAAAUUGAGGUGUUUUUUACCUCUUAACGAAUAGCUCAACGCCCAACUUCCAAUCUGUAGCACUACAUAAUUGAAACAUACGACCACCGAUCAACAAAUAACACAAAAAAUUGCUAACAGUUUCAAUUAAAAAUAAAAGCUGGUGAUUAUAUAGCGUUAAAUCAUCAAGCAACAGUAUAUGACAGUGAGUCUCUAGAAACAUCAAUAAAAGUUUCUGAAAAACAGCAAAAAAAAAAACAACUUAAAAGUAAUAUAAUGAAUAUCAACACAGAUAAAUAAGAUUGGUCAAAAAAUUAAAAAUAAAAGAAAAAGAAGCUGAAUGGAUAAAUCUCUACCAAAUUUGUGAGUACCCAUCUUUAGUAUUCCGAACAAUGAGUGCGGAGCUCAAAACAAACAAACAAGAAAAAAUUAGUAUAUCAAGAGAAAAAUAACACCUAAUAAAAAACCAAUCCUCAAAAAAUUAACUAAAAAAAAUUAACUUGCUUUGACGGUUUACGCUGGUGGCUUCACGAAGCUCACGCGGCAACGAUUUCGGCCAAAGCGAAAUCGUAUAGAUAACGGUGCGACAGAAAUAAUGGUAGAUGAUUCCGAUUGGUUGAUUGGUGUGAGAGAGACAAUGGAUUUGAUUUUAGGCGAUGAGUCCAGAAAUCGGAUGAGAGAAAUAAUGGAUUUCAAAGAGGGAAGAAAUUUUAGGGAUUUUCCUUUUGGGAAAGCGAAGAAAUCAGAUUGGUGAGAGAGAGGAGAAAAAAAGAAUGAGAGAAAUUUAGGGAUUUCUCAAGUUGAGAACCGGCAUCUCAAGCUGCCUUUCUUUCUCUAUUUUAAUUGAAUAUAAAAUAUCAACAGUUAGAUUCAUUUGAUUUCUAUUUUCGGUAUGCUGCUGGGCCUUGGUACCCGUCAUCGCAGCUUUAGCCUUCAUACAAGUGAUAAUAUAUAAGAACUUGUACUAGCGAAUUUACAGACAUAUUACAAAGGGAUAAUAAAUUAAGUGCAAGAUCUAUAAUGUAUUUCUAGUAAACGACAGCUUUAUGGAUUAAUAAUCCUAAUUUUUUUUCUAAUUUUAUGACCAAGUAACAAUAUAAUUACAAAUUUUUGUACAAAUUAAGAAUUUUUGUACAUACUUAAUUUGUACAAUAGUUUGUGACUGCAUCAUCAUUCUUUACGAGUAAGUAAGAAUCGUUUUAUUUUGCUCUAUUAAAAAGAAUAAUAAAUGGCUUGCCUGGCCUUGAGCAAAGUAUUUAGGUCAUUUGACAUGCAAUAAGUGCCAUUUCUCAAUCUACCAACUUUGGUAUUGACAAAAUGCAGUAUACACAUAAGUUGAUUAUAGUAAACAAGUGGGCGAGAGUUCUCUAUAGAAAAUUAAUGGGACUCAAAUUGCACAGUAACAAAUGACCUUAGAAAUUGAAUAAGAUGCAGCAAAUUGACCAUGUGACAAAUCUGUUCCUGUCCGAAAGUUCGGAACCAUAGCUAAUUUAGAAUGAAUAUUUGAAAAUGAGAGAAGGCAAGAUCACAUGAGGGCACAGCGAAGGAAAACAGACCUAGCAAUGAGGCACGAAUUAAAAGUUAGAUAAUGCUCUUACACACUAUUAUUGAAGGCAUUCAUUGCAAAGAUUAUAAUUCAUUACCAGUGAAAGAAAAGAAAAUCAAUUUGAUUGUCUCAUACGUCUAGCUCUUUAAUAUUUUAAGAAUCCCAUUACAAUUUCUUUUGCAUUGAUUCUCUAUUCUGGUGAUCCUACAGUACGCUCCAUAGCCAAAUUGAAGACAAAUGACACACAUUGCUCUUUGGUCAUGAAAUGUUUGUCCUCCUGAGUUAGUAGAUUUGCAUCAACGACUUCCAUAACUGAAAUGGAUAGCAAAUCAUUAACCCAACGCUUCAAUCUCAUUUCCUUAGAAAAAAUUUCAUCUGUUUCAGUGUAAUAUGUGUUCUUUUCUAAUUUUAUGUGCAAGUAAGAAUAUCAUUUUAAAAGGAACCGUAAAUAUCUUCCCUAGUUUUGAGCAAAGUAUUUAGGUCAUUUGACAUAUAAUAAGGUCCAUUUAUCAAUCUACCAGCUUUAGUUUUCAUAAAAUGUGAUAUGCAUAUAAACUUAGGGUAUAAAACUAAAUACACUAAAACUUUCAAUCCUUCUAAAUCCUACAAAAUAUUCAUAAUUUUCCACACAUAAAGCAAAAGAACAAUAACUAAAUCACACUGACCUGAUUAUAGUAAAUGAAAGUCCAGAUUUUCCCUAUAGAAGAAAUAUAAAUAUAAUUAAACCUAAACAAAUGGCAGAAAUCUCUAUGGAAAGUUAAAGGGACUCAAAUUACAGAGUAACAAAUCACCUUAGAAAUUGAAUAAGAUGCCAACAGACUGACCAACUACCAAAUCCGUUCCCUUCCGAGUCAUAGCUAAUUUAGAAUGAAUAUUUGAAAGUGAGAGAAGGCAGGAUCACAUGCAAGCACAACAACCAAGGAAAGCAGACCUAGCAUUGGCAUGAAUUAAAGUUAGAUAACACCCAUGCACAGAAUUAUUGAAGGUAUUCAUUGCAAAGAUUACAAUUCGUUACCAGUGAAAGAAAAGAAAAUCAGUUUGAGUGUCACAUGCGUCUACCCCUUAACAUUUUUCAGCAUGAGUCUCUAAUUUUUAAGAGGCUUGUUACAAUUUCUUUUGCAUUUGAUUCUCUCCUCUGGUGAUUUUAUAGUACACUUCAUAGCUAAAUUGAAGAUAAAUGACACACAUUGCUCUUUGGUCGUAAAAUGUUCGUCCUCCUGACUUAAUAGAUUUGCGUCAACAACUUCCAUAACUGAAAUGGGUAGCAAGUCAUUAACCCAACGCUUUAAUGUCAUUUCUCCAGAAAAAAUUUCAUCUGUUGGUUUUGUCCGAGUAAAUAUUUCCAUUAACAUAAUUCCAAAGCUGUAAACAUCCCCAUUUGUGGAUACUCGUCCUUCUCUUCCAUACUCUAUUGAUUGCAACAGUUACAUAGUAAGAUAAUAUAAUUUAUAAUAAUAUGUGUAAAUGAAGAUCAAAAGAAAUAAAUAACAUAUCAAAAAGUAUUAAAGAAAAAAAAACUAUUAUAUAACGAACCUGGUGCCAUAUAGCCUAUAGUGGCAAGUGUUUGUGUUUGAGUCAAAGAUUGAUCUUCUUCGAGUAAAGGCUUUGCCAUGCCAAAAUCACUCAAAUGAGCAACCAUAUUAUCAUCUAACAAUACAUUGCUGGGCUUUAAGUCACAAUGAAUUAUUGGGGUUGAAUAACCAAAGUGCAGAUAUUCCAAAGCUGAUGCAACAUCUAUCAUUAUGUCCAAUCUUUGAAAAAUAUCCAAAAUGUAGUUGCUCAAAUACAAACACUUCUCCAGACUUCCUUGAGGCAUGUAUUCUAACACCAACGCUUUAAAAUCAUCAUUUGAAUAACUGCUAAUGAUUUUUUAUAAGGUUUCGAUGACAAAUACGUUUCAUCACGUCACAUUCAAUAUCGAAACUCUUAAAUGCUCCUUCAUAUUGUGGGUCAAAAACCUUUACUGCAACCUCCAUCCCAUCCUGAAUUAUUGCCUUGUAAACAGAACCAAAACCUCCUUUGCCAAUUAGCUGUUUUCACUAAAUCCGUUUGUAGCUUGAAAAAGUUCUAGGUAUGUAACCCUUCUCUGAUUUGCUACUGGUGGCAUAUUAGCAUCAUUUGGCAGUGGUUUCCCUCUCUUUUGAUAUCUUAAGAUCAACAAAAUCAUUACUAUCAUAAAUAUAGUACUCAAUGGCAAGACAAUCUCUAUGAGAAGAUCAUUUUUCUUGAGGUGUGGUGGAUUCUAUUUGUGCAUGGUGGGACUUGCAGAUUGGGCAUACCACACAAUAAUUCAUUUCCCUCAAAUGAUUUAACUGAUAAAUUUCUAAAAGGUCCCUCUCUAGGAAUCUCUCCUUCCAGCUUAUUGAAAGAAACAUUUAUGUCUUUAAGAUCUAACAAUUUCUCCAAAGAUAUAGGAAUAGUUCCAGAGAGAUUAUUAUUGGAUAAAUUUAAGGAUUUCAAGUUUAUCAAAUCACCAAUGGAAUCAGGAAUUGAGCCUUGUCAUCUAUUAAAUUCUACAAAGAGAUAUAGUAGAUCUUUUAGGCCUCCAAUUGUUGUUGGGAUAACACCUGAUGGUUGUCGAAGCCAAGAAAAAAUAAAUACCUACUCUAAAUAAAUUGUGUAUAGUGAUUGAGAAGGGUCGUGUCCACAGAGAUCGGUAAUUAUUUAAAUCCUUUUAAAAUAUAAAAUGCAAAAUUGGGGGAUUGUUGACAAUAAUAAAAAUCAAAUUAAAAUAACAAGAAUGCAAUUUCAAAAUUGUAAUUCAAAUUGGGGAAAGCUCUGGUUGAAGGAAUUAACUCAGCUUGAUUCGACUACUGAUCAUUGAUUCAAUUAUAAAUCAUUACUACUUAUGAAUAGACCAGUUAUAGCUACUGAGACCCUCUAAUAGCCAAUAUCUCCUUAACUAGUCGAUAACCAAGGUACGACCAUUGGUUAUUUCCCUAAUCAAUAGACAACCCUAGAUACGAUCAUAGGAUUUAAUCAAUUGACAGCCUGAAAAACUAGAGAGACCCAAAUCCUAAUCAACAACCGCAUACGAUGGUUCAUUUAAAUUAGAUUGUUUAUUCUCAUAACACAAUGCACUGCUAUGCUAUUUGUCAUAAACAUUAAAAUCUUCAUACGAUGAAUCUUUUAAUUGACAAUAGAUUAAGUUGAUAAUUAAAUAGUGGCCAAUUAUCUAAUUAACAAACAUAAUUAUGACAAUAAUUCAGAGAAUAAACAAAUACCCAAAAAACAAUAAAACAAUUAAAGCAUAAGAAAGAUCUCACAGUAGUGAUGAAUCAAAGCUUCAUUAACCUUCAACCAGAAUAAUAAGUUUAGUUCUUCAUAGAGAGGAGAAAAAUUUAGAUCUAGGGUUUCUUUCUCUUCAAAAAAUCCCCCCUUUUCACAAUAGAUUCCUCUCUUAAAUUCUCUUCUCCUCUAGAGUUCUUUUUAAAAUAAAAUACUAAUAUCUAAAAUAUUAUCCAAAUAUUAAAUUCGUAAUUACAAAAAUAACCAAAAAGACAAAACAUGUUAAACUAAAAACUGCAGGUCCGUAGUUGACAGCACGCGCCCAUGCCUUAUCAACAAAGUUCUUCUGAAGCUCAUAAUUUCUCUAGGAAAACAAUCAUCCUCAAAUAUCAUCUUGUAGCUCAAUUUUAGCACCAAUCAAUAGAAUUGCACCUACAAAAAUAAAACACAAGUAAAUCACUAUUAUUAAGUGCAAAACAUCGAUAUUAAAGGAAAUAAACAAUGCAAAACUAGUGCAUAAAUUGUACUCUAACAAAUUCCUCCACACCAAGAUGAUGCUUGUCCUCAAGCAUAUAACUCAAGACUAAUCCCAAAUCUCCACUCAAUUCUCAUCUCAACUCAUCCGAAAACAAUCUUAAGCAAGCAUACCUCAAGAAUUUAAGUCGAUCAACAUUCGAGAGAUAAGGAUUUUAAAGCAUAGGAUCUCAUUAAGUCACUCCUUCAGGUCCGCUCCGAAUCACUAGAUAUUUUCCUCUCUCUUAUUAUGUGGAUCCAAUCAAAACUUUCAACUUUUGGGAUUCAGCCAUCGGAUUUAAUGAAAAAGCUGUUCAAUGGCAAGAGCUUUAUUUAUUAGGUUUUUAACAUUACCCUGUUAUUUGAUAAUAAAAAAAUUGAAAAAUAUAGUUUAGUUCUUAUAUUUUAAUUUAGGAGUUUAUUUAAUUUUUAUAUAUUGAAAAAUAUUUCAAAAUACUUCUCUUAUUAAAUAUAUUAGGUUCCAACCUUUAAUAUUUUCGUUUUAAUGGUAAUACCUUACAAUAACAAUCUUGGAGAUAUUAAUGAAAAAAAUUAAUUCAUCAAAUUAGUCUUAAAAAAUAAAAAUUAAAGAAAUUUUUAUGUUAUUAUUUUACUUUUAGGAUUAAUUUAAUAAAUUAAAUUUUUGUAUACAAUUAUUAGUAAGAUUAUUGCAAUGAUAUUAAAUAUUACUUUCAGUUAGUUGAUAUUAAUUUAUUUAAAAAUAGUUAUUUUUCAGAUUCUAGUUAAAGUACAAAAAAUACUAAAUAGGUCAAAUGAUUGAGAUCAACAAACCCCUCUAAUAUGUCCCUCAUGUGGGUAAUUAAUGCGUCACUAACUUGGAUAUUUUAUAACCCUCUUAGUCAUGUUUUGUUUCGUUAAAAGGUAAAGUUAGAAAUAUAAAAGUGGAGUUUUGAAAGUGUGUUGGGGGCUCCACCUUUAGCUUAAUUAAUUGGAGUUCUAAAAUUGGAGUUUUGAUAAUUGGAGUCCAUUAUCACCCAAUAAUUUGGUCCAUUAAAUCAGAUAAUAGCCCAAAAAAAAACCCACCCACAUUCUCUUCUGCCUUCUGAGAAUCACCCAUGUCCACUGAAUUCAAAAAAUGCGGACGCGUAAAUGCCAUUUAAUUCAUCAAAUUAGCCUUAAAAAAUAAAAAUUGAUGUAAAUUUUUAUGUUAUUAUUUAAAUUUUAGAACUAAUUUGGUAUUUAAUUUUUUAUAUACAAUUAUUAGUAAGAUUAUUGCAAUGAUAUUAAAUAUUACUCUAAGUUGGAUGAUAUUAAUUUAUUUAUAAAUAGUUAUUAGUGAGACUUUAGUUAAAGUACAAAAAAUACUAAUUCUUUCAUACUGAUAUUUAUUGGUUAAUUUGGUAAUAAAUAAUUAGUUAAUUUACUAUUAAUUUUUUUUAGAUAAAUUAAUUAAUAUUGAGUAUAUUAUUGAUAGGGUAUUAUUAUAAAGGUAAAGAAAAAGUAAGAAUAAUAAUGUAAUAUAUUUAAUAACAAAAGUAUAUUGAAAUACUUUUUAAGAUAUAAGAAUUAAAUGAGUAUUUAAAUUAAAAUACAAAAAUUAAAUAAACAUUUACCUAACAAAAAAUCUAAAAGUUGAAAGUUUCAAAAUUUUGACACCCAACACUCAUCUAUUAAAAGAGGUCAUGAGAAUUAAAACUUAAGUGAAACAGUCCCAUAACAUUAUCACAAAACAUGGUGAGAUUUUCCUAUUUUCAUAUUUAAAUUUGACAGACAUAAGAGAUAAUGAUGGUGGGAGUGGGACUGCCUACUUGAAAUUUAAAUUUAAUUGCACGGUCCAUCCUCCCUUACAUUUUUUGUAUUCUCCUUCAAGAAGAAGAAAUUAGUGGCCCACUGAAUAGUGUUUAUGCGUGCUUUAUGGGUUAUAAGUUAAGUGAUAAUAUUUUUGUCAAUCCUUAGCCCGACUCAAGUCAUGAAUCGCAAAGCCAGUGUGACACUCGUUGGUGCUUUUAAGUAAUUAUUAUAAAUAAUUGCAAAGCCAAUUAUUUAUUACUUAUAAUGAAACCGAAAUUUCUCUCCGCGUCAAAAUAAGGGAGUGAAAGGGAGAAAAGAUUCCUCUCCACGUCAAAACAGAUGUUGAAAUGUUUUUGCUAUUUGGGCAAAACUACGUUGCAACACGGUACCCUUUCUUUUGUCUUUUUUUAAUUACAAUGAAAUUCUGUUAUUUGCUAUAAAAAUAAAAAAUCCAAAAACUUAUUAAACUUUCAUACAUUAGUUCUGCACCUAAAAAUUUUCGAUUGCAUUAAUGCUUAUGGAAGCCACGAUUUAUUUCAGAAGCACCUAUAAAUUCAAGCAUUUACUCUCUUUAUACAAAAAAAAACUAGUAAAUUAAAAGAAAAGUUUUUUGAGUUGUGUGAUUGAAUUUGAGCGCAAUAGCUUUAAUAAAAAAUAAAGGCAAUUGCUCGCUUUCUUUCAUACUUUGUAAAACUCCUAAUAUGAUAACUCAUUUAUGGCACGAUUAAUUAUUCAUUUAAUUAUACGAAUUGACUUAUAUUUUAAUUGAUAGAUAUGUGAUGAAUUGUCAUCUCUAUUGUUGUGCAUGCGCGAUGUUAGUAAGAGAGAAGAAAAAAUAGAAAAUACUUAUUUUUAGUUUAUUUUUACUAAGGAAAUAUUUAAAUUAUUUUCAAAUAGAGUAAUUGUUUAGAAUUUAUUUUUACCCUUCUUUCAGUUAAGUUAAUGAAAGAUCUCAACUGUAGUAUGGAUGUGUGCUAAUGACUAUUUAAAUUGUGGGGAUGGAGUAACAAAUAUCAAUUUAUUUAAGUGUGCAAUUAAAUUUAUUAUUUUUAUCUAGGGAUAAAAACUCAACAAAAAAAUACAAAACUCAUUGUUCAAACAAAAAAAAAAUUAUUUUACAAAUUCAUAAACUAACACUUUAUUAUUAUUAGUAAAUUAGCAUAUUUUUACUACAUAAUUAAAUAACUGAUAGUAUGUUAAAUAAAUUUUAUGUUACAAAAAAACAUAGUAAAACAUUUACUACAUAGAAUAUCAAAUUAAAUUUAUUUUCGUAUUUUGUACAUUCCAUUUACUUGAGAUAGUAAAAUCCCUUGUGUUGGGAAAAAAAAAAAAAGUUACGGGGUUUGAACCUUGGUCACAUAGGUGAGAGGAAAUUGGUUGCCGUUAUGUUAAAUUAAAAAAAUCAUAUUUAUAUUUACCAUUAAUUAUGGUUAGUAAAUAAUAUACAUAGUUUAAUUAUAUAAUAAAUUAGUUAAUUUUUUUAUUAAUAAGUAAAUUUAUUAAUUUAAAUAGAUAUUAAUAAAUGCAAGAAUAAGUCAUUUAAGUGGAAACCUAGUUCAAUAGUGUAAAAAAAUUAGAAUAUUAUGGACUUAUAUGUCAUAAUUUUAAAACUUUUGAUUUUUCUUAUUUUACAUGAACAAGAGGGGCUUUUAAUUUUAAAAACCUAAAAUCACAAUUAAGCCAUUAUACAACUCUUGGUCACAUUCGACAGUGAAUUUGAGAAAGACACAAAUGGGGCACCAAACCCCAGGGGUAACGUAGCUGGACCCAUUCGUUUGAUGAUUCGAGGAUUCACAAUUGCCGAUAAGUCCAACAAAAAUUCCAAAAAUUAUUUGAUUAAAAAAAGCUAAUGAAAAAGCUGUUUAAUAGGUUUUUAACAUUACCUGUUAUUUGAUUAAAAGAAAAUUGUAAAUAUUAGUUUAGCUUUUCUAUUUGGGAUAUUAUCAUUUUCCCACCAAAGGUAUUCUGACACAUCAUGUCAGUACCAUGGUUUGGUAAAACUAUCAAUUUACCACCAAACGUUUAAACUGUUAGCAUUUUCCCACCAUUCCGUUAAAACUCCGUUAAUAUGUAACAGAAAAUUCAUAAAAGGUCAAUUUUACCCCUGGAGCGUAAAAGACUAUGUAAUUAAUCUUUUAUGAAUUUUGUAAUUAAAUCAUCAUUUGUUGUUCUUCCUUCUUAAAGGACAAAAAUUACCCUUUAUAAAUUUUGUAAAAUUGACCGUGUGGUGCUAGGUACUUCAUAAAUUGAUUUAAUUUAUUUAAUUUUUAAAGGGCAAAUUUAUUUAUUAAAUUGACGAGCUAAAGACAAUUUAUUCUGCUACUAAAACUCAAUUUAUGAAAGGGCAAAAAAAAAAAAAAAGAAUAUGCAAAAGAAGCAAUUUAAUCUUUGAUAUGAUGAUAAUAAUUUUACACAAAAAAUUAAAUAAAUAAAUUUGCCCUUUAAAAAUUAAAUAAAUUAAAUCAAUUUAUGAAUUACCUAACACCACACGGUCAAUUUUACAAAAUUCAUAAAAGGUAAUUUUUGUCCUUUAAGAAGGAAGAACAAUAAAUGAUGAUUUAAUUACAAAAUUCAUAAAAGAUUAAUUACAUGGUCUUUUAUGCUCCAGGGGUAAAAUUGACUUUUUAAAAAAUUUCCGUUACAUAUUAACUGAGUUUUAACGGAAUGGUGGGAAAAUGCUAACAAUUUAAAUGUUUGGUGGUAAAUUGAUAGUUUUACCAAACCAUGGUACUGACAUGAUGUGUCAGAAUACCUUUGGUGGGAAAAUGAUAAUAUCCCUUUUUAUUUUAAUUUAAGAGUUUAUUUAAUUUAUAUAUUUUAAAAAAUACCUCAAAACACUCUUCUUGUUAAUUAUAUUAGGUUCCAACCUUUAAUUGUUUUUUAUAAUAAUACCUUACAAUAAGAAUCUUAGAGAUAUUAAUGAAAAGAAAAAAUUUAAUUCAUCAAAUUAGCCUUAAAAUAUAAAAAUUAAUGUAAAUUUUUAUGUUAUUAUUUAAGUUUUAGGAUUAAUUUGGUAAAUUAAUAUUUUAUAUACAAUUAUUAGUAAGAUUAUUGCAAUGAUAUUAAAUAUUACUUAAGUUGGCUAAUAUUAAUAUAUUUAUAAAUAGUUAUUAGUAAGAUUUAUGUUAAAGACCAAAAAAUAUUAGUUCUUGUAGACUGAUAUUUAUUGGUUAAUUUGGUAAUAAAUAAUUAGUUAAUUUGCUAUUAAUUUUUUUAGAUAAAUUAAUUAAUAUUAAGAAUAUUAUUGUUACAAUAUUAUUAUAAAAGUAAAAAAUAAGUAAGGAUAAUAAUGUGACAUAUUUAAUAACAAAGGUAAAUUAAAAUACUUUUUAAAAUAUAAAAAAUAAAUGAAAACUUAAAUUAAAAUACAAAAGAUAAACAAGCAUUUACUUGAUUAAAAAUCAUAGAAGUUAAGGGUGCGUUUGGUAAUGUUUUUUAACUAGUGUUUUCAACUCUUAUUUUUGAGAAAGAAAAUGAUGUUUUUGAUGUGAUGUUUUUUAAAAUGAAAAUUCGUUUGGUAUUAUGUUUUCAAAACGGCAUAUGAAAAUAAAAACAAUAAAAAUUUGUUUGGUUGUUUGUCUGAAAAUGUGAAAAUCAGUAAAAAUGUGUUUGGUUGUUUGUCUGAAAAUAUAAAAUUUUUAUAGAAUAUCUUAUAAAAUAAAUUUUCUUUAAUUUAUUUAUACAUUUUAUCUUUUAUUAUUAUAAUUUUAAUCAAAAUGAAAUCAAAUUUCACAAAACGAUAAUAAUUUUUAGAAACCCUCUUAUAUUUUAUUAAUUUUAAGAAAAUAAAAUGAAAAAUAAAAUAAUAAAUGUUUUAUAAUUAACAUAACAAAAUAAAAAACCAUACUACAAUUAUACAAUGGGGAGGAAGAAGAAAGCUCUGUUCACGGUCAAAGAAGAAGAAGAAGAUAAGGUAAAUCGUAAAAAGAGAGAAAGAAGAAAGCUCUGAUCAAUGAAGAAGAAGAAGAAGAUAAGGAAAAUCGUAAAAGUGACACUCUUCUCUAAAAAGAAAGAUAAAGUAAAAGUAAAUUUAAAUAAUUAAUUAAUAAAAAAAUUAUAAUAAAUCAUAGUUAUAGGCCUAAAUUACUUUUUCAUCUAACCUUUUUUAUUUUGUUCUCCACCGAGCUCAAGAACACCAAUUUGGCGUUCUUGAGUUUUAUUUACAAAACUUGAGAAACAAAAAUAUUUUGUUUUCUAUUUUUUUUACUAUUUAUUAUAAAAUGGUUUAACCAAACAUGUUUUGUAAUUUUCAUUUUUAGAAAACAAAAAACACCCAUCUAGAAAACUUUACCAAACACAUCCUAAAAGUUCCAAAAUUUUGACACCCAAGACUUAUCUAUUAAAAGAGUGUUUAUGCGUGCUUUAUGUGUUAUAAGUUAAGUUAUAACAUUUUUGUCAAUCCAUAGCAUAAUGACUAAUUAUGACUAAUUAUGAUGACUAAUUAUGACUUGUAAAGUCAAUGUAAGAGAAGACAAUCGGAUAAUCACUAAUUAUGAUAAAACCGAAAUUUCCCUCCGCGUGAAAAUAAAGGAGUGAAAGCGAGAAAAGAUUCCUCUCCACGCGACAGCAGAUGUUGGAAUGUUUUUGCUAUUCGUUUGAUGAUUCGAGGAUUCACAAGUGGCGAUAAGUCCAAGUGUCCAACAAAAAUUCCAAAAAUUAUCUUCCAAGAUGAAGAAAUCAGUGGCCCAUCAGUUAAUUAAUUGUGCGUGCUUUCUGGGCUAUAACAUUUUUGUCAAUCCUUAGCCCGACUCAAAAGUCAUGAAUCGCAAAGCCAGUGUGACACUCGUUGGUGCUUUUAAGGAUUUAUUAUAAAUAAUUGCAAAGCCAAUUAUUUAUUAUUUAUAAUGAAACCGAAAUCUCUCUCCGCGUGAAGAUAAAGGAGUGAAAGCGAGAAAAGAUUCCUCUCCACGUGAAAACAGAUGUUGAAAUGUUUUUGCUAUUCGUUUGAUGAUUCGAGGAUUCACAAUUGCCAAAGACAAUAAGACAUUAUAAAUAAUAAAUAAUUCCAAGAUGAAGAAAUCAGCGACCCAUCAGUUAAUUGUGCGUGCUCCAUGGGUUAAAACAUUUUUGUCGAUACUCAACCCAACUCAGAAAUCACGAGUUGCACUGUCAAUGAAAAAGAAGACAAAAGUCACCGAAAGCAAAGACAAUAAGACAUUGACUGAUGAUAACAUGCUGGGACAUUAAGUAUCCCUUUGGGAUUAAAGUAGAAUUUUAAUAAAUUUCUUAUUUCAUAAUUUUUUAUAAAAAUAAUAUUCGAUAAAUUUCACAAAAACUACUUCUUUUAUAAUUUUUUUUUUAUUUUACUGCUGUUUUUAAAAACAGGUUGAGAUUUACUUUUCAUAAACAGCUUAAAAUAAGCUACAACAAUUUUUCAAAAUUUAUAUUAUAACAUUAAUAAUUUAACAAAAAAACUAAUUAUGUCUUAUUUUUUCAUAUACUCUAAUUUAUAAACUACUAAAUAUCAUAUUUCCACCACAAUUUACCGCUGCAACUAAUGUGGGUUCUAUCCAAUAUCAAAGAUUUGAUUUAGCAGGUUCAUAUUUUUAAUAUUUUAAUAUUAUUUUUUAUUAUAAAAUAAAAAAAAUUAUUUAUAUAUGAUUACAUAAUUAUUUUUUAACUAUGAAAAAGUCCAUGUGAAAGUUAAACAUAACUUUUAAAAUCAAUUUCAUAACCAUGGUUUUUAACAUUCAAUCUAUUUAUAUUUUUUUUAUAGUCAUGAUGUUCAUUGCAACACGUUGAUUCUCUGCUUUUAGGAGUCUCGUUACCAUUUCCUUUGCAUUGAUCAUCUGCUUUGGUGAUUCCACAGUACACUCCAUAGCCAAAUUGAAGACAAAUGACAUAUAUUGCUCUUUGGUCAUAAAAUGUUUGUCCUCCCGACUUAGCAAAUUCGCAUCAACAACUCCCAUAACUAAAAUAAUAUCUUACUAAUAUCUAUCAAAAUUAAAAAGGUAUAGUGCAAGUAAGCAAUAGGCUGUAGAUAGAUUGUGUGUGCGGUUAAAACUAAAAGACGAAAUGUGUGGUAUAUAUGUUGGAUUGCAGGAAGAAUGCGAGAGAUUCACAUUUGUUAUGCUGAAUUAAACUGAAUAUAUGAUUAGGUAAGAUUGUAUUAGACUAAAUUAGAUAGGAUUGGACUAAAUUAUUUAUGGUGGAUUGGACUGAAUUCAUUGAUAAUUUAUAAAUUAAAUUAAAUAAUUAGAAAAUACUAAUAUAAAUUAAAUUAUUUAUCUCAAAACAUUUUAUUAAUAAUGGCGAAGUAUUAUAAAUAUACAUUUUUAUAUCAUGGAAUUAGUAUACAUAAUAUUAAUUAAAAUUAUGGAAAAUAUACAAGUUUAAGUUUAAUUAUAAUUGAAAUAAAAUUUGUCAAAAUAAUCUAAGGAUUUUGAUCGAGAGAGUGAUGUUGCUCACCACCACCUUAUGGAGAGUGAUGCUGCACGUGUCCAACUCUAAUAAUUAGGAGACAUGUGAAGCGAGACUCAUAGCUCUCCGAAUAAUAGCUGAAUACAUGCAGACGUCGCUCAUGUGAUCACUACUCAACAAUCUAAUCUCUUAAAAUUAUCUCGUAACAACUAAAUGUGCCCCAAUUUAAUAAUGUACUACUCUAGUUUUUAUCUAGGAUUUGAAUUUUCUCUUAAUCUAAUCUCUCCUAAGCUUUUGUAUAAGAUCAUGACACGUGUCAUUCAAGUCUUUAGCUAUGAUUUAAUUUAUUUUAAACUUGGUUUUUCUAAAAAUCAGGAUAAAAGUUUGUUUAGUCCCUAUAUUUUAAGAUUAUUGCUCGUUUAGUCCCUAUAUUUUUUAAAACACCUCAAAAUAUCUUUGUCAAUAGUUUAACGGUAGAAGUGUCAAUAGUUUAACGUCAGGAAUGUAUUGAAGUAUUUUAAAAAAUAUAAGGACCAAAUAGACAUUAACUUCAAUAUAUAGGGAUUAAACAAAUUUUUACCCUAAAAAUCAAAACAUAAGUUUUCAUGCCUAUAAAUGUCUGAAACUUAACGGCUAUUAUCACAAACUGCUGCUUCUUUUUCGCUUCUUCUUCUCUACUACUUUGAAUAUCACAAACUUUGGACUUUUGUGUAAAACUUGAGCAAAGAAGUAACAUUGCCCAUUACUUCUUAAUUCUUUUAGGAAUUUAUAUCAUGGAAUUAGAUUAAAUUUGAAUGCAUUAAUGUUAUCGGUAUUCUGCAAUAACAAUUGAAGCUACUUGAAGUAGACAACAUCAAUUGAAGACAAUUUCUAUUUGCAAUCAUCAGCAAUUAAUUUAACUUUAUUUUACACAAAAAUAUUGUUCCAUCUUUCUAAUUCUCCAUUUAAUUAUGGUCCCUAGAAAGACAAUUAAAAAAAAAGAACCAAAAAAAAAAUCUAACCUGCUUGAUUGGUUAUCAAAGUUUGUUGGGUGAACACGGAAUAGAAGAAAAUUCAAUAGGAAAGAGAAAGAGAAAAAAGAAUAGUGAAGGAAAUUGAAGGUUAAAGCUUAUUAGACAUCCGUUAAUCUUACAGCUAUUAAAAUAAUUAGGCAAUAAAACGAUGUGUUCUAAUUUUAAUAAGGAAAGUCUAAUAUAAAUUAAAUCCAAGCCUUAGAAAGACUUAAUUGGCAUGUGUCAUGAUCUUAUACAAAAUUUAUAAAAAAGAUUCGAUUAGGAGAAGAUCCCUAUAUUUCUCUUCUCAAAUAUUAAAAAAAAAGAUUCAAAGUUAUUAUCAACAUUUAUUUCAAAGUUCGCAAUUGAAAUGCUUAAACACGAUUAAUUUUCGAGCAAAUAAAUAUUUUCUAAUCUUUAUAUCAACCUUCCUGUUAUUCUGGGAAUGAGCAUUAGUGGUCAAGGUGAAAUACUACGAGUAAUGAAUAAAAAAUUGACAUAAAUAUAAAGUCUAUGAUCAUGCUUACCCUGGAGUCUGUCUUGGUCAAGAUAUAACUCCUUAAGCUUGGUCAAGAAAUCAUUGAUUGACGAAGAUAAUUUUUGUAGAGGAAGAUUGUAGCAAAUAUUUGUUGGGAGGUCAGCAAAUAACCUAUCAUAUUCAAAAUAAAUAUUAGCUAGUAAAGAAGACUUGCUUAAGAUGAAGGAAGGAAUAAUGCCUAUUAAGAAAUUAUUUGUUAGCGCCGGCAUCUUCAAUUAUAUAAAGAUAAGUAGUAAUUCAUUGCCAAAUAUUUUAUAUAGAUGUCAGACAUGCAUAUUAUUGGUGAAGACACAUGCUAAGUUAUUACAUCACAAAUCCAAGUUCAAUCGGGUAGAAAGAUUGAAGAUUGAUGAAGGAAUGAUUCCAGUUAAGAAAUAUUUUGUAGCCAUAACAUCUCCAAUUCUGCAACAUUCCCCCGCUCCUCUGGAAUUUCUCCUCAAACGUAAUGAGUAACAUAUGCGUAAACAUUAUUAACUUAUUACCCAGCUCUCAAGAAGAAAAGAAAUGAAACAAAAGUAAUUAUUGCCUGAAGAGAAUAAAAAACAGUGCUUUAGUUAUAUAGUGAAAUAUUUGACUAAUAGCUGUUAAAAUUAAGGGCAAAACUAUGGUAUCACCGUGGUAUCAUACCACAGCUGAAUCCAGCCUACAGUGGUCACCAGAGCUGUAUCCAAUGGCUAGAUUCAGCUGUAGUAUGGUACAACUGUGGUACCAUAGCUGGACCCUAAAAUUCAAUAGGUAUACGGCAAUUAAGCAAUAAGUAGUUGAUAGAUUGUGUGUGGUUAAAACUAAAAAGAUCAAAUGUGUGUCAUGCUGGAUUAUAGGGGGAAUGCAAGAUUCAUAGUUGGUAAGCUGGAUUAAACAGAAUAUAUGAUCACUAAAUAAGAUUGUAUUAAACUGAAUUUGAUAGGAAUGAACAAAAUUAUUUAUUGAGGAUUAGAUUGGACUAAUUGAUAAUUUAUAAAUAAAAUUAGAUAAUUGAAACUACUAAUAUAAAUUUAAUUAUUUAUCUCAAAACAUUCUAUUAGUUUUUUUUUUUAUACAUACAUUCUAUUAGUAAUUUAAAAUAGUAUAAAUAUACAAAUUUAUAUCAUGAAAUGAAUAUUCGUAAUUAAACUUUUUUAAAAUAUGUGAGUUUAAGUUUAAUUAUAAUUGGACUAAAAUUUGUCAAAUAAUCUAAGGAUUUUGAUCGAGUAAGAAGUGAGAGCCACAACUCUUCCAAUAAGAGCUGAACUCAUGCGAUAAAAAGCGACAUCACUCAUGUGAUCACUAUUCAAUAAUCUAAUCCAUCAAAAUUAUCUUAGAACCAUUAAACAUGACAUGACUCCUCCAAUCAAUAUUUAGAAUGUUGAUCCUAUUCUAAUCAAUUUUUUGCUAAGCUUUUGCAUAAAAUCAUGACACAUCAUUUGAGUUUUUUAGAUUUCAUUUGGUAUAGCUUUUCAAACAAAGUUUAUUUAAAUAGAGUUUCUACUAUUAGAAUUUUAAUAAAUAGAGUUUUUAUAUAAAAAAAGUGUUAUUUGGUCGUCAAUUAAAGAUAUUGCUAACAAUUAUAAAAUUAUUCUAAUAGACAAAAUUUUAAAAUUUUUUUAUGAAAGGAAUGAUAUAAAAUUGUAAAAUAACUUAUAAGAUUAGUUUGGGAUACUUCAAAAAAUUUAACUCUUUAAAAAGAUUUUACAAUCUCUACUCCCAAAUAGCCUCAAGUUGAAACGUUUUGGAAGUGGAGACAAAAUAAAUUACUUAAUAAUUAAAAACUCUACUCAAGAUGCUGCCAAAUAAUAUGAAUGUUCCGCUAUUUAUACUUUUGUUAACAGAUCUUUUAAAUUAAUAAAUAAAUGAUAUUUUUAAAUUAAUAUGAAAGAAUGAACCGCAAAAUUGUAAGCCCCGUUCAGUUGUUUUAUGAAAGCACGUGAAUAACUGUGUAAUCGGCCAAAUACCAUGAGGAAAUUCAGAGCUCCACGCGCGUCUCGGCCGCUCGCCCGAGUGCGAGAAGAAUUUCUGGGGCACACGUGUCUCAGCCGCUCGCACGAGGCAUGGAUCUCUAGUUACCAUGCAUGCUUCUCAGCAUAACGUGGCCCAGGGACUUUCCUGGCUAAUUUGCGGGGUUUGCCUAAAUGCAUAAAAUACUUUUUUUUUAAUUAUUAUUAAGCUUAAGAAUUUUCAGUUUUGGCGAUGUGGGAAAAAAAAAAUUAAAAUCAUGUGAUUCAUGUCAAACAUGAUUAGACAACUUCACCUUUGCUCGUUUUUAUCAAUCAUUUAUCAUUAGGAGCAAGAGGGGGAAAAAAUUCGAUACCUUGUGUUGUCCUUGUAAAUGGUGCGCAUUUUUUUUAAUUAUAAUACACAUAAAAUUUUAUUUCUUUUAUAGGAACAAGAAUGAGCGAAGAUAAAGUCAUCUAAUCAUGUUUGAUUGCUAACUAAAAAAAAAAUUAUUUUUUAUUAAUUUUGUUUCUUUAAUUUUUUAUCUCAAUGUAAAUAGUAAUAAUAAUAAUUUUUUUAAAAUUUAAUAAUUUUAUUUCUUAAUUAAUUAAAGAUAAUUUUAGACACAAAAAUUUUUCACUCAGUCCCUUUGGUACUAAUACUUCUUAUUAAUCCCUGAAGUUGCUUUUAUUUACUUGUUUAAACCAUAUAUGAAGAAUGUCAAUCUCAUGAUAUUACAGAUUCUCCGUUGAUAUUCUUUGACAUCUAAUUUGAUUCGAUGGACAAAUUAGUAGCUUCUCCUCAACAAAUGAAUAAUGAUGAGCACUUCUCUUUCAGAGUCACUUGUGGAGAUUUAUCUUGAUGUGAAUUUCCUGUUAGGGAACCAUAAUCUCUAGAAGUGGUUCGGAAUAUAGAAUUCUCUUCUCUGGUACCAAGAGAUUCUCCAAUUCCAGGUCAUUUGAGGACACUGUUGUCGCCUUGCAAGCGGAAGAUUUUUCACUUAGUCCCAAGAAUAGAAGCUGAAUCAACUUAGUCGGUUGACUCAGGACAGAAUAACAUUACUGGAAGAAAAUUGACCUAUGUUUUUCCUUUUUAGUUCUGAAUCUCUUUCUUAACACAGCAAUUAGGUCAAGAGGAACAUGAUUUGAACGAUUUGAAGCUUCUUAUCUGAGGUUACCUAGGAUUCCAUACUCAUGGGAAUUUGGCUCUUUUCAUUUCUCAGCACUUAAGGAGUUUAAGCAUAAUCAAUAAUGAAACCCAAUUGAGAAAUACUAUCGUCUGUUGCAACAUCUAUGAUUUCAACUGGACCACAACGUUUGUUUUUCUUUUUAUCUUUUUUGGGAAAAAAAAAUGAUUUAGCGAUCAUGUCACUGAUUUUGUCAACAAGAUGAAUAAUUUUAUCUUCUCAUUAAUGAACAAUUCUUUCCAGCACUCUUUAGGAGACUCACGCCCAUUCACUAAUUACCCACCAUGCUCAGAAUGCAAAAUGCGAAAUAGGAGUAAUAUAAUACUUUACUUGUCUAAUUUCAACACAUUUUCAAACUAAUUAAUACCACUACAAGAAAAAGUUAUUUAUGUGACUGUUAUUUUGCAUUUACAUAUGGCCUUUACGACAGCUUUGUAACGACAAAGAAGGGUUACUUACGCGGGCAUUGCAAAAGCUUUGUAACCGUUGCAAAUGCUUUUUAAUCGUAUUUUUGGCGUGCGGCCGGUCACAAAAGUUAUUAACAGUCACCAAAAUGAAUAACCACCUAAAUGCGGUCACAUUAAGUAAUGGGUUGGAUGCAAGUUUUAUGACUGGUGGAAGCUGUCACAAAUUUGUAAUGCUUAAUUUUUUCAUAAUUUUGUGAUAUUUGACUAUUUGUCAAUAUUUUAUCUCAUUUUCCUGAUAUUUGUCAAUGACAACAAAAAUUCAACAUUGUUCAUUACAACGUUAAAAUACUAAAAUUAAUUAUCAUGAUACCAUCCAUAAAGUUCAAAUUAUAUACUGAAAACGAGAGAUUAACAUCAAGCCACAAGUCUCCAAGUCAAAAAUUAAAAGUAUACACAAAUGCAAAUACAAGCCUACGAUACAAAGUCUUACAAAAAUAAGUAAUGAAUCCAGGAGUCACCAAUGCAUCUUAUCAAACGAUAGCCUACAAUAGAAGCAACAAUAUAUUAAAAAUGUUCAAGACAAACACACUUAAAUAUCAUAAUUAUAUAACUAAGCACUUCUUGCUAGCAAUAAUUAGAAGCGCUCUUGGUACAACUGUUAAUGUCUCUAUCCUUUGUUGAAACUCUUAGUUAAUUUGCAAAUCUAAUAUUCAUUUUCCAAAAAUAAUAUCAACAUUGAACAUAUGAAGAGUAAUGAAUCAUAAUUUUACAAGUAAAAGCGUUUGUCUAUAAAUUGACCUCAUAAUUUCCAGCAUAACUGCACGACGGUGUUGAUGCGCAUUGGAAGCAUCGACUAUCUACUAAAAAAACAAACAUUUUGUUUUUCCCCUAAGAAACACAAAAGGAAAUGUAGUCUAUAUAUAGAUGAUAAAUAUGCAACCUAUAUAUUUUACUAUAUUGUAAAAUGUAGGAAAUGUAGGGAAGGGCAUUAAGUUGCAAGGUUCAGUUCCAAGUUGACAAUAAAAAUUGCUAUUAUGCUGCAACUUUUCUCAAUAUACUCCACACUUUUCACCCUAAAUUAUACAUUUAUUCUAAAAUAAUUUUUAAAAAUAAUUUUGAAUUUUAAGUAAAUAUUCACUAUAAUCUGAUGAUUUUUAAGUUCAACUUUAAUUAAUGUUUUACUAGAUAUUUGGAUCGAAAAUAAAAGACUUCAUGUUGGCAUUUCCUUGUCCAACCUUCACUCCUUUGACUAAUCUUGAUUUAAACAUUUUCAAUUCUCAUUUGUUUUUUAUUAGGUCAAGAUUAUAGAUCGUCUAGCAAAUGAGUAGUACAUUAAACAACUAAAAUCUCUAAAUAAAUAUCUAGGAUGGUUAAUCCAAAUACUAAGCUAUUAACUGCUAAUGUUUACAUUUUAGAGUUUUAAUUUUUUACUUUAUAAUUUAUUUGAUUUAGCUGUUACUUUUAAUUUUUAAAAUAUUUAAAAUAAAUAAGUCGACAAUGGUCAAAGGGUUUAGUAAUUGCGUACAAGUAUUAGUGUUUUAUAUCCAUACCUAAUGCACCCAAUGAAUAGGUAUAAAAAUUUAUAUCCCUAUACAAUUUUUUUUAUAAAAUAUGGAUAAAAUUAGACCUGACGCCUAAUUUUAACGUAACAGACCCUUGUGCUUGUAGGGAUUUUUUGCCAUCCCUAUAUGGGACUAGAACAAAGCUAACAUGCCUAUCUAAUGAGACUGGACCAUAAUUUUAUUUAAUAGAUCUUAGGCCUGGAUCAGUCUAGUUGCUUCCUUUUUGAUACCUUUGAUUGCUAUUUAGGUAGCAUUUACUUCUCAUAUUAGAGCAUGAAUUAUGAGAUUGAGAGUAAAAAUAGGUUGUUUACUUACAUUAAAAUGAGAGUAUGGAAUAGGAAUCAAAAUUCCAUUUAUGUGUUUAUUUGUUUUAGAUUGGGAGUCAGUUGUUUUAAAUUAUAAUUUUACCCUUAUUUAAAAAAUUGUAGAUUUUAGUUACAUAUAUUUGUAAAAUAAAAUAUUUAUUUUAUUAUUAAUUUUAAUUAUAUAAAUUAAUAAUAAUUAUCAAUAUUCUUAAUUAUAUAAACCGUAAUUUUUUAUUUAAUUUUAAUUUAAUUAAUUAAACUAAAAUUAUUGAUAAGGGCAAUACAAAUGAAACAUCAUCAUUAAUAAUAUACUGCAAAGUUAAUAUUUUCUUAGAAUAAACUAUUUAUUAUUAUUAUCAUUAUUAUUAAUUAAAAUUAAAUAAAUAUAAUAUUAUUAUAUUUAAUAAGCCUAAUAUUAUUAUUUUUAAUAAAUGUAUUAUUAUUAAAUAAUAUAAUAGUAUUAUUUAAAUAGAUAUGAUAUUUUUACUUUUUUUUUUUUUUUGAAGAAAGCAUGGAUUGCAUUAAAGAGAUAAAGCAUCAAUUAACCAGGGAGGGGGAACAAGACUCCACUCACCCAAACCUGACAUAGAACGCCCCACCCGAGCAACAGUAUGGGCAGCGGAGUUCGCAGAUCGACGAACAAAAGAGAAAGUCACUUCUCCUAAAGAUUGAAUAUAAUUAAAUGCAACAUUAUUUUAGUUUAAUGAAUAUAAUUAUAUUAUAUUUAAUAAAAAAAGGGUGAAACAAGAAGAAGACCUCCUCAGGGUAGUGAGCGACGCUGUUUUGUUCUCCAUGCUCCCUACCCAAAAAUCCACAAGCGGUGACUUCAUUCAACUUUUCCCAGCCCACUGACAGUGACGAGCGUCACACCCACACCGUAUUAUAAAUAAUAAUAAUUAUAAAAUUUUGAUGAUGAUGAUUGAAAUUAACUACCAAUGUUGAAUUCACCGUUAAGACCCUGAGGGAAACAAAUUUAUUGGCGCCAAAAUCUUGGUCUCAAAAUACUGUAUAUAUAAUUUUACUGUUAUGCGUCUCGUUGGUAUAUCAUUUAUUGGAAUUAGAAAAAUGUGUAUUUGCUGCUCGGCCAAAUGAUUCCAUAUUGAAAUGUGGAGAUUGAAUUCCUCCAUCAAUUAAAAAAAAAAAAGAGUGGAGAUUUUUUUUCCAUUAUAAAAUAUAAGUGGAGUAGAUUUUUCUCAAAAAUUAGUAAGCAUAGAAAAUAUAAACAGAUCAGUAGUUGUCUGAUUGUAAUAUCAUUCUAAAAAAUGUGCAUGUAUGUUCUAAGUAAUAACUUUAUUAAGGCAAUUUGGGGUACAUAGGUUGAGAUUUUAUACUUGUGCCGUGUGAGCUUCAUAUAAUUUUACAUGGCCAAGGACGUGUCAAAGUUGAUAAACAUGCCAUUAUUAAUAAAGAAUUAUUGAUUUAACAUUCAAGAUUAUCGUGUGAUAUAGGACGUUAUUUUAGAAUUUUAUUAUUAUAGGUAUUUUGUUAUUUUCUAUUUUAAUUAGCACCAUAUUUUAGUUUUUUAUUUCUAUUAUAAUUAUUAUUUAGUUUCCCUUUUAGCUUAACUUUUACCUCAUUAUAAAUAGAGAUGUCUCUUUAUUGUUUUCAUAGCUUUAGCUUUAUUUGUUCAAUAAAAGUUAUAAAACCCUUCAUUUAAAAUUCUUUUUGGGAUUAUCCACUGAAACCUCUCUUGUAGAAUCAUUUGGAUUAGAGUGUAAUCUUAUCUCAUUUAACACAUUAUUAAAUUCUUAUUUAGUCGUUUGCAUUAGAAUGAGAUUUAAUCAGUUUCAAUUAGAAUGUAACCUACAAUUUCACUAUUAAUUCCACUUUCGCUACCUUGCUCUGUCAUCAUGAAGUAUCAAUUGUGCUCUCGCUGUCCCACUCCAUCAUCAUGAUUAAUCCAAAAUUUAAAAAUAAAUACAUGCAACCAAAUAUCAGAAAUUAUUUGAACUUUAUUGCACUAUUUUUCAUUAGAUUACGAUUUGACUUUCAAAGAGAUUUAAUUUCAAACAACUUUGAUUCGACAGUUACUCUCAUUCACUUCUAAUACUGCUAAUAACUUAAAGCUAAAAAUUUUCGUCUUCAGUAAUUAGAUCUGAGCAGUGCAGGGUGCUACAAUUUUUAAAUUGAUUAAAACAAAUCGCUUCACUGAUCAGAAUAUCAUCAAUACCCCAAAAGAAAAAUAUUAAGCAAUUUUUAGAAUUCACAUGACAAAAUAUGUGUAUAAUUGAUUUACGUGGGCUUUGUGAAUCAACCAUAGAAAAGCCCACAACCUGAUCCAACGACACCGAUUCUUCUCGGCCACUGAGCAUAAAUUUCCCAAGUUUCAUAGUGAACGACACCGUUUUGUUCUCCUUGCUCGCCACGCAAAAAACUGCCAAGGAGUCACUUCACUGAAGUGCAAAUGUCAGUUAUCUUCACAGUUCACACGUUUAUGAAUAAAUUGGAAAAAAAAAAUAGAGAAAUUAUCCUAAAAAAAAUGGAGAAAUCAUGUGCGCAAAACCUUGCAUCGACUAUUAUUGUAAUGUGCUACAUAGAUAUCAAUUUAAUCUUGGAGUAAUGAUCUUGUGGGUGAACAUGGUUCUCGCCUUAUGGUGAGUAGCAAUGCCACAUGGCGAUGUCCGGUCUGCGUGUCCAGUGCUAAAUAAUCUAGAGAAUUUUUAUUCUUAUUUUUAUUUUUGUUAUUUUUAUUUGUCAUUAUUGGGUGCUUGUACAGAUGCUCUGUGGGUGUUGCUUUACCAGUGUACUCAACAUUCAAGGGAAUUGAGAGGAAAGAUGAAGAUGAGCAACAAAAGUGGCUCAUGUAUUGGGCAGGUUGGAAUUUAUUUUUAUUUUUAUAAUUUAUUAUUAUUAUUUUUUGUUAGGCUUGUCACCUUACUUGUUUUGUUACAUGAGAUUUUCAUAGACUCCUAAAUUUCCUCUGUAUCCAUUAUUUUUAGCCCAAGUGUUUUCUUGUUAGAUGCUUUGAUCAGUUGGGCAAAAAAAUUGAAUAUUACCUUUAUGGUUAUAGUGAUGCUGAGAUCUUGCAUGGGUGAAAAUAUAUAGCUCUACUAUUCAUGAUGACCAUCAAUGAUGAAAGUAACAAAUGUGCAGAAAUUCUUAUCACAUGUUGAUAAAUUUUGUAAUCAAUAAAAGAUAAGGCUGGUAUGAUCUGGGGAUAUAUAUCUGGCAUUGGUGCUUGCCCUUGAUGAACUUUUGAUGGUACUUGUCCUACUGACUAUUUGCAGCUUAUGGAACUUUUAGCAUUGCUGAGGCUUUUGCAGACAAGUUUCUUACUUGGUAAAGUUUUUGAGUACCAGUGAUUUCUUCCUUUUGCUUGUGUAGUAAGUAUUUAUCAUACAUUUUUCGAAAAAUAAGCAAGUGUACAUCUUUUCCCACGCAUAUACGCACGACGCUUAAUUAUCUAUGCCUAAUUGAUGUUACUGCCUUAUCUUGUUUCAUCAUUUCAGGUUUCCCAUGUAUUAUCACCUGAAAUUUGCAUUUCUUGUAUGGCUUCAGCUUCCAUCUACUGAUGUAAGUUUAAAAAUAACGCUUGUAACUUUGGAUCAUAUUGAAAAAAUGGGGAAGUGUAGUUGUAUUUAUAUUUAUUUGUGAUGAAAAUUAAUGUAGCUUAAUAUGUUUAACUUUUGACUUCAAAUUAACUCAUCGUGAUAAACUUCCUUAUUUCUUGUUAGGGGGCAAGGCAGUUGUACGAGAACUACUUGAGUCCAUUCUUGUUGAGGUGUCAAGCUAAAGCUGAUCAACUCAGGGCCACUACACACGCUAAAUUUGAUCAACUCAGGGCCAUUACACAAGCUAAGGUCGAUCAACUCAGGGCCCUCACACUGCGUCCAUUCUUGUUGACGUGUCAAGCUAAAAUUGAUCAACUGAGGGCCAUUGAAGACAUGGUAUGUUAUGUAGUGUUGUUAUCAUAUUAUGGGCGAUACUAGUUUGACUUAUCCGUUUGAUUGAAUGAUAGCGUGGUGCUCCCCAUAUUCUCAAGAAUAUACAGAAAGUUGAAACCUCUGAGCAAAGUUCGACUUUCGCUUCCAUUGCGAAAUUGUAACUUGUGGUAAAUAAGGCACUUUAAAAUUGUUUAUAUUGGGUCAACCUCAACCCAUAGAUACCCUGUGCAAGUCUUGCUGUAUUGCACUCAACACUUCCCCUGUUGUUUCCGAUGAAGUAUAUGCUCUGCUAAAAUUUACAGGUUGGACGUAUCAGCUCAAUCAAGGCAGAAAUUAAAUGUGGGGGGAUACAUUCUUUGCAUUUUUCUGGUCAGGUAAUGGUAGAUACCUUUCUUUUGGUGUAUACUUGUCUUGUUAGUUCAGUGAUUUCCAUGUAGAUUCGAAGUAUUUUACUUGUUUCUGGACCAGCUCCAAAAUAUAGAUCCAAAUAAACCUGAAGGACGAAAUGCGGUUGAAGACCUGGAUGGAAUAACCUCAGACACAAACACUGAGUCUGAUCUUGAGGUUGAGGAGAGUUUGAUCAUGCAUGUCAGUUUCGGCAAAUUGAGUUACUCUUGCUAUGAACCGAGACCCUAUCGUAGGAUUUCCAAAUCGUAUCUGCUCGAAUAAUCAAGGCUUCUUUGCCACCUAAAUGGGACAACAUGAACAUACGUUAUCCCUCAGUAUCAUCUCUUUACAAUCUCAAAAAUCUUUUGGUCAUUUGCAUUUGUAAGGCGUACUUGUGGUAGUUCAUUCCCAGAAUUUAUCUUUUGAUGUAGUGGUUAAUUUGUAGUAAAAAGUUUGAGAUUCAGUGGACAUGGUAUUGUAAAUUUUCAAUUACGAACUGCACCUGGUAGAAAUCAACUAUGUUUUUGUAUGGAUUCUCGAAGUUUCAGAUUUUAACAUCAGAUAAUUAGGUUCUGUACAAUUUAAAUUUCGUUUUUCUAGUAGCAUCCCCAAAUACUCUAAAUAGGCAUACUUAUUAGGAAACCUAUUAUAUUAAUAAUCUUAAGUUAAUUAAGAGGGAGUGCCUAAGUUACACUUAUUGUAACUUACAGCUUUUGUCUUUUUCUUUUUGGCUAAUUUUAUAUGGAUCCCUUUAAUUCUUUAUAUUUCCAAUUUUUAUAGUUAUGGAUGCAUUUGUCUUCUCCCAUCUCUCAUACAUCUAUUUUUUAUUCUUUCUAGAGUUUUAUUUAUUUCCUUGAACAAUAGUAAGUGGUUAUCAAAUUCAUAUAAAUCUACAAAUUCAGAAUAGAUUUCUGGUCCUAAAUCUGUCAAUCCUAUCCUUUCUUGUUCUAACAAAAAUAUUUUUUGGUUUAUUAGAUUUAUAUAUGUAUUUACUAUGUUUUCCCAUCCUAAAAAUAUAUGAUCUAUAUUACUUGCCAAUUCUUGUAUUGUAUCAACAGCUUGUUGAUUCAUAGUGUUUCUGUUUUGUACCAAUAUAUUAAAAAUUUUAUAAAUUCAUCUAUAAAUUUCAUUUUCUUUUCUAUUAAAAUUUCACCACCUGUUGUAUCCAUAAAUCUUUCUCUAAGCUCCUGGGUUAAUUCAAGUUCUAUACUCCUUAUAUUAUUUUUAUCGGUUUUAAUUGCUUUUAUUAAAUUUUUUAUUUCUUCUUUAUUAUAUACUUUUAACGUAUAUAAACUAUCUACUAUAGCUUGUAUAGGGUCCAUGGCUCUGAUACCAUUUUGCGCUACGCGCAUAUAUGGUAACAAAAUGACAAAAUAACAGACAACACAAAUAAAUUAAAGUCAAAAACAAAAUCACAUUCAAAACUUAAGACCAAAAUAAGGUAUAGUUGAACAAUUAUAUUGUUACAAAAACAAGAUUAAUUAUACACAAAUUCUAUUAUUAACUUAAUUAAUAAAUAAACAUAUAUGAUUAACAGAUUAAUAUACAUCCAAACACAUAGAGAACACAUUUUUAUGUAACUUAAAUUUUUAUUAAGGAUAGAAAAGUACGUGGCGUUGUUACACCUCUAGGUACAGCUAUUAAAAUAGCACUUUGGACCAGUAGCCCGCAACCCGAAGAGGUUUCCAACCUAUAUACUUUUUAUAUUUUUUAAUUUAUAUUUCAAAUUCUUCAUUAUCUGAGUUAUAUGUAUAUGAAGGUCCAGCUUCAUAAUCUUUUUGUUCUAAAUAUGCUUUUGCUAUAUCAAUUCCUUCCACUAUUGUUAACAUAAUUAUAUUAUGUUUUAGGUUGUCUAUUUCAAUGUUUUCUAUAAUUUUUCGUUUUAUUUCUUGAGGUAAAUUAAGUGAGUGUACUGCUAAUAGGUCUUCUGUUCUAACAAGUUCCUGUUUACUAAAUAGAUACGAACUAUAUUUAUAUGAUCCUAGAUCAAAAUCUCUUAUCAUCAUAUACUCAUUGUAUGUUAUUCUAGUGGUUGGAUUUAUCAUGUAUUCUUUAGAUUCUCCUAAGUAAAACCUGUGAUUCAUCUUAUAAAUAAAAAGUUUGUUUCACUUUGAAAAUUUUGCUCUUCCUCCAUAAAUCAUCUCACCAACAACCAUCAACAACUUCCACCAAGAGAUAAAAGUUGAGUAUUAUUACCUAAAUUAUCGUUUCUUCUUUGCCUUCUGAUCUCCUUCCAGUGACCUGCGGCCGAUUUGUCCUGUUCCCUUACGGCCUCCUGCCUCAGCGGGAUCUGUGGACAUAGAUGGCUUUACUGUAUGGAUUUCGAUCAUCUUGAUAAAGAAGUGUUGGAUAAGUUUAGGUUCCUCUUCUUUUUCUUUGAUGGUUUCUGUUUUUGGUUGAUGAUGUUUUGAUUUAGGAUUUCGAGCAAAGAAGUGCUUAGUGAUUCAUUGUAUGUAUUUUCAGAGAAUUAUCAAAAAAUGUCAGAGAGAGUGUCCCCUCUUCUGUCUCUCCUUUCUUUUAUUUAUAUCAAAAAGUUUCUAUUACAUUAUUGGUCUAUGACCUCACUGCUUACAUCAUUCUCAAUUACAUUAUUGCAAGAUUUUUUGCUUUAUCUGUCGGGCAUCUUCUUUUUAUCUUGUCUGCCACGAGUGUUGUGCAAAUUUUAUUGAAUUCGCAAGUACACGAAUCUAUUGUAGAAUAGAUUAAUGGUGACGAGUGUCGAUCCCAUGAGGAGGUUGAUUUUAAUUGUGCGUAGAAUUAAUUUUCUAAAUGGGUGGUUGGAUUUGUGGUGAAAAUGAUUUGGAUUAUCCUAAAAUUCGAAUUAAGAUGGCAAGAAUAAAUUGAAGUGAAAAUCUAUUAAAUUUGACGUACUUGGGUAUCUGGAUCCUUAUCAACAUGCAUCAUGGGCUAAAUAUUCCUUAUUAAUACCAAUUAAAUCAUGAGGGGGGAAUCCACACCUCAUGAACCACACUCUAAUCAAUAUGGUGCUAAGGGCUUAUCGUGCCAAAUAAUAAUAACCUUGUAUUAGAGAGCCGGUGAAACCAAGGCGGUAUCUAGACAAGAUUAUUAUUAUUUGUCGACGAGAAGUCAAAACAUCCACAAAAACUAGAGGGGAAGAGAAAAUAAAUUUACCAAAUAAAGCCCAUGACACAUGUUGAGACUUCACCUUCAACCCAAGCUUGAAAGAAAAUUAGCUACUCAUAAUUGAACUAGGGGUAAAAAGGAAAUUUAUUAAAAUACGUAGAAAAUACAAGAUGGAGAGGGAAUUACAGAAAAUGGAGUCCAAAAAUGGAUUCAGGGAUAUCAAAUUAGGGGGGGAGGCUCCCUUUUUAUAGAUACAUUGAGUAAAUCGUGGCCAUCGGAUUAAAAACAGUUUGGACGCUUAGGAUUGCGCCACGUCAUCAGUCAACAGUACGCAGUUUGACCACGCGGGUAAACAGUAACACGGUUUGACCCGGGUUGAACAGUGACGCGGUUUGGUUGAAAAUAAUCCUGUGUAAUGCAUGUACCGUACGCGAGAUUUUUGGUCCACUGAUAUGCUGCCACGUCAUCGAUCAACAGUGCAUAAGAAUUUUAGUCCAACGGGAUCAUGACACCUCAUCAGUCAAUACCACAUCAUCGGUCAAUGCCACGUCAUCGAUCCGUCUAUGUGAACAGUGUCGUGAACAGUAACGUAAACAGUACCGUACAUGUGAAUAGUACCGUACAUGUGAACAGUGUCAUUUUUCCUUUUAUACUCCUCCUAAAGUUUUCGACCGUCCUGAGUUCAAAAGUGAUGUCCGUUUUGCCGUCUGAUCUCUCGUUCAUUGUGAAAUGACUAUAAUGCCCCUAAAAUACAUAAAAUACUUAAUUAAAAUAAAACACACGUAAUUAAAUUACAAGAAGCUUAAAUACAUAAAAGUAAGGGUUGUUAGUAAGGCUUGAAAUGUAAAAUGACGAUUUUCUUCUUUAUAAAUAUGCAUUUUCUAACACUCAACACACCCCCCAACCAGCUUAUUGCUAGUCACUAGCAAAUAAAGCGAAAACAAAAUUCAAAUCCAAAAUGAUUUUUUUUUUAACAAUCAUGUUUAUUCAAUCAUAUUAAUGAUAGUAAUCAAACAAAAGUAUAAGCAUUAUCUUCAGUCUAAAGAAACAUUGCACCCACAUCAACCAUCCACAUGAAUCAGCCCAGUAGACUUUGUCAUAGCUACUUUCAAGAAUGACAUGUCAAACCCCAAAAUCUCACUGGAAGUAGUGACACUCUCACAAAGAAAUUAAACCCAAUAAAAAUAGUCACUCCAAAGAAUGGUAAUUGAGAGAAAAUAAUAAAGAAGUGAUACACAUGCUCUCACCAAGAUGAAAGAAAUAUGCCCUCAGCUUAGAAAUAAUACGAUCUCAAGUCAAAUAAAAAUGCUAGUCAACCCAAUUUAUUUAUUAUUUUUUUUAUGCACCACUACAUCUUUUUGGCCCAUAUAACUAGCUUCUACUUCAGACUAUAGUUCCCUAAAAUUAAGAAGGACUUUUAUUAAGACGUAACAUAGGUUAGGGACAUGGCUAACAAAGAAGGGAAAUAAGGAAAACAAAGUGUAUGUUUGAGAAAAAUGCAGAGGGUUUUUUUUUUUUUUUUUGGAAGUUGCAAGGUGGAUUUCACCUAUUAUUGUUAAUUUUUUUUUUUUUUUUGCUUUUGUUGGGGAUAACUUCACUAUACAAAAUAUUUAUUUACAUUUUUCUCAAACAUAAAUAGGUGAUGGAACUUGUAAGAUAUUGGGUAAUACUCCAAAUCGAAGUGGGUCAAGAUGAUAAGUUUGACAAAGAAAAGUUUUUUUUUAAUUUUUUUUUAAGGCUCAAAAGGGUUAACUAUGGAUAUUUGAUAAAAGAGAUGGCUAGAAAGACUCAAACGGAUCAAAGAUGGCCUUUCCAUCGUCUUUUAGGGUUCUAAAUAAUCUUCCAUAUCUACUAGUUAGAUGGGCCUCCAUAUGUAGCAACACACAUUUUUUUUCUUUUUUUUUUUUAAUUUUACAAUUUUUUUUUAACGGUUAACUCAAAAGAAAUCUAGAGAUCGUGUAUACAAUAAUAAACUGCUAAGCUGUAUAAAGAAUGGGCAAAAGGGUUACUCUCCAAGAAAAAUGAUAGGCUCAAGAACUCACUUGGUACUUAUUAUGACAUGUUCAUUCCUUCAAGCAACACUUAUUUGUCUCCGACAUCAACAUGUAAAGUAGCAAACAUAGCGUAACAUCACUUAAGACCAAAGAUAAUACAAAUAUUAAAAUUUAAAAUUAAUCAUAUUAUCCAAUGUUAAAACAAAUCACAAAAAAAAUAUUUUUUUUUUAAACAACAUUCUACCCCCCAACUUAUUCUAAACAUGAAAGGAAAAUAUGCAUGCAGAAAUGUGAAAAUGAUGCAGAAAAAUUAAUUAGAAAAGUUACACUUAAAAUGAUAGAAAAAGAAAUGUUUUUUUUUUUUUAACUAAGAAGAUGCAUUUCUAGAAGUACUACACUCCAUAUUCAGCCAUCUUCGACUCAAAUAUUUGAAAAUGUAUAUUUAUAAAGGGGAAAUUAAAAAGAAGAAGAAAAAUGAACAUCAAAACUUAAUAAAGAAAAAGAAAAUGUCUAAUUUUUUUUUAUUUUUUUUAAACGAUGAAGAUGCGUUUCUAGAGUCACUACACUCCAUAUUCAGCCAUCUUCAACACAAAAAGUUAGCAACAGUUAGUUUCUACAACAAAAAAUUAGUAAAAAUUAACCAAGAUUCCACAAUUGUCGACUAUUCCCUCCCCCCAACCAGAACGAAACAUUGUCCUCAAUGUUUUAAAGGAAAUAAGUAGAGUUUAGAAGACAUCACCUGGGUGGUGUAACACAGAAGAAAAUAUUUACAGGCGAAGAGUUAAAUCUAAUUUGUACUUCUUACUGCGGCUACUGUUAUCAUCAUUAUUUGGACGCUCCAACACAAAGGUCCAGGGGUCUGGCUCUAGUCUAUAAGCUUGUAACAUAUCAAGUAGCUCAUUAGCAAUGUGAACACAAAUAAAAAGCUUUUUUACAUUGGAAUGAACGAAAUAGUUUUUUAUUGCAUGGUUAAGAAAUGCGAUGAAGCCAUCAUAAAAGUUAUUGAUAUUUAACAAACCGAUGGGUUUCCGGUGAAUGUGCAGAUGAGCCCAAGAUGCUAGUGUUAUAAGUGCCUCUAGUAUUGCAAGAUCUCCUGGAAGGAAAAUAAAAGCAUCAGCAUGAUUAAGCAUUUCAGUUAUUCUUUCUUGCAUACCUGAGACGACUAACUCUUCUCCAGUCGAUGAGUCAGACAAACUGCCUAAAAGUUUUAGAGCUCUUGGGAUGAUGCCUAACACUUGGCUUCCUCUGACAAAAGUAGCUUCUGAGAUCAAUUUUGAUAACCCUCGGUUACCUCCUCCAUACACCAAGUGUAAUUUUCUCUCUGCUAUGCUUCGACCAAGAUCUAUGGCUGCAUCAACGAACUCUUUAUGUUUGCCAUAGGUAAAUCCAGAAAGCACACAAAUGUUCUUGAAUUGUCUAUUGGGAGUAGCUGCCAUUGGAAUAUUUCUCAAAAAUAAUUUGUGAGUGCUUAACAAAAAGUCAUAUUUAAGAAUCUUGGUGACAGUGGGUCACAACUGUGUAUGAGGUAACAUGUCAGUGUCAAAUAACGCGUAAAGCACAUGGCUCGCAAGUCAAAAAGAAAAAAGCAAACAAUAAUAAAAUUAUUAAAGACAAUAAUGCAAAUGAUAAAACAAUAGUGAAAUAAAAUAAUAGUAAAGUAAAAGGAUAUUUACAGGUAGUUGCGACUGUGGCUCACAUCUUCCUCUGGUUUUACGUCCAGAAACGGCUUGAACGCCCUCUAUGGGUCGAGGAUAGGCUUUCCAUCCAGUUUUCUUAUAAACUGGCAAACAUGGUCGUUUAUAGUCAGAUUCCCGAGACUAUAUUGUGCAUGCUCUUUCUGGAAUAAUGGCCAUAACUGGAGAAUCGCUCCUUGCACAUAUCCACUGGGAUGCAUUUCAAGAGACAGAAGGAUAUCAUCUAAUGACUCCUUAUUCAAGCCAUCCUUAAUGAAUUGAAUCUUAUCUUCUCUGUUAUCAGACAUCAUUCCUAAAGAACAUGGUUUUUUAUCGCAACUCAUUCUGGCACACUUAUGAUAAGCAACAGAAAUUCUUCGAGCUCGUCGUUUUCUUGCAUAAUUUCCUUUACCACAACCAAGCAUGUAUGCAAUAAAUUUUGGAGGUAACUCACCUGCCAAUCGUACUUUAGCCUCGAUUAACCAACGGAUGUCAGCAGGUAUGUUAUUCCUCAUGAGCAAUCGCAUGCGUUCGGACCGAGCUUUAUAGAUUGUAAGGAGGGCAUUCUGAGGAAGUGAAGGGAAUCGCUUGUGAAGCUUCACUAGAAUCUCAUUUAUGUCCAUACCUUCGCCUCAGAAUAUCAGUUAUUAUGGGAAAACUGAAGUAACCGACUUGAUUGUCAUGGAGUACCGUUAUCCGCCACUUCACCGGGGUAACAAACUAAAGCACAGAAACAGAAAAAUAAAUUAAAACACACAAAGAAAAUUAAAACUGUCCUCUUAUUGAAUUUACCUCAAGUUCUAACUAGAUGUCGUAAACACUUCUCUCAAUGUCUCUAAGUUGGCUUUCUAAACCCUCAACAUAGGAUACUAACUCUGGUGGUUGCAGAGCCCAAAUACGAUGUGUCUUACAAAAUCGAAUCUGCCUUUUGAGAUGAGAUUUUACACGUUGAAGUGGUUUAAGAAUGUUCAGGAGGAACGGUUUAAGUAUGGUACUCAUAAUUAAUAAUGAUAAAAAAAAUUUAAUGGUUAAACAAACAUACUUAUGCAAAAAUAAUUUCAAUUAGCAAAAAAAAAAAAAAAAAAAAAAGAAAAAAAAAUCAAAUCACCGAAAAGAAAGGAAAAAAAAUCAAUUCAAAUCUGGUGGGUCACUCAAAUUUAUUUCGGUGUCUUCUCCAUAUGGUUGGUACUCUAGAUAUGACAAAAUGUGUUAGAAGGUAAAUAUCCCACCAAGCGACCGAACUGCUGGACACCAGUUUCCUCCAAUAAAGAAGAAUUUAUUCUUCCAAUUUUUACAUGAAGAAGGAAACCCAGUGAUCGGUUUCCUCUUUGCAGAACUGGACAUAAAGUAGUACCAGCCCGCUUCCCUCGGGCUACUCCGCAGCUGGUACAGAUGCUUCACUUCAACAAGGGAAGGCUCCUCCAACCCGCACCUCUCCCACAACACAAACAUUGCCGAGAGAACCCUCCACCCAUUUGGGUGUAGCUGACCUGGGGCCAGGUGCAUACCGCCCAGUAUUUUGGCAAAAUAACGUUGAAGGGGCAACCGAGCUCCUAGUCUGAAACUCUCCAAGUGCAUCGUCACAUACCAUUUCGGAGGCCGACCAGGAACAUCACCUUUUCCAGGAACUACAAUGAGAACCUCAUUGGGAAUGUUGUAGAGGUUCCUAAGCUUAAAUAGAUCAGUGGGGGUGGUGGCACAAGCUAUGAAAUCAAUAGGGUAAGAAUCCGCCUCCACCCUAUGGCCAAGAUUCCUUUUCUUAGCAGGUCCGCUCGGCUCGGAACUGCUCCCCUCACCAUCACCCACUUCUCCAGGGACCCCAACCCCACCAGAACUGUGGUUCUCACCCGAGCCAGACGCUGGUCCCCCUUUAUUGCCUACAAGUUCUAAUUCAGGGGAAGGUGAAAUGGUCAGGGGACGUGGGUACUCAAGGGUAUCCCUACCAUGGGAAGGACCUACACUACCAGAGGGACGUAAAACAUCAGUGGGUAUGGACAAGUUAAGGUCUGAAUCCCCUGUUUCUUCGUCACUCUCAUCGGUAAUUAACUUCCCUUUCCGAUUUGACAUAUUGAAAUCCCAAAAGAAAACAAAGCAAACUCGAGUAUACGGAUACAAAAGGGGCAACACAGAACCCAACCAACAACAACCAGAGAAGAAGUUAAAAGUUAUACCUGGAAUAAACUGGCACUGAGAGCGCUGCCGUGAUAGAGAGAACACUCAGCAAGUGGAUACUCCGGACGCAGGAAGUGUGAGCAAAGUUCGAAGAGGGGGUUGAUUAACGGCAGAGAGACGAAUAGCAAAACGAUGACGAUUUCAAUCUAGGGAUUUGAAGCGAAAAAGGGGAAAUGGAAGCAUUUAAGUAAGGGGGUGCCAGCUCACUCACCGGAUAUCGAGGAAUAGAUAGCCCGUCGUUUCAAAUUUCAAAUACGAAGAGUCUGGAGAUCCCACGUCACCAACCGUUAUAAGAGGCCAGGUUAGAUGUGAGCCCAGAUAUGCAAUGGACAUGCUCAUGAAGGCCCAUGCUCAGGUCGGAGUCCUCCCAAAGGAAAAAUGGAACCUCAAGUCCAUCCCAGUAAAAAGAAGACCAGAUGAGAAAUUCCCUGGGCCGGUAAUAUUCUAUUAUCAGUUUCUACUCUCAACUCGUUUCACUCGCAAGACCAGAAACUGAGGGACUGGUGUUAGGUAAAUCAGAGCACCAGCUCGGUCAUGCCAUAGUCCCCACCCCGGGGUGGAUUACCUCAGCCGAACGGUACGAGCAGAACACUGAAAAUGAGCCUUCUACAAAUAUAAGCCAACCAGAGAUGAGUAUCAGCCACAGAAGUACACCGACCAGAAGCAUAUACCGAGCCGAUACCUAUCCCCCAAAGAACGAAAACACGAUUUCACAGAAUCACGAUAGUUGCGCAUUUCCCAGAACCGUCGAGGGAGACGCGAGAUCCCACGAUUGCCCACAAUGUAGCAGUUAAAGUCACAUGAAGGGCUGCCACUACCCGAAAAAAAAGGGAUGAAGGGUAAACGAAAACGUGGGACAGCGGCUAUAAAAGAGGAAGAAAUCAAUGAAGAAGGGAGACAGAAAAACAGAGAGAGGGGAAAACUCUGCCAAAUUGUAUCCAGACCCUUUUCAGUACCAAUAGUGAGCUAAUUCUAAGCAAUUAUUUGAACCUUAAUUGCACCGUUUUCCCGUAAACACCUUAUGCUAACUUAGGCAUCGGAGGGUUUACGCCAGCAAAACCACCGGUGUCUCUGACCCAUUUUUGUGAACGCAGGCUUAGUGAGAAAAAGAAGGAGAAGUCUAACUUCAGCAACUAGAGCGAUCGUUGAAGUAAGGAGAAAUUGACAUCCUCAUUGUUGAUAAUACAAACGUUGGUGUAAAGAUCUGGUCGGGCAGAGGACGAGCAGAUUUCGGCAUCAACAGAUAGAUCUCAUUGGUUGAUUGGUGUGAGAGAGAAUGGAUUUGGUUUUAGGUGAUGAGCAAAGAAAUCAGAUGAGAGUAAUUAUGGAUUUCAUUAUUUCAAAGAGGGAAGAAAUUUUAGGGAUUUCACUUUUGAGAAAGCGAAGAAAUCAGAUUGGCGAGAGAGAGGGCCGCAGGAGGGGGGGAGGGGAGAAGAAUGAGAGAAAUUUAGGGAUUUCUCAAGUUAAGAACCAACAUCUCAAGUUGCCUUUCUUUUUCUAUUUUCAUUGAAUAAAAAAUAUCAACAAUUAGAUUCAUUUUAGUUGAAUCUAACGGUUUGGUUUGAUUUCAAUUUUCAGUAUAUAAAUUUUAAGAAUCCCGUUACAAUUUCCUUUGCAUUGAUUCUCUGUUUUGGUGAUUCUACAGUACGCUCCAUAACCAAAUUGAAGACAAAUGACACACGUUGCUCUUUGGUCAUAAAAUGUUUAUCCUCCUGAGUUAGUAGAUUUGCAUCAACAACUGUCGUAACUGAAAUGAGUGGCGAAUCAUUAACCCAACACUUUAAUCUCAUUUCUCCAGAAAACAUUUCAUAUGUGGGUUUCAGGGUAAUAUGUGUUCUUUUCUAAUUUUAUGCGCAAGUAAGAAUAUCAUUUUAAAAGGAACUGUAAAUAGCUUCGCUAGUUUUCAUAAAAUGCGAUGUACGCAUAAACUGAUGGGUAUAAAACUAAAUGCACUGAAAUUUUCAAUCGUUAUAAAUCCUAUAAAAUAUUCAUAAUUUUCCACACAUAAAGUAAAAGAAUAAUAAUUAAAUCACACUGACCUGAUUAUACCAAAUGAAAAUCCAGAUUUUUCCUAUAUAAAAAAUAUAAAUAUAAUUAAACCUAAACAAAUGGUAGAAAUCUCUAUGGAAACUUAAAAGGAACUCAAAUUGCACUAUAACAAAUCACCUUAGAAAUUGAAUAAGAUGCAGCAAACUAACCAAGUGUCAAAUCUGUUCCCUUCCGAACAUAGCUAAUUUAGCAUGAAUAUUUGAAAGUGAGAGAAUGUAGGAUCACAUGCGGGACCAACAACCAAGGAAAGCAGACCUAGCAUUGGCACGAAUUAAAAGUUAGACAAUACCCCUACACACAAUUAUUGGAGGCAUUCAUUGCAAAGAUUACAAAUCAUUACCAGUGAAAGAAAGGAAAAUCAAUUUGAGUGUCACAUGCGUCUACCCCUUAACAUUUUUAAGCAAUGAGUCUCUAAUUUUUAAGAGUCUUGUUACAAUUUCUUUUGCAUUGACUCUCUCCUCUGGUGAUUCUACAGUACACUUCAUAGCCAAAUUGAAGACAAAUGAUACGCAUUGCCCUUUGAUCACAAAAUGUUUGUCCUCCUGACUUAAUAGAUGUGCAUCAACAACUUUCAUAACUGAAAUAGGUAGCAAAUCAUUAACCCAAUGCUUUAAUGUCAUUUCUCCAGAAAAAAUUUCAUCUGUGGGUUUCUUCCGGGUAAAUGUUUCUAUUAACAUAAUUCCAAAGCUGUAAACAUCUCCAUUUGUGGAUACUCGUCCUUCUCUUCCAUACUCUAUGGAUUGCAACAGUUACAUAGUAAGAUAAUAUAAUUUAUAAUACUAUGCGUAAAUGAAGAUCAAAAUAAAUAAAAAAAUAUCAUAAAGUAUUAAAGAAAUAAAAAAAUAUUUAUUAUGUAACGAACCUGGUGCCAUAUAGCCUAUGGUGGCAAGUGUUUGUGUUUGAAUCAAAGAUUGAUCUUCUUUGAGUAAGGGCUUUGCCAUGCCAAAAUCACUCAAAUGAGCAACCAUAUUAUCAUCUAACAAUACAUUGCUGGGCUUUAAGUCACAAUGAAUUAUUGGGACUGAAUAACCAAAGUGCAGAUAUUCUAAAGCUGAUGCAACAUCUAUCAUUAUGUUCAAUCUUUGAAAAAUAUCCAAAAUGUAGUUGCUUGAAUACAAACACUUCUCCAAACUUCCAUGAGGCAUGUAUUCUAAUAUCAACGCUUUAAAAUCAUCAUUUGAACAACUGCUAAUGAUUUUUAUAAGGUUUCGAUGGCGAAUAUGUUUCAUCAUGUCACAUUCAAUAUCAAAAUUCUUAAAUGCUUCUCUAUAUUGUAGGUCAAAAACCUUUACCGCAACCUCCAUCCCAUAAUGAAUUCUUCGUUUGUAAACAUAGCCAAUACCUCCUCUGUCGAUUAGAUUGUUUUCACUAAAUCCAUUUGUAGCUUGAAAAAGUUCUAGGUAUGUAAGCCUUCUCUAAUUUGCUAUUGGUGGCAUAUUAGCAUCAUUUGGCAGUGGCUUCCCUCUCUUUCGAUAUCUUAAGAUCAACAAAAUCACUACCAUAAUAAAUAUAGUACUCAAUGGCAAGACAAUCCCUAUGAGAAGACCAUUUUUCCUUGAUGUGUGGUGGAUUCUAGUUCUGCAUGGUGGGACUUGCAGAUUAGGCAUACCACACAAUAAUUCAUUUCCCUUGAAUGAUUCAGCUAAGAAAUUUCUAAAAGAUCCCUCUCUAGGAAUCUCUCCUUCCAACUUAUUGAACGAAACAUUUAUAUCUUUGAGAUCUAAUAGUUUCUCUAAAGAUAUAGGAAUAAUUCCAGAGAGAUUAUUAUUGGAUAAAUCUAAGGAUUUCAAGUUUAUCAAAUCACCAAUGGAAUCAGGAAUUGAGCCUUGUAAUCUAUUAUAUUCUAAAAAGAGAUAUUGUAAAUCUUUUAGGUAGCCAAUUGUUAUUGGGAUAACACCUGAAAAAUUAUUCAUCGACAGAUCUAUUUUUAUCAAAACCUUCAAAUUUCCAAUCUCUAAUGGGAGUGGACCAGUAAAAAAAUUUGAAGACAAGUUAAGGUACAAGAUGUCCUUAAGGUUCAAUAAAGUUGAAGGAAUAGAAGUUAUCUGAUUGGAGCCCAAAUGGAGACUCCUUAGAUUGGUGAGAUUGCCAAAGCUUGCUGGGACGAAUCCAGAAAGCUUAUUGCUACCCAAGUCCAACUGAAAUAGUGCAGCUAAACGACAAAGAUCAUCUGGGAUUGAUCCUUCCAAUUGAUUAUAUUCCAAAUUCAAUAAUUGAAGCUUCUGUAAUUUGCCGAGAGCAAUCGGAAUUGAUCCAUUUAAUUUGUUUCCUCCUAAAUAAAUUGCUAUCAAGUUGGUCAAGUUACUGAUCUCUUCAGGAAUGCCGCCACUAAUGUUGCAACUGUGCAUCCAAAAGAUUUCCAUAGAUUGAGAAAGAUUGCCUAUUGCCCUUGGAAGGAUGCCAUCUAGUGAAUUAUUGGAGAAGCUAAAAUACUUCAAAUACUUGCAAUUUGACAAUGAGGAUAGAAAGUUCAAUUUUGGAGUUGAAGAUGUCAAAUAAUUAUCGUUUAAACCAAGCCGAUUAAGGUUUCUUAAGUUGCCAAAUGUGUUUGGAAUAAAACCGUAGAACGAGUUCAUUUGCAACUCUAAUCUGGAGAGCUUAGAAGCAUUGAAGAUGAAACUAGGAAUUGUGCCGCUAAAAUUAUUACCCCACAAGAGAAGUUCUUCGAGAUUUUGAAGUUGGACGUCUGUGCUUGAUGGAAGUCUUCCCGAGAGCUAGUUACUCUGAAGAUAAAGUGAGUUGAGUGUUGACACAUUGAAGAUUGUAGUUGGGACAACACCAACUAAUUUGUUAAAACUAAACGCCAUCCAGCAGGUAUGUUAUUCCUCAUGAGCAAUCGCAUGCGUUCGGACCGGGCUUUAUAGAUUGUAAGGAGGGCAUUCUGAGGAAGUGAAGGGAAUUGCUUGUGAAGCUUCGCUAGAAUCUCAUUUCUGUCCAUACCUUCGCCUCAGAAUAUCAGUUAUUAUGGGAAAACUGAAGUAACCGACUUGAUUGUCACGGAGUACCGUUAUCCGCCACUUCACCAGGGUAACAAACUAAAGCACACAAAUAGAAAAACAAAUUACAACACACAAAGAAAAUUAAAACUGUCCUCUUAUUGAAUUUACCUCAAGCUCUAACUAGAUGUCGUAAACACUUCUCUCAAUGUCUUUAAGUUGGCUUUCUAAACCCUCAACAUAUGAUACUAACUCUGGUGGUUGCAGAGCCCAAAUACGAUGUGUCUUACAAAAUCGAAUCUGCCUUUUGAGAUGAGAUUUUACACGUUGAAGUGGUUUAAGAAUGUUCAGGAGGAACGGUUUAAGUAUGGUACUCAUAAUUAAUAAUGAUAAAAAAAAUUCAAUGGUUAAACAAACAUACUUAUGCAAAAAUAAUUUCAAUUAGCAAAAAAAAAAAUAAAAAGAAAGAAAGAAAAAAAAAUCAAAUCACCGAAAAGAAAGGAAAAAAAAUCAAUUCAAAUCUGGUGGGUCACUCAAAUUUAUUUCGGUGUCUUCUCCAUGUGGUUGGUACUCUAGAUAUGACUUUAAUAUUUGACCAUUAACUUUAAACGUGACAACGUUCUUUGGGUCCUUAAUUUCAAUUGCCCCAUGUGGAAAAACAAUAUAAACAAUAAAGGGACCAGACCAUCGAGAGCGUAACUUACAUGGGAAUAGGUGCAAGCGAGAAUUGAAAAAAAGCACUUUCUGACCUGGAAUGAAAGAUUUUCUCAUAAUUUGCUUGUCAUGGAAGACUUUCAUUUGUUGCUUGUAAAUCUUGGCAUUUUCGUAUGCAUCAUUGUGAAUUUCUUCAAGUUCUGCCAGCUAUAAUCUUCUUUCUGAGCUAGCUUGCUGCAUGUCAAAGUUGAAUUUCUUGAUUGCCCAGUAUGCACGAUGCUUGAGUUCCACAGGUAGGUGGCAAGCUUUUCCAUACACUAGCCUGUAGGGGGACAUCUCAAUCGGAGACUUGAAAGUCGUUCUAUAUGCCCAUAAUGCAUCAUCAAGUCUUAAUGACCAAUCUUUUCUGUCCGGCUUCACCGUCUUUUCUAAUAUGUGCUUUAUUUCUUGAUUGGAGAUCUCAACUUAGCCACUGGUUUGCGGAUUAUAUGGGGUCGCCACUUUGUGAGUGAUUGAAUACUUUGUCAAAAGAGCUUUGAAUGCUUUGUUACAAAAGUGGGCACCACCAUCACUGAUUAUCGCUCGAGGGAAUCCAAAGCGUGAAACAAUGUUGCUUUUCAAAAAUCCUAUCACCACCUUGUGAUCAUUGGUUCUACAUAGAAUUGCUUCUACCCAUUUCGAUACGUAGUCAACAGCAACCAAUAUGUAUUGAUGGCCAAAAGACGGGGGAAAGGGUCCCAUGAAGUCGAUACCCCAUACAUAAAAAAUCUCAACCACUAAAAUUGGAUUUAGUGGCAUCAUGUUCCUUCGCGUAAUACUCCCCAUUCGUUGACACCUAUCACAUGAAGAACAGAAAGUGUAAGCGUUUCGAAAUAUAGUUGGCCAAUAGAAACCACAUUGUAAAACUUUAGUCGUUGUUUUCUUAGCACUGAAAUGGCCUCCACAAGCUUGUUCAUGGCAGAAUGAAAGAAUAUCUGAAUUUCACUUUCUAGGACACAUCAUCUAACAAUUUGAUCUACACAAUACUUGAACAAAUACGGGUCAUCCCAAAAGAAAUUCUUUAUUUUCGCAAAGAAUUUAGCCUUAUCUUGCUUGGUCCAAUGCUCUGGAAGUUGACCUGUAACAAGAUAAUUAACGAUAUCAGCAUACCAUGGUAAUACUUCCACACUCAUCAAUUGUUUAUCUGGGAAUGACUCAUUCAAUGGUAAUGAUUCCAUAAUUGUGUCAAAAUGGAGACAAGAGAGAUGGUUAGCUACAACAUUCUCUGUGCCUUUCUUAUCUUUAAAUUCCAAGUCGAAUUCCUGCAACAGUAACACCCAACGAAUUAGUCUAGCUUUUGCAUAUUUCUUUGUGAGAAGAUAUUUAGGAGCAGCAUGAUUUGUGAACACAAUUAUUUUACAACCAAUGAGAUAAGAUUGAAAUUUCUCUAAUGCAAACACUACUGCUAGCAUUUCUUUUUCAGUAGUUGAAUAGUUCAAUUGUGCAUCAUUCAAUGUGAUACUAGCAUAGUAAAUAACAUGGGGAAUUCGAUCAACUCUAUGUCCUAAUACUGCUCCUGCUGCAUGAUCAGAUGCAUCACACAUGAGUUCAAAUUGUAAGCUCCAGUUUGGGGCCUAAAUGAUGGGUGAUGAUGUCAACAACUACUUUAAUUUUUCAAACGCCACAAGACAUGAAUCAUUAAAGAUAAAAGGUACAUCCUUAGCAAGUAAAUUGCAUAAGAGUCUAGAAACUUUACUAAAAUCUUUAAUGAAACGUCUAUAGAAACCAGCAUGCCCAAGGAAAGAUCUUACUUCUCUGACUGUUUUGGGUGGAGGAAGAUCAGAAAUGAGAUCCACCUUGGCUUUGUCAACCUCAAUACCUUUACUCGAAAUGAUGUGACCGAGAACAAUACCUUGUUUUACCAUAAAAUUGCACUUUUCCCAAGUUAGAUGAUGUAAACAUUGAUCAAACGAGUCACCAAAGACAGAAAAGUCAUCUAUAAAGACUUCAAGGAAUCGUUCAACCAUAUCAGAAAAAAUACUUAACAUGCAUCGUUGAAAUGUAGCAGGUGCAUUACAUAAUCCAAAUGGCAUUCUCCUAUAUGCAAAAGUGCCAAAAUGGUAAGUGAAAGUGGUAUUCUCUUGAUCUUUUGGUGCUAUGGGAAUCUGAUUAUAUCCUGAGUAGCCAUCUAGAAAGUAAUAAAAUUCAUGGCCUGCUAAUCUAUCAAGCAUUUGAUCAAUAAAUGGUAAAGGAAAAUGGUCUUUACGUGUGACUGAAUUCAACUUUCUAUAAUCAAUGCAUACACGCCAUCCUGUAGUCACUUUAGUGGGUAUCAAUUCAUUAUCAGCAUUCGUAACUACUGUGACUCCUGACUUUUUAGGGACAACUUGUACAUGACUGACUCAUGAACUAUCAGAAAUUGGGUAAAUGAUACAUGCGUCUAAUAGCUUAAGGACUUCUGUUUUAACAACUUCUUUCAUGUUAGGAUUUAACCGACGUUGCAUUUCUCUAAUAGGUUUAUCAUUUUCAUCAAGGUGAAUGUAAUACAUGCAGUCUACUGGGUUUAUACCUCUUAUGUCCGCUAUGGUCCAUCCUAAUGCUCCUUUGUGCUCUUUUAAAACAUCUAAUAACUUAUCUUUUUGUUCGUCAUUGGGGGAUGAUGAGAUAAUUACCGGCAGAGUACUUUCUUCUCCCAAAAAUGCAUCUUCAAGAGUGUUGGGCAAUGGUUUGAGCUCGAGUUUCGGUGGUGAUUCUGAUGAUGGGAUGAGUUUCUUCUCUGAUGGUGCUAGUUGUUCAACUCUUGAUUUUUAUUUAUUAGUGUCCAUGGAUGGUGUUGAGUCAAGCAGGGCGUUGACCUCAUCGACCGAUCUGUCAAUAUCAAAAUCAAAACCAAAGUGAGUUAAACAUGUUUGUAAAGGGUCAUCACUAAGGUUUGAAACAAAAGUAUUAUCAACUAAUGUUUCUAUUAAAUCCACAUCAACAAUUUCAUCAUCUACAUUGUGAGGUUGUUUGGCAAUGCUGAAGAUGUUCAACUCCAUAGUCAUGUUGCCAAAGGACAACUGCAUAUUUUCAGUCCUGCAUUUAAUGUGAGCAUCCGCAGUUGCCAAGAAAGGUCGGCCUAGAAUAAUGGGGAUAUGCUUCCUUGAAUCCUGUAUUGGUUGAGUGUCAAUUACAAUGAAAUCAACAGGAAAAUAAAACUUGUCUACCUGGAUAAGCACGUCCUCCACAAUACCACGAGGUAUUUUCGUGGACCGAUCUGCAAGCUGUAACACCACUGGAGUUGGGUAUAAUUCUCCAAGUCCAAGUUUCACAAAUACUGAAUAAGGCAACAGAUUUACACUAGCUCCUAAAUCCAACAAAGCAUUCUCAAUUGUGUGGUUCCCUAUGUUACAUGAGAUAGUGGGGGAGCCUGGGUCUUUGCAUUUUAGAGGAAUUUUAUGUUGGAGUAUAGAACUAACAUUUUCUGUUAAAAAUGCCUUCUUUUGAACGUGAAUGUUUCUCUUUUUAGUACAAAGGUCUUUAAGAAACUUGGCAUAAAAUGGAAUUUGUUUAAUAGCAUCAAGUAAAGGGAUGUUAACAUUUACCUGUUUAAAGAUUUCAAGAAUCUCACCUGUGGAUUUUCCCUUCUUUCCUUUAGCUAACCUCUGAGGAAAUGGAGCUUUGGGAACGUAUUCUCGUGGAUUGGUUUCUUCUUUCUCCUCUGAUGGUGAGUCCUCAACAUUCACAGGUACAAUUUGAUUUUCUUUUGUCACCGGCAUCUCCACUUUGUUGUCGACUUCUUUUCCUUUUCGCAAGGUCAUGUCUGCUUUAACCUCUCCAUGCUGUUGUAGUGAACUGGUACUUGCUUCAUGUACUCCUUUAGGAUUAGGCACUGGUUGACUUGGAAAUUUACCUUUCUCAACAGUCAUUGCCAAGGUCUGAACUGAAGAAGCAAGUUGUCCCACCAUCUUCUCGAGGCUUGAAACUAAUUGGGCUUGUGAGUUGAAGCCUGCUCUCAACUCAUUUCGUAGUCUAUCAAUGGUGCGGUUCUGUUGCUCAAUCGUGGAGUGAGUAACAUUCUUGAAAUUCUGGAAUGCAUCCUCCCAUGGUCUAGGUUGAGAGUAGUUUUGGUUUUGAUUGUAUGGUUUAAAUGGUGGCUGAGUGCCUUGAGGAUUUUGUAGAAUUGGUGGAGCUGGAGCUGCUGGUCCAUUCUGUUGGAAUCCUUGAGACCAUGAAAAAUUGGGGUGGUCUCUCCAUCCAGGGUUAUAUGUGUUGGAGUAUGGGUUGUAAUUUGAUGGCUUUCCCAUUACACCUAUGGCAUUGGCUUGAUCUGGAUAUGAGUUAGGGUCAUGUGGCUCUGUUGAUUUAGCAGUCGAUAACGAUGCUAUUUGUCGAGAGAGACUUUCAACCAUCUCCUUCACUUAUUUGAUUCCCGAAGUUGACUCGCCAAUGUGAACUUCAUUCACUCCUUUAAUUCUUUUAGUAUUCCUAAGUGAUCGACUCCGUUGUUGGGAAUUAUCCGCUUGUCGCUGGAAGAAUUCCCAAAUCUCUGAUACACUUUUUGACAUUAGCUCUCCUCCACUUGUUGCCAUUAGCCAUUCUUGCACAUUCGGCAAUAAUCCCUCCAAAAAGUAUUGGCAUUGGUGUCAUUUCUCGUACCCAUGAUGUGGACACUUCAAGAGUAGUCCAUUGAAUUGCUCCCAUGUUUCGAAAAACUGCUCGUCCUCUCUCUGGGUAAACUCUGAGAUUUUCCUGCGAAUAGCAUUAGUUUUAUGCACUGGGAAAUAUUUAUUCAAAAAUUUAGUUACCAUUUGUUCUCAUGAUGUGAUGCUAUUAGCAGGCAAUGUAUUGAGCCAUGAACGAGCUCUAUCCUUUAAAGAAAAUGGGAAUAGUCUAAGUUUAACAUCAUCAUCUGAAAAAUUCUCAUAUCUAAAUGUUUGACAAACAACAUGAAAAUCAUUCAAAUGAUUAUAUGGGUCCUCAUUUUCUAAGCCAUAGAAUGUGGGGAGACAAUUUAGCACACUAGGUUUUAGUUCAAAACUCCUAGCAGCUACAUUUGGGUAUCUUAUACAUGAUGUGCUCAAAUUAGCUAAGGGACUAAAAUAGUCCUUAAAUAGCCUCUCCUGUGGUGCUUGUAAAUCCAUUCCAAAUUUAUUUUUAACGUGCUUGUGUGUGCAAAGUGUUUUUUCUAGUUCAAGGUCUAUAGGUUCAAGAUUAGGUAAUAAUGACCUACGACCAUGCAUGCAAGGAACACAAAAAUAAUAGGGAACAAAACGAAUAAAAAUAAAAAAAGAAGAAAUUACGAAACUAACCUUAUUGCGCUAUUAAAACCUUUCUAUAAGAAUACACAAAAACAAAUACGUGAAAUAAAUUAACUAAAAAUAAAUUAAUAAGAUAAACAAAAAAAAUUUACAAAGAAAAAUAAAUUGAAAAUUAAAUUACAGAAUUUUAAAGAAGAGAAAAAGAAAAGAAAUACUAACCUUUAAAUGUAGAUUCACUUUUUUUCUAUUUUUUUAAAGAAAAAAAAUACAAGAAAACAAUUAAAUGGAAUUAUUCACAAAAAUUAAUUCUAUGAAUUAAAAUUACUUACCUCCCCGACAACGGUGCCAAAAACUUGUUGUGCAAAUUUUAUUGAACUCGCAAGUGCACGAAUCUAUUGUAGAAUAGAUUAAUGGUGACGAGUGUCUAUCCCACAAGGAGAUUGAUUUUAAUUGUGUGUAGAAUUAAUUUUCUAAAUGGGUGGUUGGAUUUGUGGUGAAAAUGAUUUGGAUUAUCCUAAAAUUCGAAUUAAGAUGGCAAGAAUAAAUUAAAGUGAAAAUCUAUUAAAUUUGACGUACUUUGGUAUCUGGAUCCAUAUCAACAUGCAUCAUGGGCUAAAUAUUCCUUAUUAAAACCAAUUAAAUCAUGACGGGGGAAUCCACACCUCAUGAACCGCACUCUAAUCAAUAUGGUGCUAAGGGCUUAUCGUACCAAAUAAUAAUAACCUUGUACUAGAGAGCCGGUGAAACCAAGGCGGUAUCUAGACAAGAUUAUUAUUAUUUGUCGACGAGAAGUCAAAACAUCCACAAAAACUAGAGGGGAAGAGAAAAUAAAUUUACCAAAUAAAGCCCAUGACACAUGUUGAGACUUCACCUUCAACCCAAACUUGAAAGAAAAUUAGCUACUCAUAAUUGAACUAGGGGCAAAAAGGGAAUUUAUUAAAAUACGUAGAAAAUACAAGAUGGAGAGGGAAUUACAGAAAAUGGAGUCCAAAAAUGGAUUCAGGGAUAUCAAAUUAGGGGGGGAGGCCCCCUUUUUAUAGAUAUAUUGAGUAAAUCGUGGUCAUCUGAUUAAAAACAGUUUGGACGCUCAGGAUUGCGCCACGUCAUCAGUCAACAGUACGCGGUUUGACCACGCGGGUGAACAAUAACAUGGUUUGACCUGGGUUGAACAGUGACGCGGUUUUGUUGAAAAUAAUCCUGUAUAAUGCAUGUACCGUAUGCGAGAUUUUUGGUCCACUGAUAUGCUGCCACGUCAUCGAUCAACAGUGCAUAAGAAUUUUAGUCCAACAGGAUCGUGACACCUCAUCAGUCAAUGUCACAUCAUCGGUCAAUGUCACGUCAUCGAUCCGUCUAUGUGAACAGUGUCGUGAACAGUAACGUAGACAGUACCGUACAUGUGAACAAUGUCAUUUUUCCUUUUAUGCUCCUCUUAAGGUUUUCGACCGUCCUGAGUGCAAAAGUGAUGUCCGUUUCGACGUCUGAUCUCUCGUUCAUUGUGAAAUGACUAUGAUGCCCCUAAAAUAAAUAAAAUACUUAAUUAAAAUAAAACACACGUAAUUAAAUUACAAGAAGCUUAAAUACAUAAAAGUAAAGGUUGUUAGGAAGGCUUGAAAUGUAAAAUGACAAUUUUCUCCUUUAUAAAUAUGCAUUUUCUAACACUCAACAACGAGCUGCUUUAUUUGUCGGGCAUCUUUAUGUCCAUAAGCUGGCAAGCUUGCUGUAUGGUUUCAUUGCUGCUGGGGAAUCUCAUGGUGCUGAUUUCAUUGAUGAGUUCUAAAAUGAUAUUUGAAGGUGUAUGGCUAUCCUCUGAAGUUACAAGGAUAUAAUUCUAAAAUCGAAUAAUUGUUCUAUAAUUUCUUUUAUAAAGGUCUUUGGCAAUACUCCAUAUUGCCUUUAUUCCCCGGGCUCUGCGGUUUCUGAUCCAUGCUUUGGUUAUUUGAGGAACAUUGGUAUAUUCAGUUCCUACUUCUAUUUGAAAUUUUUUUGUAAGGUGUCCCACAUAGAUCAUGUAAAAUGCUUGAUAUUCAACAUUUUGGUGGUAUUCUAGGCUAAUAGUGUAAAAUUUUAAGUAUAUAGACCUUUUUUGGGCAAAUUUUGAAACUUCUUUAACUAAUAACUCAUCGAAACUGGCUAUUUCUCUUAAAUCUGUAUCUGGAUAUACUAGGUCUAGAUACCCAAACUAUGCUAUUCUUCCAAUAAGGAGAGGAUCUGCUCCUUUUAUAGCUAUCAUCCUGGGGUAUAUAUUUCCUCCAGGGGCCUUGAAAAUAGUAUUGUUGUGGGAACAAGUAGAGUAUACCCACGUGGAAAACUGUUUAUAUUCUUCUUCUUUUAUAUUUAGAAGAGAAGUUUUUUCUUCUUCUUCUUCUGAGGGAGUGCUGUUUAUUCUGAUGAACUUUUUUGGGGAAGUCUUUUUUAGUGAUUCGACUUCUAUGGACAAGGUUCGAUUGAAGGAUGGGUCACAGACUGGUUCUUGUUGUGGGAGAGGUCCACUACUGCUUCCUAUUUUUAUUGGGCUAGUAUUUAUUGAAAGCCCUUUUGUUAGGUCGUUUAUAUAUGGCUCUAACAAAUGUAUUCCCUUCUCAUGAGCCUCUGUGGCUUCUUUCAUGUAAUUUAUGGCAUCUAGCAUGUCUGAUGCCUCUGCUUUGAGCCUUUGUAUUUCUGUGUGUAUCACAUAUAUGGUUUUAUUUACUUCUGUAUUCAUUCUCCGAAUUCUAUGUUCCUGCUCAAGAAAUGUGCAAGAAAAUUAUUAGUUCCUUUUAUAUGUAUGAUUUUAAAAUUAUAAUAAGAUAAAUAAGCUUGCCAUCUAUGUAGUCUCCUGUAUUGGGGUUCAUUUGGCAAGAUUUUACUAAUAAGUGAACUUAUCUGAGAAUUGUCUGUUUCUACAAUAAAUUGUUUCUAGAGUAAAAAUAAUGAGAACUUUUUUAUUCCUUUGUAUAUUGCAAGGAGUUCUUUUUCAUGAACUGGAUAAUUGACUUGUGCUUGGUUAAAUGUUCCACUAAUAUAUCGGCAAAUUUCAUUUACAUCAGUUUUAAGUAUUGCUCCCCAAUGUAAAUCAGAUGCAUCAGUUUGCAUUACUAACUUAUCAUUUUCUUCUGGUAACCUUAAUGCUGGGAGGUUUUUACAUUCUUCUUUGAGAGUCUUUACAGAUUUCGUAUGUUCUUCGCUCCAUCCUCUAGUAUUAUUUUUUCUGAGCAAUUUUUGAAGUAUAUUUCUCUUUUUUGCUAAGUCUUUUAUAAAUCAUUCUGCAUAAUUUAAACAACCUAAAAAUUUUUGUAUUUGUUGUUUAUUUUCUAAUUUAUCUGGGAAUUCUGUAAUCUUUGUUCCUAUGUGGCUCUGAAGUCUAAUUCCUUUUUUGUCAAGAACUAUUCCUAAAAAUUCUAUCUCCGUGUGUUCUAUGACUGCUUUUCUUUCUGACAGAACUAUACCUUCCCUAAUACAUAUAUUAACGAAUUCUCUUAGAUGGUUCCUAUGGUCUUCUAAUGUUUCUGAUGCUAUUAAUAUGUCAUCAACAUAGACUAUGAUAUAUUUAUAAUCUCUAAAUAUUUUAUCCAUUCGACUUUGAAAGAUUUGAGGGGCAUUUUUUAGUCCAAAGGGCAUUACUAGCCAUUCGUAAUGUCCUUGUGGGGUGCUAAAGGUUGUAUAAGGAAUAUUGUGUUCUUCCAUUUUUAUUUGCCAAAAUCUUGAUUUACAGUCAAAUUUUAAGUAGUAUGUUUUAUUUUUUACAAGAUUUAUUAAUACUUCUUUAUUUGGAAGAAAAUAUCCGUCAAAUUUUGUGUAUUUAUUUAACUUCUUAUAGUUUAUUACCAUUCUUGUUUUUUCUCUUACUUGUUCUGAUCUUUUCCUGACCAUAAAGGCUGGGCUAUUAUGUGGGCUAUUGCUAGUUCUAAUUAGUUUUAAAUUUAAUAACUCUUUUAUUUGAAUUUUAAACUCUUCUCUGUCUUCUUCUGUGUACAUCAUAGGUUUAAGUCUUAUUAUCUAUUUUCGAUUAAUUCUAUUUUUGCUCUAGGAUGGUAUGGUUUCCAUAAUGCUAAUGGGUUAUCUUUAUAGACUUUUUCAAGUUGUGACUUUAUUGUUUCUAGUUGUAUAUUAUAACUCUGUCCAUUUGGGAUUAGAUAAUGUUUUUCAUAAAUAAACGUAUUAUCACCACGCUGGGCUGGCUGAACUCUGUAAGGUUUAAAUUCGCGAGGGAUGCGAAGGAUAUGAUUACAAGGGGUUUUUAGGGUGAUCAUAUAGGGGGUUUGUUGAUAAUAUUGAAAUUGUUGUAUAAAGUCAUUUCCUAGGAGGAUAUCGCAAUCCAUUUUGUCAUAUUGAAAUAUUUGAUUAAUACAUACUAUUCUACUGCCUAAAAGUAUUUCAAAGUUUAUUAAUGAUUGAUUUACCUGUUGUUUAUCUCCUAUUAUUCCAAUGAUUUUUAAUUUUCCGUUUGGUUUCCAUUGGUUUGAUAAAAAGGAUUUCAUAAUUGUUAUUUCACUACUAGUGUCUAUUAAGGCACACGUAUCUAUAUCUUUUUCUGUGAUGUUUAUUUGUAUAUAGACAGACAUAGGGUAUUUUAUAUAAGCUUGCUUUAUUCCUAACCCUGUUAACAUGUUUCACAUACUAUUCUUUGACCUUCUAUUUGUAGGGUUAUUUUAUGCUUCUCAAUUUUAUAAUAUUCUAAAUCAUUUAAAAAACUAUUUCCUAAUACUAUAUGUUUUUCUGGGUCUGUGGUCAUUAAUGAGUCUAUAUAGCAAGAUACUAUUAUUCUGAAUCCUUCUGUAAUUAUAGGAACUUUAACUUCUUGUUUACAAAUAUGUUUAUUACCAUUGAAAUCAGUAUAUUCAUAUGGAAUUUCUUUUUCUUUUACUAAGAGUCCUUUAUUUUUAGUGUGAUUCAUAUAUUUAUGACUUGUACUAGUGUCUAUUAAUAUAGGUAUCUUUGUUGUAUAUUCUAUUCCAUUAAAGUAUUGUCCAAGUAUUUUUAUUACGUUAUUAGUUGUUAUAGAUUUAGUUAUUUGUUUAUCAAUACUUAAUCUUCUAGAUGAACUUCCUCUUACUAAAGUCCUUCCUGCAAAACUUAUAGGAAUAAUGAAAUUUUCGUUAUUAUUGUUUAAAAAUUGUUUCCUAUCAUCUAUGUUUAGUUCAUAAUUUAUAGGAAUUUUGUAGUCUUAGAUUGUAGGUUCUAUAAACGUUGCUAUGUCUUCACAUUCUUUAUUUGUUUCUAUAUAAGGUUUAUUUCCAUAUAUUUCUCUGUAAUUCGAAUUACAAAAACUAUAUAAUGCAGAGUAAUGUAUUGUCAUUAAUCUAUUUCCUUCUUUCAUUAAGUUCUUUUUUAGCAGUUUAAAGUGUAAGCUUAGCGUCUCAUCUAUAUUUUUAUCUUUUAUGUGUACACAUUAUCUAGGAUGACAUGUAAAUAAUAGUUUAGUGUAACAUAAGUUUCCUUCUAUUGUUCCUAAAUGUCCUAUACUAGGAUCAUGGAACCUUUGAUCAUGUAGUGAUAAGACUAUGGGACUGUCUAUUCCUUCUUUGAAAAGGGAUUUUAUUAAGAUUUGAAUUUCUGCUAGAUAUACAUAUUGAAUCUUUUCUUUUGUUGGUUCAUUUUUUAUUUUCCUUAAUGCUAAAUCUAUAGAUCUUUUAUUUAUUAAACUAAAUCUAAUAUUUCCUUCAGCUUGUGUAAUUGUUACAGCCUUUUCUUGUUCAUAAUAUUCAUGUAAUACUAUUUGUUUUCUUUUAAACAUAUCUCUAAGUUUGUGUAAUAUCCCGUAUUCCGGUUUUUCCAUAUUUAUUUUCAAGAGUUUAUUAUAUUUUUCUGCAUUAAAAGUGGCAACAAGACUAUAUCCACUUUUAUUUUCCUCUUUUUCUAUUUCUUCAAUUUCUUCUCUAUCUUCUAUAAUUUCUUCUUUAUUCUGACUCAUCUUCUGAUUCUUUUACCAUAUAAACUUCUUUUCCUUCAUAAUCUGAUAUAUCACUUAUUUCUUCUAAGUCAUUUCUUAUAUUUUCAAAAUCUUCUCUUAGGAGUCUAACCUUCUUCUUUGUACAAUCUGUGCUAAUAUGUCCUAUCUCUCCACAAUUCCAAAACUUACAUUUGGAUUUAUCUAAUUUUUUUCUUUGGUUUUUAUACUUUCUUUUAUAAUAUUUUCUUUCUGGUUUUUUGUAUUUUCUUUUAAAGUUAUUGUAUUUUUUAUAUUUUUUCUCUUUUUUAUACAACUUUCUUUUUCGUUUAUAAGGUGUAUAACAACCCCAUUGGGUUGGCAUUUCUGUUUUUUCACAACAUAUUUCCCCUAUUUUUUACUUUUUUUUAUUAAAUUUCUUUGAAUGCAUAUUUCACUUAAUCUUGUAUCUAAAAAUCUUAUUCUAGAUCCUAAAGUAUCUGGAAGUCUAUUAAUAACACUAUAUUUCUCAUAUUCAUUGAUAAAAUAUCCAUUCCAGGGAUAUGGUAAUUUGGAAUAAUAUAAAUUUUUAUAAAUAUUUUGAUCUUCUAUACUUCUGAACUGUGCAUAAUAAUAUUUAUUAAAUUCACAAGUGUAUUCUUUUACAAAACACAUGUUACAAAUCGUUAAAUUUAUUAAUUUCAUUCUCACAUUUAAUUUUUCAUUUUUUGUUUCUAUUUCAGUAUUUUGUAUCCAAUCUUCGCCUAAGAAUUCACUAGCGAUAUAUUCAAUUAAUCUUUCAAUUCCUAACCCUUUAUCUCUGACUAAAGUUGUUUUAGUCGAAUCUUUUAUCAAUUUUUGUGUAUCUCCACUUAGUCCUUUCCACCAAUUGAAUACAUUUCCUGUAAAACUGGCUAUUAGGAUGUCAGCAAAUAAAUUUAUUUUUUCUUCUUCAGAUUCUACAUUCCAAUCAUCCUUAGAACCAUUAUAUAUAAAAAAAUAACUUCAUUUGCAUUCCCCAUUCAACUAAAGCUUUACGGGGUUCUAUUUUGCAAUCUAAAUCUAAAAAUGUUCAUGCAUUGCUUAUUGGUGUUAAUUUAUCAUUAUUAGGUUUAUAUUCUUUUUUCCAAGGGGUAUUUUUAAUGGGUGGUACAUAUUCAAAAAAAGGUUUAUUUUUCUUUUUGUUUAUUGUAUACCUAUGACUCGAUUCUGCUACAUUAGGCUUCAUCUCUGGUCCUCCAGCAGUAUUCAUUUUGAUGUAAUAUUCUUUUUCAAAAUCUUCUAAGUCACUAAGGCUUAUAUCACUAAAUUUUUCAGUUAAUUCUUCUAAUGUAUCUUCCAUUAAUCUGAAUCACUUGGAGUGAUUUCUUUUAUCUCUAAUUUUUCUUUUCCUUUUUCUUUAUUCUUUAAUUCUGCUUUUAAUUCUUCUGUUUCUUUUAAUAUUUUUGGGUAGUGAGUUUCCAUAAACCAAGCAUCAUAGCUGCCUGCUUGUGGUUUUUGUAUUGGUUCCUUAAAGCUUGUUCCAAUUAUUCCUGAUUUUAAUAUUUCAAACUUUUCUAAUCUUUUAUUUUUCUUUUUACUUAUCUGAAUUACAGACAUUUCUAUUUUUAUUUUUCCUAUUUCUUGUUUUAUAUCCUUUAUUUCUUCUUUGAGAUUUAAAAGUAUUUCUUUUAAUUCUCUUAAUGUAGUUUCCAUAAAGUUUAAGGGUGUCUAUAGAUUUUUUAGUUUCUUGAAUGUAUGUUACGUUACACGUAACUUAGCUUUGGCCUAAUUAAAAUAGUCAUUGGUCUUUAAUUCUCAAUCUAAAACCAGUAGAAAUGGUCUGUUUAUAUUUUCGCACGUGGUAUGAAAAAUAUUACUGAAAUUGGUGUGCAUGUUUUGGAUGAACCAUAUGUACUUUUUCUUCUAAGAAAAUCUUGAUAUUCAAUGAUUGUGAUAAAUUAUUUGAUUUUGUAUUAACUGAAACUUUCAUAUUCUUAUCCUGCUGAUAGUGGAUUGUAUAUAAUACAGUAGAUUUUCUUUACUGUAGGUUUGAGGAAAAUGUACAAUCAAGCUCUCAAUUAGUAGCAAUCAUGUAUUGAAGUUUCCGAAAGAUAUCAAAGUUAACUAGAGUUUAUAUCUGUUACACUAUGGAUAAUAUGCAUGAUAUCACGAUAUCGUUCACAUCUUACAAUAUUAUUUCGGAACCGGUGCUUAACAGGUUCCGUUCCACCAGAUUUUUGUGACUCUCCAUCUUCAAGUAUUUUAUUUGGAAAAUAACAAGCUUCAGGUUCCAUCCCUGAGAGCUUAGGUUGUUUCGGUUGUUUGAAAAAGUUGAAUUUGGCUAGGAAUAAGUUAUCUGGCUCAAUUCCAACUAGUUUUGGGAACUUGAAAUAGCUUACAAACCCACAUAGAUUUAAGCUAUAAUGAGCUUGCUGGUGAGCUUAAUCCUUUGUUUUUGAAGCCCCACGCAGUGGCAGGAUAACUUAUCGUGAUUGAAGAUGGUAAUCAGUGAAAGACAAGAGAAGAGGCUACAAAAUUUAUUUGACUGAGAAGAGAAGGUAAUGAAUUUUUUUUUUUAGAGAAAGAAGAGAUGAGACUACAAUUUUUGUUGGAGACCAAGAAGAGGCUGACCAUUAAAAAAAGAAAAGAGAAGAAGCUGAAUUUGGUGCGAUGGAGUAAGAAGACUUGUUUCAUUUUGAAAUAGAUUGAAGAUAAGCUUUGCGCCUUGCUGCUGCUGAUGCUUUUUUUUUUUCGUUCUUCUUCUCUACUACUUUGCCUAAAUUCUUUUAAUUUUUUGGUUUUUGAUUUGGUUAUUGGAUUGAGUUUGGGAUUAGGUUUGGGUUUUAAUUCUUUUAAUUAUUUUUAUUUUUAAUUUUGAUUAUUUUGUUUCAUUUAUUAUAAUUUUAUUUUUUAUUUAAUAUCUAAAUUGCAAAGAAUAACCAAAGUCAUCUAAUAUUUUUGUCAUUUAGAUCGGUGAAAUAGUAAUUUUACAUUAAAAGAGCAAAACAAUCAGCAUAUUAAUAUUAUGUUAAAUUCUCUUAUGGCGUUUAGACAAUAGUAAAAUAAUAAUAUAUUUUGUAAACUUUGGAUGAAAUUUUAUAAAAAGAAAAAUUAUAUAUUUUUGAAAAAAUAUAAAAAAUAGGUGGCAUGUGGAAUUGCCCUUUUAUUUAUCAAACACGUGUGUCAUGUCUUGUCUUUUGAAUUUAAUGUCUUCUUUUAUUUUUUUAUUACCCAAUUCAUUCAAAAUAAUCACAGUUAUGCCACUUUUCAAUUUAUAUAAUUUUAGAAUAUUACCUUUAAAUUUCAUGUUGCAUGUUUGAUCUCACUUGUUGCAUGUUUCAUGUGGAUUUUCGCAUGUUUGAAUAAAGCCAGAAAUGAAAAUUUUCACAACUAUUUCAUGAUUCACGUCAGUGUUACAUGUUUGAUCUUCUGUUGCAUCUUUCACAUUAACUGUUGCAUGUUGAUGUCGUUCUCAUGUUUGACCCCAUCUGUUGCAUGUUUGACCCCAUAUAUUCCAUGUUUUAUGUGACCCUCUUACAUGUAAAUUUCAUGUUGCAUGCUUGACCUCAUUUGUUGCAUGUUUCACAUAGAUUGUUGCAUAUCUUGAAUAAAGCCAAAAAAUGAAAAUUGUUCCAUCCGUUUCAUCUUUCAUGUUCGUGUUGCAUGUUUGACUUCCGUCAUUGCAUCUUUCAAGUGAAUUUUUGCGUGUUGAUGUGGUUCUCAUGUUUAACCUCAUCUGUUGCAUGUUUGACAUCAGAUGUUGCAUAUUUUACAUGACCUUUUUAAAUAUAAAUUUCAUGUUAUAUGUUUGACCUCACUUGUUGCAUGUUUCACUUUAAUUGUUUAAUGUCUUGAAUAGAGAGAAAAAUUGAAAAUGGGUGAGGAAGACAAAGUAACAGUGCAUAUAAUCACGAAGUUGGCUAGCCAACUUAUUUAACAAUUAAUCUAGUGGUUAACCACUUCCACUCCAGAGACAACCAACAAUGAAACAGUUAGCCGAUUGAUAUAACGAAGAAUUAAGCGGUUUAUCGCUUCCACUCCGGAAACACUCAACAAUUAAGUGGUUAGUCGACUAAUUUAACAAGGAAUCAAGUGGUUAACUGCUUGCGUUCAAGAAAAUAGCUAACAAUAAAACAGUUAGCCAAAUUGUUAAGCAAAGAAUUAAGCAGUUAGCUACUUCCACUCCAAAAGCAACUAAGUAUGAAACAAUUACUCAGCUUAUUUCACAACAAAUGAAGCGGUUAACUAGUACAACGAAUGUUUGACGUUGAUAUUUCAUGUAUCACAUUGUCUAACACAUGUAUAAAUAUCAUGUUGCAUUUCAAAAUUUCUUGACAUUUCAAGUGAUAAUUUAUAAUCAAAAUUAUUUGUUUCAUAUUCUUUUUUAUUAUUAAUUAAGUAAAUUUAUAUACAACAGAUAAUAUAUAAGAACUUGUAUUGGUAAAUUUACAGACAUAAUAAAUUAGGUGUAAAAUCUAUAAUGUACUUCUAGUACAUUAAAAAUGUACUAGUUUUCUUUUCUAAUUUUAUGAGCAAGUAAAACUCGUUAUAUUUUGCUUCAUUAAAAAAGAAUAGUAAAUGGCUUGCCUAGCUUUGAGCAAAGUAUUUAGAUCAUUUGAUAUGUAAUAGGUGCCAUUUCUCAAUCUACCAGCUUUGAUAUUGACAAAAUGCAGUACACGCAUAAGCUGAUUAUAGUAAACAAUUUGGCAAGAGUUCUCUAUAGAAAAUUAAUGGGGACAAAUGACCUUAGAAAUUGAAUAAGAUGCUGCAAAUUGACCAAGUGACAAAUCCAUUCCCAUCCGAACCAUAGCUAUUUAGAAUGAAUAUUUGAAAAUAAGAGAAGGCAGGACACAUGUGGGCACAGCAACCAAGGAAAGCAGACCUAGCGUUGGCAUGCAUUAAAAGUUAGAUAAUACUCUUACACACUAUUUUUGAAGGCAUUCAUGGCAAAGAUUAUAAUUCACUACCAGUGAAAGAAAAGAAAAUCAAUUUGAUUGUCUCAUACGUCUAGCUCUUCAACAUUUUAAAGCAACGAGCAUCUAAAUUUUAAGAAACCCAUUACAAUUUCCUUUGCAUUGAUUCUCUGCUUUGGUGAUUCUACAAUACACUCUAUAGCUAAAUUGAAGACAAAUGACACACGUUACUCUUUGGUCAUAAAAUAUUUGUCUUCCCAAGUUAGUAGAUUUGCAUCAACAACUGUCGUAACUGAAAUGAGUAGCGAAUCAUUAACCCAAUACUUUAAUCUCAUUUUCUCCUGAAAAAAUUUCAUCUGUGAGUUCAGUGUAAUAUAUGUUCUUUUCUAAUUUUAUGCGCAAGUAAGAAUAUCAUUUUAAAAGGAAUUGUAAAUAGCUUCCCUAGUUUGAGCAAAGUAUUUAGGUCAUCUGACAUACAAUAAGGUCCAUUUCUCAAUCUGCCAGCUUUGGUUUUCAUGAAAUGCGAUAUAUGCAUAAACUGAUGGGUAUAAAACUAAAUGCACUGAAAUUUUCAAUCCUUCUAAAUCCUACAAAAUAUUCAUAGUUUUUCACACAUGAAGCAAAAGAACAAUAAUUAAAUCACACUGACCUGAUUAUAACAAAUGAAAGUCUAGGUUUUCCCUAUAGAAAAAAUAUAAAUAUAAUUAAACCUAAACAAAUGGCAUAAAUCUCUAAGGAAAAUUAAAGGGACUCAAAUUGCACAAUAACAAAUCACCUUAGAAGUUGAAUAAGAUGCAGCAAACUGACCAAGUGUCAAAUUUGUUCCCUUCCGAAUCAUAGCUAAUUUAGAAUGAAGGAAUAUUUAAAAGUGAGAGAAGGUAGGAUACAAGCGGGCACAGCAACCAAGGAAAGCAGACCUAGCAUUGGCACAAAUUAAAAGUUAGACAAUACCCAUACACACAAUUAUUGGAGCUAUUCAUUGCAAAGAUUAUAAAUCAUUACCGGUGAAAGAAAAGAAAAUCAAUUUGAGUGUCACAUGCGUCUACCCUCAACAUUUUUAAGCAAUGAAUCUCUAAUUUGUAAGAGUCUUCUUACAAUUUCUUUUACAUUGAUUCUCUCCCAUGGUGAUUCUACAGUACACUUCAUAGCUAAAUUGAAGACAAAUGACACGCAUUGUUCUUUAGUCAUAAAAUGUUUGUCCUCCUGACUUAAUAGAUUUGCAUCAACAACUUCCAUAACUGAAAUGGGUAGCAAGUCAUUAACCCAACGCUUUAAUGUCAUUUCUCCAGAAAAAAUUUCAUCUGUGGGUUUCUUCCGGGUAAAUGUUUCUAUUAACAUAAUUCCAAAGCUGUAAACAUCCCCAUUUGUAGAUACUCGUCCUUCUCUUCCGUACUCUAUGAAUUGCAACAGUUACAUAGUAAGAUAAUAUAAUUUAUAAUAGUAUGCACAAAUGAAGAUCAAAAUAAAUAGAAAACAUAUAAGAAAGUAUUAAGGAAAUAAAACAUAUUUAUUAUGUAACGAACCUGGUGCCAUAUAGCCUAUGGUGGCAAGUGUUUGUGUCUGAGUCAAAGAUUGAUCUUCUUUGAGUAAGGGCUUUGCCAUGCCAAAAUCACUCAAAUGAGCAACCAUAUUAUCAUCUAACAAUACAUUGCUGGGCUUUAAGUCACAGUGAAUUAUUGGGACUGAAUAACCAAAGUGCAAAUAUUCCAAAGCUGAUGCAACAUCUAUCAUUAUGUUCAAUCUUUGAAAAAUAUCCAAAAUGUUAGUGCUUGAAUACAAACACUUCUCCAGACUUCCAUGAGGCAUGUAUUCUAAUAUCAACGCUUUAAAAUCAUCAUUUGAACAACUGCUAAUGAUUUUUAUAAGAUUUCGAUGGCGAAUACGUUUCAUCAUGUCACAUUCAAUAUCAAAACUCUUAAAUGCUUCUCUAUAUUGUAGGUUAAAAACCUUCACUGCAACCUCCAUCCCAUCCUGAAUUCUUGCCUUGUAAACAGAGCCAAUACCUCCUCUACCGAUUAGAUUGUUUGCACUAAAUUCGUUUGUAGCUUGAAAAAGUUCUAGGUAUGUAAACCUUCUUUGAUUUGCUAUUGGUGGAAGAUUAGCAUCAUUUGGCAGUGACUUCCCUCUCUUUUGAUAUCUUAAGAUCAACAAAAUCACUACCAUCAUAAAUAUAGUACUCAAUGGCAAGACGAUCCCUAUGAGAAGAUUAUUCUUCCUUGAUUUGUGGUGGAUUCUAGUUCUGCAUGGUGGGACUUGCAAAUUGGGCAUACCACACAAUAAUUCAUUUCCCUUGAAUGAUUUCGCUGAGAAAUUUCUGAAAGGUCCCUCUCUAGGAAUCUCUCCUUCUAGCUUAUUGAAAGAAACAUUUAUAUAUUGGAGAUCUAAAAGUUUCUCUAAAGAUGUAGGAAUAGCUCCAGAGAGAUUAUUAUUGGAUAAAUCUAAGGAUUUCAAGUUUAUCAAACCACCAAUGGAAUCAGGAAUUAAGCCUUGUAAUCUAUUACAUUCUAAAAAGAGAUUUUGUAGAUCUUUUAGGCCUCCAAUUGUUGUUGGGAUAGCACCUGAAAAAUUAUUCAUCGACAAAUCUAUUUGUACCAAAACCUUCAAAUUUCCAAUCCCUAGUGGGAGUGGGCCAGUAAAAGAAUUUGAAGACAAGUUAAGGUACAAUAUGUACUUAAGGCUCCAUAAAGUUGAAGAAGUAGAAGUUAACUGAUUGGAGCCCAAAUUGAGUUUCUUUAGAUUGGUGAGAUUGCCAAAGCAUGCAGGGAUGAACCCAGAAAGCAUAUUACCGCCCAAGUCCAACUGAAAUAGUGCAGUUAAACGACAAAGAUCAUCUGCGAUUGAUCCUUCCAAUUGAUUAUCUUCAAAACUCAAUAAUUGAAGCUUUUGUAAUUUACCGAGAGUAAUCGGAAUUGUUCCAUUUAAUUUGUUUCCACCUAAAUAAAUUGCUAUCAAGUUGGUCAAGUUGCUGAUCUCUUUAGGAAUGCCGCCACUAAUGUUGCAACUAACUAUCCAAAACUCUUCAAUAGAUUGAGAAAGAUUGCCUAUAGCCCUUGGAAGAAUGCCAUCUAGUGGAUUAUUAGAGAAGCUAAAAUACUUUAAAUACUUGCAAUUUGACAACGAGGAUAGAAAGCUCAAUUCUGGAGUCGAAGAUGUCAAAUAGUUAUCAUUUAAUCCAAGCCACUUAAGGUUUCUUAAGUUGCCAAAUGUGUUUGGAAUAAAACCGGAGAAUGAGUUCGUUUGCAAGUCUAGUUUGGAGAGCUUAGAAGCAUUGAAAAUGAAAUUAGGAAUUGUGCCAUUAAAAUUAUUACCCCACAAGUAAAGCUCUUCAAGAUUUGGAAGUCGAAUGUCUGUGCUUGAUGGAAGUCUUCCCGAGAGUGAGUUACUAUGAAGAUAAAGCAUUUUGAGUGUUGACACAUUGAAGAUUGUAGUUGGGACAACACCAACUAAUUUGUUAAAACUAAACGCAAUCCAUUCCAGAUUAUGGAGAUUACCGAUUUCAUGUGGUAUCUCACCUGUAUUUUGAAAAAAAAAUAAUUCAAAUUUAUUUUAAAUAAUAAAUUAUACACUUUUAUAUCAUGAAAUGAGUAUUAGUAAUUAAAAUGAUUAAAUAUGAGUUUAAGAUUAAUUAUUAUACAUAGAUAAAAUGUUAAUAAAUCAAUAAAUUUUUUUCUUAUUAAGUAAAUAUAAAUAUUAAUAACUCCAGUAUUCACGUCAUCAUUAAAUAAAAAACAUAAAGAAACUACUCAUUUUAAUAUUAAUUUGAAUUAGUAAUAUAAUAUUAGUAUGAACAUAAGAAUUUUUUUCAAACUAAAUUUUUAGUUUAUUGUUCUAUGUGCUACUACAGUGAAUAUAUGAAUAGAUAUCACUGUCGAAGAAUAUUGAUUUCAUGAGGUAUCACACCUGUAUUUUGAAAUAACUAUAUUCAGAUUGAUUUGUUUCAGAAAAUAAACAAUUCAUAAAAACAAACUCAAUUCUGUCACCACUCAUCCAUCAAUGAUUUAGUAUGUUUUAAGGCCUAUUUGGUAUUGAAGUUAAGUAGCUCUAGUUUUUAAGCCGUAAUAAAAUAUUUGAUAACUAUUAACUGCUAUUGUCUGGAACCAAAAUUGUUUGAUCCUCCACUAUAUGCAUAUAUAUAUAUAUAUAUAUAUAUAUAUGUUGUGCACACUUAUGAGAAUUUAUGAUAGAAAAUGUGUGGCGAAAUUAAAGGCUAAGCCGAGGAAUGCUAAUAUUAAUUAUAGGCGUAAUAAUAAUGUGUGUUGUACUUCUCUAUUUUAACUAUUAUUUCCAUAAAAUAAUUUUUUUAGCCUAUUUUUCAUAUUUAUCAGUUGAAAUACCACCGAGUACCAGUUCUUAAUUUAUUCAGUUGAAAUACUCAAACACUAAAUUAAGGUAAAAUAUCACACUAACCUUCAAGAUAUUGUAACUUAUAAGAUUGUGCAUCAUUGAUGAAGUUAAAAUAUCACACGAGUGGAUAUAUAUAACAUAAACCAUAAUAAGACGCACAUUAGAGUCUAUUAAACUGAAGAUCUAACUUUUCAAGCUUGGCCAUUACGUUUUCCUUUGGUAUGGCUCCAAAGAAAUCAUUAAACCACAGAAAUAAGAUUUGCAAAUAACUGCAAUUUCCUAGAUGAGAGGGUAUUUUGCCAUAAAACAUAUUUUUGGACAAAUAAAAUUCUUCCGAAAAAGGAAGAUUGUUGCAAAAAUUUGCAGGGAGUUCAGCGGAUAGUCUAUUGACACUGAAAUCAAGAAGUUGUAAAGAAGGCAUUUUGAAUUUGAAAGCGGGAAAGAACCAGAGAAUUGGUUAUCACUGAGAUCAAGCCGUUACAGCUGAAAUAGAUGUCUAACGUAAGGAAUGGUGCCCGCUUAAGAAUUUGUUUAUUAAUAGACUAUCUGCGGAAACAUAAUUUACAAAAUUUUGCAUAAUCUCAUAGAUUUCUAACAAAUAACAAGAUAGUGUCAAAUAGUUUAUUAAAAUGAAAUAAACAAAAUUUUUGUAAAAUAACGAGAUGAGCAGAACGAAACAUGCUCUAAGGCUACGAUUUAAUAUAGUUUAGACUUUCCUUUUCGAAAUCAAAACACCUUUUUUUUUUCAUGCCUAAAUAAACGUCUGAACUUUUGAUAUGAACAUGAGCAAAGAAGAAACAUUACCGACUAAUUCUUAAUUCUUUUACGAAUUUACGUCUUGGAAUUAGAUUAAAAUUGGGUGCGUUAUUGUCAUUGGUAUUCAAGAUAUUCUAACUUAUAAGAUUGAGCAUCAUUGAUUAAGGUAAAAUAUCACACCAGUGGGUAUAUCAUAAGCUAUAAUAAGACGCACCUCGGAGUCUGUUAAACUGAAGAUCUAACUUUUCAAGCUUGGUCAAGUUACCGAUUUCCUUUGGUAUCUCACCUGUAUUUUGAAAAAAAAAUAAUUCAAAUUUAUUUUAAAUAAUAAAUUAUACACUUUUAUAUCAUGAAAUGAGUAUUAGUAAUUAAAAUGAUUAAAUAUGAGUUUAAGAUUAAUUAUUAUACAUAGAUAAAAUGUUAAUAAAUCAAUAAAUUUUUUUCUUAUUAAGUAAAUAUAAAUAUUAAUAACUCCAGUAUUCACGUCAUCAUUAAAUAAAAAACAUAAAGAAACUACUCAUUUUAAUAUUAAUUUGAAUUAGUAAUAUAAUAUUAGUAUGAACAUAAGAAUUUUUUUCAAACUAAAUUUUUAGUUUAUUGUUCUAUGUGCUACUACAGUGAAUAUAUGAAUAGAUAUCACUGUCGAAGAAUAUUGAUUUCAUGAGGUAUCACACCUGUAUUUUGAAAUAACUAUAUUCAGAUUGAUUUGUUUCAGAAAAUAAACAAUUCAUAAAAACAAACUCAAUUCUGUCACCACUCAUCCAUCAAUGAUUUAGUAUGUUUUAAGGCCUAUUUGGUAUUGAAGUUAAGUAGCUCUAGUUUUUAAGCCGUAAUAAAAUAUUUGAUAACUAUUAACUGCUGUUGUCUGGAACCAAAAUUGUUUGAUCCUCCACUAUAUGCAUAUAUAUAUAUAUAUAUAUAUAUAUAUGUUGUGCACACUUAUGAGAAUUUAUGAUAGAAAAUGUGUGGCGAAAUUAAAGGCUAAGCCGAGGAAUGCUAAUAUUAAUUAUAGGCGUAAUAAUAAUGUGUGUUGUACUUCUCUAUUUUAACUAUUAUUUCCGUAAAAUAAUUUUUUUAGCCUAUUUUUCAUAUUUAUCAGUUGAAAUACCACCGAGUACCAGUUCUUAAUUUAUUCAGUUGAAAUACUCAAACACUAAAUUAAGGUAAAAUAUCACACUAACCUUCAAGAUAUUGUAACUUAUAAGAUUGUGCAUCAUUGAUGAAGUUAAAAUAUCACACGAGUGGAUAUAUAUAACAUAAAUCAUAAUAAGACGCACAUUAGAGUCUGUUAAACUGAAGAUCUAACUUUUCAAGCUUGGCCAUUACGUUUUCCUUUGGUAUGGCUCCAAAGAAAUCAUUAAACCACAGAAAUAAGAUUUGCAAAUAACUGCAAUUUCCUAGAUGAGAGGGUAUUUUGCCAUAAAACAUAUUUUUGGACAAAUAAAAUUCUUCCGAAAAAGGAAGAUUGUUGCAAAAAUUUGCAGGGAGUUCAGCGGAUAGUCUAUUGACACUGAAAUCAAGAAGUUGUAAAGAAGGCAUUUUGAAUUUGAAAGCGGGAAAGAACCAGAGAAUUGGUUAUCACUGAGAUCAAGCCGUUACAGCUGAAAUAGAUGUCUAACGUAAGGAAUGGUGCCCGCUUAAGAAUUUGUUUAUUAAUAGACUAUCUGCGGAAACAUAAUUUACAAAAUUUUGCAUAAUCUCAUAGAUUUCUAACAAAUAACAAGAUAGUGUCAAAUAGUUUAUUAAAAUGAAAUAAACAAAAUUUUUGUAAAAUAACGAGAUGAGCAGAACGAAACAUGCUCUAAGGCUACGAUUUAAUAUAGUUUAGACUUUCCUUUUCGAAAUCAAAACACGUUUUUUUUUUCAUGCCUAAAUAAACGUCUGAACUUUUGAUAUGAACAUGAGCAAAGAAGAAACAUUACCGACUAAUUCUUAAUUCUUUUACGAAUUUACGUCUUGGAAUUAGAUUAAAAUUGGGUGCGUUAUUGUCAUUGGUAUUCAAGAUAUUCUAACUUAUAAGAUUGAGCAUCAUUGAUUAAGGUAAAAUAUCACACCAGUGGGUAUAUCAUAAACUAUAAUAAGACGCACCUCGGAGUCUGUUAAACUGAAGAUCUAACUUUUCAAGCUUGGUCAAGUUACCGAUUUCCUUUGGUAUGGCUCCAGAGAAAUUAUUGAACUGCAAAAGUAAGAUUCGCAAAUAGCUGCAAUUUGCUAGAUCGGAGGGUAUUUCGCCAUAAAACAUAUUUUUGGACAAAUAAAGUUCUUCCAGAAAAGGAAGAUUGUUGCAAAAAUUUGCAGGGAGUUCAGCAGAUAGUCCAUUGACACUCAAAUCAAGAACUUGUAGAAGAGGCAUCUUGAAUUUGAAAGAGGGGAAAGAACCAGAGAGUUGGUUAUCACUGAGAUCAAGCCAUUGCAGCUGAAAUAGAUGUCCAACGUCAGGAAUGGUGCCUGUUUAAGAAAUUGUUUAUUAAUAGACUAUCUGCUAUAACAUAAUUUACAAAAUUCUGCAUAAUCUCAUAGAUUUCUAACAAAUAACAAGCUUGUUUCUGACUUCUUCUUCUCUACUACUUGUUGUAUCACUAACUUUUAAACUUUUGUUAUAGACACGAGCAAAAAAGGAACAUUGCCAAUUAAUUCUUAAUUUUUUUACGAAUUUAUGUAAUGGAAUUAGAUUAAAAUUGGAUGCAUUAUUGUCAUUGGUAUUCAAGAUAUUCUAACUUAUAAGAUUGAGCGUGAUUAAGGUAAAAUAUCACACGAGUGGGUAUAACAUAAACUAUAAUAAGACGCACCUUGGAGUAUGUUAUACUGAAGAUCUAACUUUUCAAGCUUGGUCAAGUUACCGAUUUCCUUUGGUAUGGCUCCAGAGAAAUUAUUGAACUGCAAAAGUAAGAUUCGCAAAUAGCUGCAAUUUGCUAGAUCGGAGGGUAUUUCGCCAUAAAACAUAUUUUUGGACAAAUAAAGUUCUUCCAGAAAAGGAAGAUUGUUGCAAAAAUUUGCAGGGAGUUCAGCAGAUAGUCCAUUGACACUCAAAUCAAGAACUUGUAGAAGAGGCAUCUUGAAUUUGAAAGAGGGGAAAGAACCAGAGAGUUGGUUAUCACUGAGAUCAAGCCAUUGCAGCUGAAAUAGAUGUCCAACGUCAGGAAUGGUGCCUGUUUAAGAAAUUGUUUAUUAAUAGACUAUCUGCUAUAACAUAAUUUACAAAAUUCUGCAUAAUCUCAUAGAUUUCUAACAAAUAACAAGCUUGUUUCUGACUUCUUCUUCUCUACUACUUGUUGUAUCACUAACUUUUAAACUUUUGUUAUAGACACGAGCAAAAAAGGAACAUUGCCAAUUAAUUCUUAAUUUUUUUUACGAAUUUAUGUAAUGGAAUUAGAUUAAAAUUGGAUGCAUUAUUGUCAUUGGUAUUCAAGAUAUUCUAACUUAUAAGAUUGAGCGUGAUUAAGGUAAAAUAUCACACGAGUGGGUAUAACAUAAACUAUAAUAAGACGCACCUUGGAGUAUGUUAUACUGAAGAUCUAACUUUUCAAGCUUGGUCAAGUUACCGAUUUCCUUUGGUAUGGCUCCAGAGAAAUUAUUGAACUGCAAAAGUAAGAUUCGCAAAUAGCUGCAAUUUGCUAGAUCGGAGGGUAUUUCGCCAUAAAACAUAUUUUUGGACAAAUAAAGUUCUUCCAGAAAAGGAAGACUGUUGCAAAAAUUUGCAGGGAGUUCAGCAGAUAGUCCAUUGACACUCAAAUCAAGAACUUGUAGAAGAGGCAUCUUGAAUUUGAAAGAGGGGAAAGAACCAGAGAGUUGGUUAUCACUGAGAUCAAGCCAUUGCAGCUGAAAUAGAUGUCCAACGUCAGGAAUGGUGCCUGUUUAAGAAAUUGUUUAUUAAUAGACUAUCUGCUAUAACAUAAUUUACAAAAUUCUGCAUAAUCUCAUAGAUUUCUAACAAAUAACAAGAUAAUGUCAAAUAGUGGAAAUGACAUGACACGUCCCCAUAAGAGAAUUUAUAAUGGGAGAUGUAAAAUUACCAAGAAGAGGAAGAUUUCACAUAUGCAUGUCGUUAGGGAAGUUACCUGUCAAGUUAUUGUGUGACAAAUCCAAAUUCGAUAGAGAAGAAAGAUUGAAGAUUGAUGAAGGGAUGGCUCCAGUUAAGAAAUUAUUUUGUAGCCACAAUAUCUCUAAUUUUGAAAGAUUCCCCAGCUCCUUUGGAAUUUCUCCUAAAAUCCAUCAGUAACAUAUGCGUUAACUAUUUUAACUUAUUAACUGACACUCAAGAAGAAAAAGAUGAAAUAAAAAAAAAGUUUUUGCCUGAAAGGAGAUAAAAAACAAUUUAUGAAAAAAUAAAUAAAUAAUGUUUUUGUCAAAUGACGAGAUAAGCAGAGCCAAACAUGCUCUAAGGUAAGGAUUUAAUCUAGUUUAGACUUUCCGGCACUCUAGAAGAAAAAAAGGAAAGUUUUUGCCUGAAGAGAGAUAAAAACAAUUUACUCAAUAGAAUUAAAUAAUUAUAGGCUGAGAGGAUUAAUAAAAGUGGGACAUUAUUAAUUUUCAUCAAUUAAUUAAACUCAUUGAUCAUACCUUGGAGUUGGUUCCCUCGAAGAUAUAACCCGAUAAGCUUUGUCACGUUGCCAAUUUCUUUUGGUAUGGUCCCAGAAAAAUCAUUGAGCGAUAAAGAUAUCUCUCGCAGCCGUUUGCAGUUUGAUAAAGUCGAUGGUAUCUUGCCAUGAAACAUGUUACUUUUAAGAAAUAGGGAUUCCAAAUUGGAAAGGUGAUUGCAAAAAUUUGGUGGGAGUUCGCCAAAUAGUGUAUUAUUUGUAAAACGAAUAGAAAGUAAAGAAGACAUGUUGAAGAUAGAGGCGGGAAUGGAACCCGAAAACCAAUUAAAACUGAGAUCAAGUGUUUGAAGAGACGAGAGAUUCCCAAGUUCAGAAGGGAUAGUGCCUGUGAGAUUUAACCCAUAUAUAUUCAAGGCUGUCACUCUAUGAGUACGGACAUCACAAGUGACGCCCGUCCAAUUACAGACAGAGCUACUUGUGUUCCAAUUUCUAGCCAAGAAAUUGGCUGGAUCAUCAGUUACAUGACCUUUCAGGGAAAGAAGGGCUUGUUGGUCUGUGGUAAUACUUGUAGUGUUGGCUGAUGCAAUCAUGAAGGAAAGAAUCAAGCAAUGGAGUAAGAGAAAUCUGAUCAUCAUCUGGGCAGAAGGAAUUCUUUCCAUGAGACUAGAAUAUUUAGAUUGUAAGUGUGUGCUUAAUUGGAUUGAUAAUCCAAGAACACUCAUAGCUGCUUCCAAGUAUAUAUAAUGAAACCCAAAUUUCGAAGAAGCAGCAAGAAAGAAAAUAGAGGAGUGAAAAGACUAUGCUCAUAACUUGUUGAAAGGUGCAAUAAUUUUAUGUGGACCCGCUGCGUCAAGCCAGUCCUUCAGGUCCACACUCAGGAUGAUUGCAGUAAGUUUUGUUUUCCUUUAUAAUCAUCCUAUUAAUUUAUCGCAAAAUAGUUCUACUCAUUAAAAAAAAAAAAAAUUAUUCUCCAUUUAUAGUAACAGGACAUAUAAUGCUCCUAGAAAAAAAAUUAUAUUUCUAUAUGCUUUUUCUGAAUUUGAGAUAAUUUACGAACCGGUGGUGUCACUUUCAUCAAAGUAUUGGCGUUGGGUAAUAAAGUUCUUCACGGGUCAAUGAGGACGUCAUAAGUUGACGACAAAUUGCCUAAGUCAAUGAAAGAAGAGACAAUGAAACCGAUUAUUAUUUUUAUAUAAGUAUUCAUAUUCAUUGAAGGAAUUUAACAGUUCUCAAUGGAACAAUAGAUGUUUGAGUGUUUUUGCUAUUGGUAUGAUCAUUCAAGGAUUUACAAGUGCCAAUAAAAAUAUAACCAAAAAGGAAAAAAUAUGUGGCUUCAGUUGUAUUUGUGAGGGACACUCAUUUCUGAUCUUUAACUUGAAUUGGUUUUUUUUUUCCUCCAAAUUAUGAAUAUCUCAUGUGGAAAAAGGAAAUUUUUAUCACCUAUGAUUGGCUAAUAUGGAAAUUCUCUUUGAGCAAUAUAUAAUUCUCUUUUAAGAAGAAGAAGUUAGUGGCCUGUUAAUUAUGUGUGCUUUAUGGGUUACAAUUAGCACUAUUUUCAUUUCACUUUUAUUAGGGAUGAUGACAGAACUAAAUUUUUAAAAUUUUCUCUGGAAAAAAAAAAUGUUUACAAAGGCGUCAUGUGCAUGCAAUCCUACAGAAUUUCGUAACUAAUAAUAAACUUGCAAGAGAUUGAGAUUGAACGAUGAUGAAAUACAGAGCAAAUGCAAGAGCAAAAGAAAGAAAACUCGUUUUAAAAUAAUAAUAAUAAUAAUAAUGUUUAUAUUACUUUUAUUUGCGAAAAUUUUCAAAACAUAAUAAUUAAUUCAUACAUACAGAUUAAUUUGUCAGAGGUGUAAUAUAAUUUUCGGAGAACGCGUUGCAUUAAGUCACUCCUUCAGGUCCACUCCGAAUCACUAGAUAUUUUCGUCUCUUCUUAUUAUGUGGAUCCAAUCAAAACUUUCAACUUUUGGGAUUCAGCCAUCGGAUUUAAUGAAAAAGCUGUUCAAUGCCAAGAGCUUUGUUUAUUGGCUAAUGCUAACUUACAUGCAUGUAACUUACAACUCUCUCACAUAAAUAAUGAAUGAUGUGGGCUUACUCACUAUUUAUGUGAGAGGGUUGUAAGUUACAUGCAUCUUGUUUAUUAGGUUUUUAACAUUACCCAAUUAUUUGAUAAAAUAAAAAAAUUGAAAAAUAUGAUUUAGUUCUUAUAUUUUAAUUUAGGAGUUUAUUUAUUUUUUAUAUAUUGAAAAAUACUUCAAAAUACUUCUCUUAUUAAAUAUAUUAGGUUCCAACUUUUAAUAUUUUCGUUUUAAUGGUAAUACCUUACAAUAACAAUCUUGGAGAUAUUAAUGAAAAAAUUUAAUUCAUCAAAUUAGCCUAAAAACAUAAAAAUUAAAGAAAGUCAUGAAUCGCAAAGCCAAUGUGACACUCGUGAGUGCUUUUUAAGUAUUUAUUAUAAAUAAUUGCAAAGCCAAUUAUUUAUUAUUUAUAAUGAAACCGAAAUUUCUCUCCGCGUGAAAAUAAAGGAGUGAAAGCGAGAAAAGAUUCCUCUCCACGUGAAAACAGAUGUUGAAAUGUUUUUGCUAUUCGUUUGAUGAUUCGAGGAUUCACAAUUGCCAAAGAAAAUAAGACAUUAUAAAUAAUAAAUAAUUCCAAGAUGAAGAAAUCAGCGGCCCAUCAGUUAAUUGUUCGUGCUCCAUGGGUUAUAACAUUUUUGUCGAUACUCAACCCAACUCAGAAAUCACGAGUUGCACAGUCAAUGAAAAAGAAGACAAAAGUCACUUAAAGCAACGACAAUAAGACAUUGACUAAUGAUAAUAUGGUGGGACAUUAAGUAUGCAUUUGAGAUUAAAGUAGAAACUUAAUAAAUUUCUUAUUUCAUAAUUUUUGAUAAAAAUAAUAUUAGAUAAAUUUCUUAAAAACUACUUCUUUUAUAAUUUUUUUUAUUUUACUAUCGUUUUUAAAAACAGGUUGAGAUUUACUUUUCAUAAGCAGCUUAAAAUAAGCCACCACAAUUUUUCAAAAUUUAUAUUAUAACAUUAAUAAUUUAACAAAAAUUUUAAAUAUGUCUUAUUUUUUCACACUCUAAUUUAUAAGCCACUAGAUAUCAUAUUACCACCAUAAUUUACCGCUGCAACUAAUGUGCAUUCUCUCCAAUAUCAAAGUUUUGAUUUAGCAGGUUCAUAUUUUUAAUAUUUUAAUUUUAUUUUUUAUUAUAAAAGUAAUGAGACUUAUAUAUGAUUACAUGAUUUUUUUUUUAACUAUGAACAAGUUCAUGUGAAAGUUAACCAUAACUUUUAAAAUCAAUUUCAUAACCAUGGGUGUUAACGUUCAAUUUAUUUAUAUUUUUCUAUAGUCAUGGUGUUCGUUGCAACAAAUUGAUUCUAUGCUUUUAGGAGUCUCGUUACCAUUUCCUUUGCAUUGAUCAUCUGCUUUGGUGAUUCCACAGUACACUCCAUAGCCAAAUUUAAGGACAAAUGACAUACAUUGCUCUUUGGUCAUAAAAUGUUUGUCCUCCCGACUUAGCAAAUUCGCAUCAACAACUCCCAUAACUAAAUUGGGUAGCAAAUCACUAACCCAACGUUUUAAUGUCAUUUCUCCAUGAAAAAUUUCAUUUGCGAGUUUCUUCCCGCUAAAUGUUUCCAUUAUCAUAAUCGCAAAGCUGUAAACAUCCCUAUUUGUGGAUGCUUGUCCUUCUCUUUUAUACUCAAUGGAUUUCAACAAUUACAUAGUAAGAUAAAAUAAUUUACAAUAAUAUGCUCAAAUGAAGAUUAUAAGAAAUAAAUAACAUUUGAGAAAGUAUUAAAGAAAUGAAAAAAUAUUUAAUGUGGAACAAACUUGGUGCCAUAUAGAUAACAUAUAGUUAUUAGUAAGAUUUAUGAUAAAAGACAAAACAAAUUAGCUCUUUUAAACUGAUAUUUAUUGGUUAAUUUGGUAAUGAAUAAUGAGUUAAUUUGCUAUUAAUUUUUUAGAUAAAUUAAUUAAUAUUAAGAAUAUUAUUGUUACAAUAUUAUUAUAAAAGUAAAAAAAGGAUAAUAAUGUGACAUAUUUAAUAACAAAGGUAAAUUAAAAUACUUUUUAAAAUAUAAAAUUAAAUGAAAACUUAAAUUAAAAUACAAAAGAUAAACAAGCAUUUACUUGAUAAAAAAUCAUAGAAGUUAAUUCUGCGUGCUUUAGAGGAAUGCUAAAGAGAGAGAAAGACGAGAGAAAGUUAAGCGAUAACAUUUUUGUCAAUCCUUAGCCCAACUCAAAAGUCACGAAUUGCCAAGCCAGUGUGACACUCGUUGGUGCUUUCAAGUAUUUAUUAUAAAUAAUUGCAAAGCCAAUUAUUUAUUAUGUAUAAUGAAACUGAAAUUUCUCUCCGCGUGAAAAUAGAGUGAAAGGGAGAAAAGAGUCCUCUCCACGUAAAAACAUAUGUUGAAAUGUUUUUGCUAUAUGGGGCAAAACUACGUUGUAACAUGGUAUCCUGGAAUCUUGUUAUUUGCUAUAAAAAUAAAAAAAGCUAAAAACUUAUUAAAUUUUCACACAUUAGUCCUACACUCAAAAAUUUUCAAUUGCAUUAAAUUUUCACACAUUAGUCCUACACUCAAAAAUUUUCAAUUGCAUUAAUACUUCUGGAAGCCACGGUUUAUUUCAGAAGCACCUAUAAAUUCAAGCAUUUACUCUCUUUAUACUCAAAAACACCAAUAAAUUAAAAGAAAAGUUUUUUGAGUUGUGUAAUUGAAUUUGAGGCGCAAUAGCUUUAAUAAGAAAUAAAGGCAACUGCUUGCUUUCUUUCAUACUUUGUAAAACUCCUAAUAUGAUAACCCAUUUAUGGCACGAUUAACUAUUCAUUUAAUUAUACUAAUUGACUUAUAUUUUAAUUGAUAGAUAUGUGCUUAAUUGUCAUCUCUAUUGUUGUGCAUGCACGAUGUUAGCAAGAGAGAAGAAAAAAUAAAAAAAUACUUAUUUUUAGUUUAUUUUUACUAAGGAAAUAUUUAAAUUAUUUUCAAAUAGAGUAAUUGUUUAGAAUUUGUUUUUACCCUUCUCUCAGUUAAGUUAAUGAAAUAUCUCAACCGUAUGGAUGUGUGCUAAUGACUAUUUAAAAUGUUGGGAUGAAGUAACAAAUAUCAAUAUAUUUAAGUGUGCAAUUAAAUUUAUUAUUUUUAUCUAGGGAUAAAAACUCAACAAAAAAAAAUACAAAACUCAUUGUUCAAACAAACAAAAAUUAUUUUACAAAUUCAUAAACUAACACUUUAUUAUUAUUAGUAAAUUAACAUAUUUUUACUACAUAAUUAAAUAACUGAUAGUAUGUUAAAUAAAUCUUAUGUUACAAAAAAACAUAGUAAAACAUUAACUACAAAGAAUAUCAAAUUAAAUUUAUUUUUGUAUUUUGUACAUUCCAUUUACUUGAGAUAGUAAAAUCCCUUAUGUUGGGAAAAAAAAAGGUUAUGGGGUUUGAACCUUGGUCACAUAGAUGAGAGGAAAUUGGUUGCCGUUAUGUUAAAUUAAAAAAAAUCGUAUUUAUAUUUAUCAUUAAUUAUGGUUAGUAAAUAAUAUACAUAGUUUAACUAUAUAAUAAAAUAGUUAAUUUUUUGAUUAAUAAGUAAAUUUAUUAAUUUAAAUAGAUAUUAAUAAAUGUAAGAAUAAGUCAUUUAAGUGGAAACCUAGUUCAAUAGUGUAAAAAAAUUAGAAUAUUAUGGACUUAUAUGUCAUAAUUUUAAAACUUUUAAUUUUUCUUAUUUUGUAUGAACAAGAGGGACUUUUAAUGUUAAUAACCUAAAAUCACAAUUAAGCCAUUAUACAACUCUUGGGUUAGCCCGACUCAAAAGUCACGAUUCGCCAAGCCAGUGUGACCCUCGUGAGUGCUUUUAAGUAUUUAUUAUAAAUAAUUGCAAAGCCAAUUAUUUAUUAUUUAUAAUGAAACUGAAAUUUAUCUCCGCGUGAAAAUAAAGGAGUGAAGGCGAGAAAAGAUUCCACACGUGAAAAGAGAUGUUGAAAUGUUUUUGCUAUUCGUUUGAUGAUUCGAGGAUUCACAAUUGCCGAUAAGUCAAGAAAAUUUCCAAAAAUUAUCUUCCAAAAAUAAAUUAAUUGUGUGUGCUUUAUGGUAUAACAUUUUUGUCGUUACUCAACCCAACUCAGAAAUCACGAGUUCCACAGUCAAUGAAAAAGAAGACAAAAGUCAAUAAAAGCAAAGACAAGACAAUAAGACAUUGACUGAUGAUAGCAUGGUAGGACAUUAAGUAUCCCUCGGGAUUAAAGUAGAAAUUUAAUAAAUUUCUUAUUUCAUAAUUUUUAUAAAAAUAAUAUUUAAUAAAUUUUGUAAAAACUAUUUCUUUUAUAAUUUUUUCUAUUUUACUACAGUUUUUAAAAAUAGGUUAAAAUUUACUUUUCUAAGCAGUUUAAAAUAAACCACUAUAAUUUUUCAAAGUUUAUAUUAUAUCAUUAAUAAUUUAACAAAAAAGAUAAUUAUAGCUUAUGUUUCCAUACACUAUAGUUUAUAAGCCAUUAGAUAUCAUAUUACCACAAUAAUUUACCACUGCAACUAAUGUGCAUUCUCUCUAAUAUCAAAGUUUUGAUUUAGCAGGUUCAUAUUUUUAAUAUUUAAUUUUAUUUUUUAUUAUAAAAUUAAUGAGACUUAUAUAUGAUUACAUAAUUUUUUUUAAACUAUCCAUGUGAAAGUUAACCAUAACUUUUAAAAUCAAUUUCAUAACCAUGGCUUUUAACGUUCAAUCUAUUUAUAUUUUUCUAUAGUCAUGGUAUUCAUUACAACAAGUUGAUUCUCUACUUUUAGGAGUCUCGUUACCAUUUCCUUUGCAUUGAUCAUCUGCUUUGGUGAUUCCACAGUACACUCCAUAGCCAAAUUGAAGACAAAUGACAUAUAUUGCUCUUUGGUCAUAAAAUGUUUGUCCUCCCGACUUAGCAAAUUCGCAUCAACAACUCCCAUAACUAAAUUGGGUAGCAAAUCACUAACCCAACGCUUUAAUGUCAUUUCUCCAUGAAAAAUUUCAUUUGUGAGUUUCUUCUAGCUGAAUGUUUCCAUUAUCAUACUCGCAAAGUUGUAAACCCCGUUUGUGGAUGCUUGUCCUUCUCUUUUAUAUUGGAUGGAUUUCAACAAUUACAUAGUAAGAUAAAAUAAUUUACAAUAAUAUGCUCAAAUGAAGAUUAUAAGAAAUAAAUAACAUAUCAGAAAGUAUUAAAGAAGUGAAAAAAUAUUUAAAGUGGAACAAACUUGGUGCCAUAUAGCCUAUGGUGGCAAGUGUUUGUGUUUGUGUCAAUAAUUGAUCUUCUCUGAGUAAGAGUUUUGCCAUGCCAAAAUCAUUCAAAUGAGCAACCAUAGUAUCGUCUAGCAAUCGGCUUUAAAUCAUAGUGAAUUCUAAGUGUUGAAUGAUCAAGGUUUAGAUAUUCCAAAGCUGAUGCAACAUCUAUCAUUAAGUUUAAUCUUUGAAAAAUAUCCAAAAUGUAGUUGCUUGAAAAAUAUCCUCUAAAUAGGCAAAGAGACGAAGAAUAUUUAAGAAUUUUGCUGACAUAAUAUAAAAGUGAAAAACCACUCGUGAACGUCUACACAUCGUUAAUGCUUUGGUUAUGUGUGUGUAUAUAUAUAGUAGUUUUCUAGUUCGGAAACUUAAAGUGUGGGAAAAGUUUAAGAAAGCUUUAAAACUGUGAGGUUUAAUAGUAUUAUAAAAUAAGACGCCUUCUCAGACUUUCUCAUACUUUAAAAUCCUGAAUUAAAAAAUUUAUAUAUAUAUAUAUAAACACACACAUAUGUACCAGCAUUUACAGCGAAAUAUCUGACUAAUAUCUAUAAAAAUUAAAAAGGUAUAGUGCAAGUAAGCAAUAGGCGGUAGAUAGAUUGUGUGUGCGGUUAAAACUAAAAGACGAAAUGUGUGGUAUGUCGGAUUACAGGAAGAAUGCGAGAGAUUCACAUUUGUUAUGCUGAAUUAAACUGAAUAUAUGAUUAGGUAAGAUUGUAUUAGACUGAAUUAGAUACGAUUGGACUAAAUUAUUUAUGGUGGAUUGGAUUGAAUUCAUUGAUAAUUUAUAAAUAAAAUUAAAUAAUUAGAAAAUACUAAUAUAAAUUAAAUUAUUUAUCUCAAAACAUUUUAUUAAUAAUGGUGAAGUAUUAUAAAUAUACAUUUUUAUAUCAUGGAAUUAGUAUGCAUAAUAUUAAUUAAAAUUAUGGAAAAUAUACAAGUUUAAGUUUAAUUAUAAUUGGAAUAAAAUCUGUCAAAAUAAUCUAAGGAUUUUGAUCGAGAGAGUGAUGUUGCUCACCACCGCCUUAUGGAGAGUGAUGUUGCACGUGUCCAACUCUAAUUAGGAGACAUGUGAAGCGAGACUCAUAGCUCUCUGAAUAACAACUGAAUACAUGCAGACGUCGCUCAUGUGAUCACUACUCAACAAUCUAAUCUCUUAAAAUUAUCUCGUAACAACUAAAUGUGCCCCAACUUUAUAGUGUACUACUCUAAUUUUUAUCUAGGAUUUGGAUUUUCUCCUAAUCUAAUCUCUCCUAAGCUUUUGUAUAAGAUCAUGACACAUGUCAUUCAAGUCUUUAGCUAGGAUUUAAUUUAUUUCAAACUUGGCUUUUUUAAAAAUCAUGAUAAAAAUUCAUUUAGUCCCUAUAUUUUAAAAUUAGUGCUUGUUUAGUCUUUGUAUUUUUAAAAACACCUCAAAAUAUCAUUGCCGUUAAACAAUUGACACUACUGUUGUUACUUUUUGUUCCUUUUGGCUUACUUUUACAAUGUUACUCUCUUACAAUAAUUUGUUUAUAUUAAUAAAAAGAAAAAAUAAACUACUAUUUUAACCCCAAAAUAAAAUUAAAAAAAAAAUAUAUAUAUAUAUAUAUAUAUUUUUUUUUUUUUUUUGGAAGCUCACAUAUGUCCAAAAAGAAUUAAUAUUGUAAAAAAAUUAAACUACCAAUUUUUUUGGACAUUGAAAAAAAAUACAUUAAAGCAGAGUGGAAAAAAUUAGUAUAUAUUCUUUUCGUUUCUAUUUUAUUUUUUGGGUUAAAUUGAUAAUUUAACUUUUUUCUUUUUAUUAAUGUAAAAAGAAAUAUUAUUGUAAGAGGGUAAUAUUAUAAAAAAAAAAGAACAAAAAGUAACGAUAGAGGUGUCAAUAGUUUAAUGGCAGGAAUGUAUUGAAGUAUUUUUUAAAAUAUAAGGACCAAAUAGACACUAACUUCAAUAUAUAGGGAUUAAACGAAUUUUUACCCUAAAAAUCAAAACAUAAGUUUUCAUGCCUAAAUAAAUGUCUGAAACUUAACGGUUAUUAUCACAAACUGCUACUUCUUUCUCGCUUCUUCUUCUCUACUACUUUGAAUAUCACAAACUUUGGACUUCUGUGUAAAACUUGAGCAAAGAAGAAACAUUGCUCAUUAAUUCUUAAUUCUUUUAGGAAUUUAUAUCAUGGAAUUAGAUAAAAUUUGAAUGCAUUAUUGUUAUCGGUAUUCUGCAACAACAAUUGAAGCUACUUGAAGUAGACAACAUCAAUUGAAGACAAUUUCUAUUUGCAAUCAUCAGCAAUUAAUUUAGCUUUAUUGGUUAUCAAAGUUUGUUGGGUGAACACGAAAUAGAAGAAAAUUCAAUAGGAAAGAUAAAGAGAAAAAAGAACAGAGUGAAAGAAAUUGAAGGUUAAAGCUUGUUAGACAUCGGUUAAUCUUAGAGCUAUUAAAAUAAUUAGGCAAUAAUACGAUGUGUUCUAAUUCUAAUAUAAAUUAAAUCCAAGUCUUAGAAAAACUUAAAUGACAAAAUUUAGAAAAGAUUAGAUUAGGAGAAGAUCCCUAUAUUUCUCUUCUCAAAUAUUAAAAAAAAGAUUCAAAGUUAUUAUCAACAUUUAUUUCAAUGUUCGCAAUUGAAAUGCUUAAACACGAUUAAUUUUCGAGCAAAUAAAUAUUUUCUAAUCUUUAUAUCAACCUUCCUGUUAUUCUAGGAAUGAGCAUUAGUGGUCAAGGUGAAAUACUACGAGUAAUGAAUAAAAAAUUGACAUAAAUAUAAAGUCUAUGAUCAUGCUUACCCUGGAGUCUGUUUUGGUCAAGAUAUAACUCCUUAAGCUUGGUCAAGAAAUCAUUGAUUGACGAAGAUAAUUUUUGUAGAGGAAGAUUGUAGCAAAUAUUUGUUGGGAGGUCAACAAAUAACCUAUCAUAUUCAAAAUAAAUAUUAGCUAGUAAAGAAGACUUGCUUAAGAUGAAGGAAGGGAAAGAAUCAGGGAGCUGGUUAUGGCUAAGAUAAAGUUUUUCGAAGUGAUGAUAGAUUCCCAAGUUGAGAAGGAAUAAUGCCUAUUAAGAAAUUAUUUGUUAGCGCCGGCAUCUUCAAUUAUAUAAAGAUAAGUAGUGAUUCAAUGCCAAAUAUUUUAUAUAGAUGUCAGACAUGCAUAUUAUUAGUGAAGACGCAUGCUAAGUUAUUAACAUCACAAAUCCAAGCUCAAUGGGGUAGAAAGAUUGAAGAUUGAUGAAGGAAUGAUUCCAGUUAAGAAAUGUUUUCUAGCCAUAACAUCUCCAAUUCUGCAACAUUCCCCAGCUCCUCUGGAAUUUCUCCUCAAACGUAAUGAGUAACAUAUGCGUAAACAUUAUUAAAUUAUUACCCAGCUCUCAAGAAUAAAAGAAAUGAAACAAAAGUAAUUAUUGCCUGAAGAGAAUAAAAAACAGUGGUUUAGUUAUGUAGUGAAAUAUUUGACUAAUAUCUGUUAAAAUUAAAUAGGUAUACGGCAAUUAAGCAAUAAGUUGUUGAUAGAUUGUGAGUGGUUAAAACUAAAAGAUCAAAAGUGUGCCAUGCUGGAUUAUAGGGGGAAUGCAAGAUUCACAGUUGGUAAGCUGGAUUAAACAGAAUAUAUGAUCACUAAAUAAGAUUGUAUUAAACUGAAUUUGAUAGGAAUGAACAAAAUUAUUUAUUGAGGAUUAGAUUGGACUAAUUGAUAAUUUAUAAAUAAAAUUAGAUAAUUGAAACUACUAAUAUAAAUUUAAAUAUUUAUCUCAAAACAUUCUAUUAGUAAUUGUAAAGUAGUAUAAAUAUACAAAUUUAUAUCAUGAAAUCAAUAUUCAUAAUUAAACUUAUUUAAAAUAUAUGAGUUUAAGUUUAAUUAUAAUUGGACCAAAAUUUGUCAAAUAAUUUAAGGAUUUUGAUCGAGUAAGAAGUGAGAGCCACAACUCUCCCAAUAAGAGCUGAACUCAUGCGAUACCCUCUCCAUAAGAAAAGCGACUCACUACUCAAUAAUCUAAUCCAUCAAAAUUAUCUUAGAAUCAUUAAACAUGACAGUACUCCUCCAAUCAUUAUUUAGAAUCUGGAUCCUUUUCUAAUCAAAUCUUUGCAAAGCUUUUGUAUAAAAUCAUGACAUGUCAUUUGAGUUUUUUAGACUUUGUUUGAUAUACAUUUUCAAACAAGUUUAUUUAAGUAGAGCUUCUACUAGUAGAAUUUUAAUAAACAGAGCUUUUAUAAUAAAAAAUUGUGUUAUUUGGUCGUCAAUUAAAGAUAUUGUUAAAAAUUAUAAAAUUAUUCAAAUAGACAAGCUUUUAAAAUUUUAUUAUGAAAGGAAUGAUAUAAGAUUGCGAAAUAAAUUAUAAGAGUACUUCAAAAUACUUUAAAAAAUUUAACUCUUUAAAAAAGUUCUAAAAUCUCUACUCUCAAAUAGCCCAAAGUUGAAAUUUUUUAAAAGUGAAGAAAAAAUAACUUAUUUAAUAAUUAAAAACUCUACUCAAGAUGCUGCCAAAUAAUAUGAAAGCUUCGUUAUUUUUAACAGAGCUUUUAAAUUAAUAAAUAAAUUAUAUUUUAUAUCAUUUUAUUAAAGAAAAGAAUGAACCGCAAGAUUGUAAGCCCCGUUCAGUUGCUUUAUGAAAGCACGUGAAUAACUGUGCAAUCGGCCCAAUUCCAUGAGGAAUCUGGAUCCUAUUCAGAGCUCCACACGUGUCUCAGCCGCUCGCACGAGUGCGAGAAAAAUUUCCGGGGCUUGGAUCUUGUUACCAAGGAUGCUUCUCAACAUAAUGUGGCCCGGGGACUUUCCUGGGCUAAAUUAUUUUUUUCAGCCCAUGCACGUCAAUUUGCAGUGUUUGCCUGGGCGCAUAAAAUAUAUAUUUUUUUUAGGAAAAUUAUUACUGCACCAUCUCUAUCUUGUCUUAUAUUUAUUCAACUACCACAAAAUUCUAAUAUAUUUUCUGCACCACUUUUCUUUUUAAAUUUGUAUCAACUAGCCACUUUUGCACUAACACCAUUAAAUAAUUUAAAUGAAAUGACAAUUUUACCUUGAAAUAAAUUAAAAGACCAUUUUAUCUUAUAAAAGCUUUGAAAAAUAAAAAAAUUAUAAUUAUAAAAAUACCUCUAAUUUUAAUAAAAAAUAAAAACUAAAAUUAUAAUUUUUAUUUUUAAUAAAAUCAAAAUAAAAAGUAUAAUUAUAAAAUUAUUGCAAAUUUUGGGAUUUAAUAAAAAUUCCUUAAAUUGUUAAAAUUUUGGGAUUUAUUUUUAAUAAAUAAAUUCAGUUUUUUUAAUAAAAAUAAGGUAAUUAUUAAAAUUUUGUAAAAUCUAAAUUUAAUGAAAAUCAGCUGAGCACCUCUAUUUGAGAUUUAUUUUUAUUAAAUUUAGGGGUAUCUUUAUAAUUAUAAUUUUCUUAAUUUUCAAAGUUUUUAUAAAAUAAAAUGUUUUUUAAUUAUUUAGGGGUAAAAUUAUAAUUUCAUUUAAAUUAUUUAACGGUGUUAGUUUAAAAGUGGCUAGUUGAUACAAAUUUAAAAAGAAAAGUGGUGCAGAGAACAUGUUAAAAUUUUAUGGUGAUUGGAUGAAUAUAAGGCAAAAUAAAGGUGGUGCAAUGAUAAUUUUUCUUUUUUUAAUUACACCUAAGAAUUUUCAGUUUUGGCGAUGUGGGACACAAAAAAAAAAUUAAAAUCAUGUGAUUCAUGUCAAACAUGAUUAGACAACUUUACCUUUACUCAUUUUUAUCAAUCAUUUAUCAUUAGGAGCAAGAAGGAAAAAAAAAUUCGUUACCUUCGAUUGUCCUUGUGAAUGGUAUGUGUUCUUUUUUAUUAUAAUACACAAAAAAAAUUAUUUCUUUUAUAGGAACCAUAAGAAUGAGCAAAGAUAAAGUUAUCUAAUCAUGUUUGAUUGCUAACUAAAAAAUAUAUUUAUAUUUUAUUAAUUUUAUUUCUUUAAUUUUUUUAUCCCAAUGUAAAUAGCAAUAAUAAUUAUUUUUUAAAAAUUUAAUGAUUUUAUUUCUUCAUUAAUUAAGAAUAAUUUUAGACACAAAGAUUUUUUGCUCAAUUAUUUAGGUACUAAUACUUCUUAUUGAUCCUUGAAGUUGCUUUUGUUUACUUAUUUGAACCAUAUACGAAAUUUGAAGAACGUCAAUCUCAUGAUAUUACUGAUUAUUCGUUGAUAUUCUUUGACAUCUAAAUUGAUUCGAUGGACAUAUUAUUAUUGACAAAUUAGUAGCUUCUCCUCAACAAAUGAAUAAUGAUGAGCACUUCUCUUUCCUGUGAAUUGUGGAGAUUGAUCUUGAUGUGAAUUUCCUGUCAGGGAACCAUAAUCUCUAGACAGGGAUUUGUCCGUGGUAUACCCCAAAAAAAGGGUAUUUAUCUAAAAACACCCCCAUACUCUAAAAUUCCUCAUAUAUACCUUUUUUAAUGUGCAGUUACGAAAUUACCCUAAUUAAAAACCUAAAUCAUCCAAAUUACCCUGCACAAUCAGUCACAAACACACGCGCCCAUCCCUGGAGUUGAAGCUAGAGGUGAAUACAAAGCUCUUCUUCUUCCAAUUGAUUACCAUUCGUUCUUCUUUCAAUUGAUUACUGCCUCUUCUUCUUCAGAGAUACAAAGCUCUCUCUCUCCCCUCGAAGAACAUUCUUAAGUAGCGCAGGUGUAGCAAGAAGCCACAAAUCCUUGAUUUGGCUAGGAACGACUGCACUGCUUUAGCCCCAGAAGCGAAGGGAAUGAGCUCGGCUGCUUCUCCUCCACACUAAUUUUUCUCCGUGCCCGUUCCGCAUGCGCUUCGCGCGCCAUUGGCGCUUUGCUCUCCUCUUAUUCUUCACCAUCCCCUAAACCCAACGCCUUACUCUCUGCUCCCGACUCUCUGUUGCCACAACCGCUGCAAAAGCACAAGGCACACAUGCAAAAGCACAAGGCACACAUAACUCACAAAUCGGGCUUUUCUACGAAAAAGAAGUCCAAAUCCAAUAAAAAAUAAACAGGAUAAGAAACAAAAACCUAAGGUCGUCAAUUGUUAUUUACUUUAUUUUCCCCCUUCAUUUAUAUAAAUAAAAUAAUUACUAUUGCUGAAUUUAAUUUUCAUUAUUGCUAUUAUCUUUUAGGCAUUUGCUUUUACAUCAUCUGUGACAUCCAAGUGAUUACAGUCACGAGUAGUAGAGAAAGAGCAAAGUCGGCUUCACAUUUCGACUAUAGACCGCUCUUACGGUGAACCACCGCCAUUUGUCGUUGUAGUUCAGGGACCUCCCCAGGUUUUGCAUAUUUGUUUAUUUAUUUUAUUGUUUUAAUUUUGAAAGUUUAGGUGGCUUUUUUUAGUUGUUAUUAUAAUCUAACCUCCAAUGCAGUUGUUUAAAGAAUUUCUUUACCUGAUUUUUACCCUGGAGUCGUGUAAAGAAUUCUCCAAUGCAGUUGUGUAAAGCAUUUCUUUACCUGACUUUUACCCUGGAGUCGUGUAAAGAAUUCUUUACUCGACAGCAGUUGUGUAAAGAAUUCUUUACACGACUGCUGUUGUGUGAAGAAUAUUUUACUCGACAGUAGUCGGGUAUGAACACUUUACUCCACUAUAUUCGCAUAAUUAGUUCUUUACUCGACUGUAGUUUGUAAAGAAUUCUUCACUGGACAUGCGUCGGGUAUGAACACUUUAUUUCCAAUGUUACAAAGAAUCUAUGGUUUAUAUAGUGGACUGUAGUUCAAUGCAUGUUUUACUCGACUGUAGUCGUGCAAUGAAUGAUUUACUCGACUGGUAUGUCGUGUAAUUUUUAUGAUUGGUUUAAAAUAUAUUAUUAUGCAACUUUUCAAUCAUUUUAUAUAUUGAUUGAUAAAUUUUUUUGUAUUUAUGUAGAUGGAACUGAAGAUCAAGGAAUCUGAAUAGACUUCUAUUUAUGACUCCAUGAUAGACUUAACAAAGGAUUCAGUUUUGGUGAGACAAUUGCUGCCUGUUGCAGACAUGAUACCUUUAGUACUUCAGAAGAUAGUAUAUCACGAAACACAUCCAGACUGUAGUGAGGUUAUAUCGAAAAUUCCUUGGCCCAUCGUGCGAGUGCGUGACAUCCCACAAUAAAAAUUAGGGUAUGUACUAUACAUAUAAUGUGUUUUGAACAUAAUAAUAAGAAUGAUGAUUUUUAACAAUUGAUUUAUAUGAAUUUUUGUAGUGGUGAUUGUGGAGCAUUGUUGCGGUACUUCGAGGUCCUAGCCCAUGGACUUGAUGUCAAUUCAUAUUGCCAACAAGAUCAUGUUACACAAUUUCGAAAAGCCUUGGCUGUCAAAUUAUUUGGGCAUAGGUCAUGGAAAAAAAUUUUGUAGUGUCAUUUUUUGGACUAUGAGAUGUAAUAGUUAUGAUGAGGAUGUUGUUGAUAUUUGAUGUCAUUAAAGAUAACUUGACAUCAUUAAUGUAUUUUAUUUCUUUGUUAAUUAUAUUAAUGAUAGAUAAGAUAGUUUGUACAAUUUAUGUGAUAUAACAGAAUUUCCAUAUAUGCACAGGGAAUACGCUGUGAGAAAAUACACGACUGCAGUCGGGUAUUUGCACAGAUACACGACUGCAGUCGAGUAUUGACAAAUAAACAUGACAAGCUCUCUGUGAGAAAAUACACAAUUGCAGUCAGGUAUUUGCACAGAUACACGACUGCAGUCGAGUAUUGACAAAUAAACAGGACAAGCUCUCUGUGAGAAAAUACACGACUGCAAUCAGGUAUUUGCACAGAUACACGACUGCAGUCGAGUAUUGACAAAUAAACACGACAAGCUCUCUAUGAGAAAAUACACGACUGCAGUCAGGUAUUUGCACAGAUACACGAUUGCAGUCGGGUAUUUACAAAUAAACAUUACAAGCUCUCUGUGAGAAAAUACACGACUGCAGUCGGGUAUUUGCACAGAUACACGACUGCAGUCGGGUAUUUAGAAAUAAACAUGACAAGCUCUCUGUGAGAAAAUACACGAUUGUAGUCGGGUAUUUGCACAGAUACACGACUGCAGUCGGGUAUUUAGAAAUAAACAUGACCAGUUCUGUAACAGCCAAAAUACACGAUUGUACUCGGGUAUGAGCACAGAAUAAAAACUCUCCUAAAACAUUCAUUAUAUUGAUGACACAAUCAAUAUAGACUUUAACAUAUCAAACUUCAAAUAAAUGAAACUAACUGUAGUCCGGUUGCCUAUCAAAUUACAUAAAUACAAUACUUAUUGAAAUCGUAAAUAAGUCGUAAUACAAUAGAAGUUGUUUAACAUUCAUCAUAAAUUUUUGGCAUCUUCAACCCAAACACUUGGUCCAUAUUUUAUAAGCCUCUGGUCGCCUCCCUUCAAUACUUAUUCUUAGAAAGCCACACAAACACGUUUAUUCAUCUGCGAAACAAAAAGGUAGAAAAAUAAAAUCCAUUCACCACAAAAUAUAAUAGGCACACGUACUGAAGUCAUUUCCUGUAAUAAUACAACAGUUGAUUAUACAACAAAUACAAAAAUAAAAUCAAACCAGAUUUAUAACGAAGUGUAGAUCUGUCUGCCUAUUUACACGACUGACGUCGUGUAAUUGAUAGUUUUUACGACAAUAGUUGUGUAACUUGCUAAAAUACACAACUAUAGUUCUGUAAACAGUCAAAUGAUAUAUUUAAUAAAAAAUAAUUGUAAUCUUUGUACUAACAGAAUGCUAGGUGUAAUAACAACUACUAUAUCUUUCAAACUUGCAAGAUUGUUGUCGUGUAAAUUCAUACAUACAUGACAAAAGUCGUGUAAGUUGUAAAAAUACAUGACUCGGUAAAUAAUCAGAGGACAUAUUUCUUCUUAAAAAAAUUUUGGGAUCUCAUAACAAUUGAAACAUUUUACAUAUAUACACAAUUAUAGUAUGUAAGUUUAUACGUACACGCUAGUAGUCGUGUAACUUAUUAACACACACGACUAUAGUCCAGUAAUAGCAAAAGGAUAUAUAUAGUGAAAAAAAAUAUAUUUUUUGAACCAAUAGAAUGAUAAGGUGUCAUAAUAAUUGAAAUUUUUUGCACAUUUUCACGACUACAGUCGUGUAAAUACAUACAUACACAACUGAUGUCGUGUAUAUCGGGUGCAGAAAAAAAAUUUGACAACAACUUCAGGUUUUAACGAAUGUAGUUAUAAAAUCCAUCAAAUAACAAUCAUAUGAUGCAAAUGUAAUGAAAAUAUGAGUUGCUUUAGUGUUUAUCACAAACCAAACAAAAUCCUAAAAAUAAUAUAAUGUCAACAAAUUGAAUAGAUAACACAAAAUAAAAAAAAAAGGUUUCAAAUACCUUAUUCAUGGGAUGAAUAAUACACCCAGCUGCAAACAAAAAUCUCAGUGCAUUAGCUGUUUGUGAGUGAUUUUGAGUGUGGUGUGAGUUUUUGUUGUGUGGAGUAAAAAAGAGUGAGAAGUAAAUAGUGUUGUGAGUUGUGUGUGUUUUAUAUUUUUCUUUAGGGAUAUUUUAGAUAAUGUACCACAUAAAAAAGUAUAUCUAGAUAAUUUUCAAGCAUGGAGUAUAUUUAACUAAAUACUCUACUUUUAAGGCAUAUUUAAUUAAAAACCCCAUCUCUAGACGUAGUUCCGAAUAUAAAAUUCUCUUCUCUAGUACCAAGAGAUUCUGCAAUUCUGGGUCACUUGAGGACACUGUUGUCGCCUUGCACGCAGAAGAUAUGACAGCUUUGUAACGGCAAAGAGGGGUUACAUAUAAGCUUUGUAACCGUUGCAAAUGCUUUUUAACUGUAUUUUUGGCGUGCAGUAACAAAAGGUAGUAACGGUCACCAAAAUAAAUAACCACCUAAAUGCGGUCACAUAAAGUAAUGGGUUGGAUGCAAGUUUUGUGACUGGUGGAAGCUGUCACAAAUUUGUAAUGCUUAAUUUUUUCAUAAUUUUGUGAUAUUUGAUUAUUUGUCAAUAUUUUAUCUCAUGUUCCUGAUAUUUAUCAAUGACAACAAAAAUUCAACAUUGUUCAUUACAACAUUAAAGCAUUAAAAUUAAUUAUCACGAUACCAUCCAUAAAGUUCAAAUUAUAUACUGAAAACGAGAGAUUAACAUCAAGCCGCACGUCUCCAAGUCAAAAAUUAAAAGUGUACACAAAUGCAAAUACAAGCCUACGAUACAAAGUCUUACAAAAAUAAGUAAUGAAUCCAAGAGUCUCCAAUGCAUCUUAUCAAACGAUAGCCUACAAUAGAAGCAACAAUAUAUUAAAAAUGUUCAAGACAAACACACUUAAAUAUCAUAAUUAUAUAACUAAGCACUUCUUGCUAGCAAUAAUUAGAAGCGCUCUUGGUACAACUGUUAAUGUCUCUAUCCUUUGUUGAAACUCUUAGUUAAUUUGCAAAUCUAAUAUUCAUUUUCCAAAAAUAAUGUCAACACUGAACAUAUGAAAAGUAAUGAAUCAUAAUUUUACAAGUAAAAGCAUUUAUCUAUAAAUAGACGUCAUAAUUUGCAGCAUAACUGCAUGACGGUGUUGAUGCGCAUUGGAAGCAUCGACUAUCUACUAAAAAAACAAACAUUUUUUUUUUCCUAAGAAACACAGAAGGAAAUGUAGUCUAUAUAUAGAUGAUGAAUAUGCAGCCUAUAUAUUUUACUAUAUUGUAAGAUGUAGGAAAUGUAGGGAAGGGCAUUAAGUUGCAAGGUUCAGUUCCAAGUUCGCAAUAAAAAUUGCUAUUAUGCUGCAACUUUUCUCAAUAUACUCCACACUUUUCACCCUAAAUUAUACAUUUAUUCUAAAAUCAUUUUUAAAAAUCAUUUUGAAUUUUAAGUAAAUAUUCACUAUAAUCUGAUGAUUGUGAAGUUCAACUUUAAUUAAUGUUUUACUAGAUAUUUGGAUCGAAAAUAAAAGCCUUCAUGUUAGUUUGACUUAUCUGUUUGAUUGAAUGAUAAUGUGGUACUCCUCAUAUUCUCAAGAAUAUACAGAAAGUUGCAACCUCUGAGCAGAGUUUGAUUUUCGCUUCCAUUGCGAAAUUGUAACUUGUGGUAAAUAAGGCACUUGAAAAUUGUUUAUAUUGGGUCAACCUCAACCCAUAGAUACCAUGUGCUAGUCUUGUUGUAUUGCACUCAACACUUCCCCUCUUUUUUCCGAUGAAGUAUAUGCUCUGCUAAAAUUUACAGGUUGGACAUAUCAGCUCAAUCAAGGCAGAAAUUAAAUGUGGGGAGGAUACAUUCUUCGCAUUUUUCUGGUCAGGUAAUAGUAGAUACCUGUCUUUUGGUGCAUGCUUGUCUUGUUAGUUUAGUGAUUUCCAUGUAGAUUCUAGGUAUUUUACUUGUUUCUGGACCAGCUCCAAAAUAUAGAUCCAAAUAAACCUGAAGGACGAAAUGCGGUUGAAGACCUGGAUGGAAUAACCUCAGACACAGACACUGAGUCUGCUCUUGAGGUUGAGGAGACUUUGAUCAUGCAUGUCAGUUUCGGCAAAUUGAGUUACUCUUACUAUGAACCGAGACCCUGUCGUAGGAUUUCCAAAUCGUAUCUGCUCGAAUAAUCAAGGCUUCUUUGCCACCUAAAUGGGACAACAUGAACAUACGUUAUCCCUCAGUAUCAUCUCUUUACAAUCUCAAAAAUCUUUUGGUCAUUUGCAUUUGUAAGGCGUACUUGUGGUAGUUGAUUCCCAGAAUUUAUCUUUUGAUGUAGUGGUUAAUUUGUAGUAAAAAGUUUGAGAUUCAGUGGACAUGAUAUUGUAAAUUUUCAAUUACGAACUGCACCUGGUAGAAAUCAACUAUGUUUUUGUAUGGAUUCUCGAAGUUUCAGAUUUUAGCAUCAGAUAACUAGGUUCUGUACAAUUUAAAUUUCGUUUUUCUAGUAGCAUCCCCAAAUACUCUAAAUAGGCAUACUUAUUAGGAAACCUAUCUAUAUCUAUAUAUAUAUAUAAAGUUGGGACUUGAAGAGGUGAUGUGGCAUCACCAUUUCGCUUCUUUGUAUAUUCUCUAUUAUCUAAUAAAUAGAGUUUUUUUUUUAAUUUGGCUUUUUAUCUUCUCAUAAUUAAUUUGAUUAUAUUUAACUCAUUUAAUAAAUAAUAACUUUAUUAAUAUAUAUCAUUCCUCAUUUUUUAUAUUUUCUAUUAUCUAAAAUAUCUAAAAUAUUGGUAGAUAUUCUUUGUACUUUUUUUUCUCUUUAUAUUUAAAUUCAACAAUAUGUAAUCAUUAAUAAUAAUUAAUUAUAAGUCUUUUGAAACAUUUAUUUAUUUUAUUAUGCUACCAAUUAAACUUUAGUGGCUUAAAAUACAUGAAUUAAUUAACACAGGAAGAGAAGUUCUUUCAUUUUCCCUCAACAAUGCCACUAAGGCCUAAUUUUAAUUCCAUAAUCCCAUAUUUAAUUAUGCAACCUUUUGUUGAGUGUCUUUUGGUUUCUUCAAAAUUUAUUAUACUAUCAAUUAAACUUUAGUGCCUUAAAAUACAUCACCUAAUUAACAUAGGAAGAGAGGUUCUUUCAUCUUCCCUCAACCUCAUCUUUUUAUAUUCUCUAUUAUAUAAAAUAUUGGUGGAUAUUCUUUGUACAUAUAUCAUAAUAUGACACUCAAAAAAAUAAAGAUAAAAUAUAUAUUAAUAAUAAAGAUAUCAGUUAAUAUAUAAUUAUCUAAUAAAUUGGUUGAAAUUAAAAAAUAAUUACAUUAUAAAAUAUUAAAAUAGAAAAUAAUUAUUAGAUUAUAAAUGUUACAUGUCUUUUCCUCUUUCUAUUUAAAUUCAACAAUAUGUAACUAUUAAUAAUAAUUAAUUAUAAGUCUUGAAACAUUCAUUUAUUUUAUUAUGCAAACAAUUAAAUUUUAGUGGCUUAAAAUACAUCAAUUAAUUAAUAUAGAAAGGAAGAUUCCUUCAUCUUCCCUCAAUAAUGCCAUUAGAGCCUAACUUUAAUAUCAUAAUCCCAUAUUUAAUUAUUCAAUCUUUUGUUUAGUGUCUUUUGGCUUCUUCAAACUCCAUAAACAUUAAAUAUUUAAGAUUUAUGGCAUCAUUAUUUCUCACCUUUUUUUAUUCUCCAUUAUCUAAUAUAUUGGUUGAGAUUAAAAAAUAAUUACAUUACAAAAUAUUAAAUAUAUAUAUAUAUAUAUAUAUAUAUAUAAAGUUAGGACUAGAGGAGGUGAUGUAGCAUCACUAUUUCUCAUCUUCUUGUAUUCACUAUUAUUUAAUAAAUUGGCUUAUAUUAAAAAAAUAAUUACAUUACAAAAUAUUAAAAAUAAAAAAUAAUUAUUAGAUUAUAAAAGAUUACACGUCUCUUCCUCUUUCUAUUUAAAUUCAAUAAUAUGUAACCAUUAAUAAUAAUUAAUUAUAAAUCUUGAAACAUUUAUUUAUUUUAUUAUGCCAACAAUUAAACUUUAGUGGCUUAAAUAUAUCAAUUAAUUAAUAUAGGAAGGAAGGUUCCUUCAUCUUCCCUCAACAAUGCCAUUAGAGCCUAAUUUUAAUGUCAUAAUCUCAUAUUUAAUUAUUCAAUUUUUUGUUUAGUGCCUUUUGGCUUCUUCAAACUCUAUAAAUAUUAAGUAGUUAAGAUUUGUGGCAUCAUUAUUUCUCAUCUUUUUUUAUUCUCUAUUAUCUAAUAUAUUGGUUGAGAUUAAAAAAUAAUUACAUUACAAAAUAUUAAAAAUAGAAAAUAAUUAAUAGAUUACAAAAGAUUACAUGUCUCUUCCUCUUUCUAUUUAAAUUCAACAAUAUAUAACCAUUAAUAAUAAAUUAAUUAUAAGUUUUGAAACAUUCAUUUAUUUUAUUAAGCCAACAACUAAACUUUAGUGGUUUAAAAUACAUCAACUAAUUAAUAUAGGAAGGAAGGUACCUUCAUCUUCCUUCACUAAUGCCAGUAGGACCUAAUUUUAAUGUCAUAAUCCCAUAUUAAAUUAUACAACUUUUUAUUUAGUGUCUUUUGGCUUCUUCAAACUCUAUAAAUAUUAAGCAUUUAAGAUUUGUUAUGUUUGAGUUUUUUUUUUAUUAUUUAACCAAUAUCCUCUUUAGAAAUGUUAUUGCGUUUUUAUUUUUUGACUUAUUUAAAUUUUUAGUAUUGUGUGCUUCAUAGAGUACUCUUUUCUUCAUAAGUUAAACAACGAUAAAAAUAGUUGGAUGAUAAGGGUUAGACUUUGUAAGAUGUGGGAAUCUGUUAAUACCAAGAAAAAUAGAGAGUUGAUUAGUGUGAACAUGAUUGUUAUUGAUGAAAAGGUUGAGUACACUUAACUAUACACAUUAAUAUAUUUUUUUAAUGUUAACAAAAAAAUAAUAAACUUUCAUAAAUAACAUUAGCGUUAUAAGACUGCGUCAUCUUUUAAAAAAUAAUUUAUAUUUUUUAUCAGUUUUAUCGAGUACAAAAUAAUUAAAAAAAGAUAAUACUAAAAUUUUUUUUAAAACCGCACAAAGUGCGGUUCUAUUUCCUAGUUAUAUUAAUAAUCUUAAUUUAAUUAAGAUAGUCAUUGGUCUUUAAUUCUCAAUCUAAAACCAGUAGAAACGGUUUGUUUAUAUUUUCGCACGUGGUAUGAAAAAUAUUACUGAAAUUGGUGUGCAUGUUUUGGAUGAACCAUAUGUACUUUUUCUUCUAAGAAAAUCUUGAUAUUCAAUGAUUGUGAUAAAUUAUUUGAUUUUGUAUUAACUGAAACUUUCAUAUUCUUAUCCUGCUGAUAGUGGAUUGUAUAUAAUACAGUAGAUUUUCUUUACUGUAGAUUUGAGGAAAAUGUACAAUCAAGCUCUCAAUUAGUAGCAAUCAUGUAUUGAAGUUUGCGAAAGAUAUCAAAGUUAACUUGAGUUUAUAUCUGUUACACUAUGGAUAAUAUGCAUGAUAUCACGAUAUCGUUCACAUCUUACAAUAUUAUUUCGGAACCGGUGCUUAACAGGUUCCGUUCCACCAGAAUUUUGUGACUCUCUCCAUCUUCAAGUAUUUUAUUUGGAAAAUAACAAGCUUACAGGUUCCAUCCCUGAGAGCUUAGGUCGUUUCGGUUGUUUGAAAAAGUUGAAUUUGGCUAGGAAUAAGUUAUCUGGCUCAAUUCCAACCAGUUUUGGCAAGUUGAAAUAGCUUACAAACCCACAUAGAUUUAAGCUAUAACGAGCUUGCUGGUGAGCUUAAUCCUUUGUUUUUGAAGCCCCACCAAGCUCAAAAUGUGUGACAAAGAACAAGUAUUAAACUCACCAUCGAACUCAUUAUAACUUAAAUCCAAGUGGGUACGAAAGCCCUUCCGACUAGUUUGCACCAAGCCAAAAAAUACACUUACAUUUCUCUAAUUUGCUGAUCAUCAUCACCACCUCCAUCAAAGUCAUCAUCUGAUCUUGAUGAUCCUUCUCCUGCUCCUCCACUGCCUUCAUCUCCUUCCCCAACCUCAUUAUUCAUCGCCACCGCAGCGUCCGUGUCCCGGAAUACUCCAGCCUGCUAAUGAUAAUUAAUAAUUCGUCAAGAACACAACACCCACACCAACAAAAAUAAAAUAAACUACUAAAAAAUAACAUAGCAAAGCAAAUAACGGAAAAAUAAAAUAAAAUAACACAAUAAAGUAUUUAGGAUUUUGGAGUUAUACAAGGCUUAGAGAGAGCGCAGGAGAGGCAAAAAAGUCUUUGGUGCGACGAGUGGGUGGCUUGCUACACGUGGACGCCCCCAUAGCAAUGAUAAAACCAAGAAAAAAAAAAGUUGUUGUCUUGAGAGGGUUGAUGAAAUGGUUCUUGUGAGCAAAAAUGGUGGCAUGUUGAAGUGGGGUGAGCUUUGAUUUAAGGACGUCAAUUAUCAAACAAAACAGAAUGAAGUCUAAAAACACAUUAAAAGAAAAGGAAUUGCUGUGUUUGUGUGUGAGAGGGAAAAAGAGAGUGUACGUAUUUGUUUGUUUUAUUGAGAAACGAAAGGAUGAAAAGGGUGUUAGGAGCUGACUGUUAGAAAUUCUGUGUGAAAAUGUGAGGAUUGAAGUCUCUCAACCAUCUUUUGAAGGAUUUAUUAAUUAACACUAGCUAAUUGAAAUUUUAAAGUAUUCAAAUUAGCGCCAAAAUUACAUAUCCACCAAUAUUGCAAUUUGCAAUACUCAACUGAAAAUAGUUUUAAAGGAAAAAAUAGGAUUAACAUAAAUUUUGUUCUAUAUAUAGGUAAAAAGAAAUAUAUUUCAAACUCCAGUUAAUUUUAUAUGUAGAAAUAUGAUAAAGAUUAAAUUUUCCUCCAUUUGAUAAUUAAGAAUAUAUCUAACUAAUUAAGAAUGCUUUUAACAAAUCAAUGGAUAGCGGAGUCAAUAAAAUCAAAAUUAUAUAUACUUGUUGAGUUGAUUGAUUAUUUUUUUCCGAAGUAAUUAACUCAAAAUCUUGAAAGUUUCUUUAUACCUAAUGAAGAAAUAUGGUAUCCAAUAUUGCUAGGCGGUGGUUUUAGGCUUUAGAGAAGCUAAAAUUGUAGAAAUGAAAGUAUCUUUUGUGCCCAAAUUUUUACUCUCAUAAGGGACUUUUACUCUAUUCACAUUUCAUAAAGGGAAGACAAUAAAUAAUUGAAUAAGAGAUUUAACCUCAAAAUAUUAUGUAGAAACUCAAACUGUUGUUCUCAUAAUUGUUUAUGAGGCCACUUGGCCUUUUGUCCGAGUGAUUGCAUUAAUGGCAUUAAAUUGCAUAGAACGUAGGAAAUUGAUCCACCACCAUCUAAUUAUAACAUCACAAAUAAAUAAAAGUAAAGAUGAAAUGGAAAUUAAUUGGAGCAUUUACCUUGUUGCUAUACUUGGUAAUGUCCACCUGAUUUAUGAUCCCGAUUAGAAUGCCUAAAAUUACUGCUUUCUUUUUCUUGAUUGUAUCAUCAUCACUUUUGUGAAAUUUUAAAAUUAAAAAAAAAAAAGAAAAAGAAAACAAUGAGGGAUGCUGGGUCAAUCGCUCUUUAAAGAACUCGAUUGGACACGCGUUUACUACAUUGUUUUUUUAUUUGAUUCAUAAGUGAUUAUCCACUAACUACUUAUUUUUUCACACAUGUUUAAAAAUGCACAAACUUUUUUUUUUUUCAGAAAAUUCUCCUUGAAGUUGACAUUAUUUUCACUCGUCCAUUGUGGCCUAAACUCUAUUAGAAAUUUGUUAACGUCAUAAGGGUAAAAUUAUCAUUUAAUUUUAACAAAUAAAAACGACCCCAAAUCAAAUAAAAAACUCAAUGCCACAAAUUAUCAAAAUGUAAAUCCAUUAAUUCAACUGAAAGAAAAAUGCUCAGCCUUAACCCUAACUCUAACAGCCACACACUAUCAAAAUCAAAAUGAAAUUUUAUUUAAUUUUUAAUCAAAUAAUAACAAAAAGCUGCAUAACUGGUGAACAGUAGCUAGUGCCGGUGGCGUGAUGUGGCAAGGCCCGGUGAUGUCAGGAAUGGGGUUGCCGAAUCUACUUGAUCCUGCGUUCGGUGAUGUCACGCAGUGGCGAGAUAGCUGAUCGUGAUUAAAGUUGCUAAUGAGUGAAAGACAAGAGAAGAGGCUACAAAUUUUAUUUGACUGAGAAGAGAAGGUAAUGAAUUUUUUUUUUUUCAGAAAGAAGAGGUGAGACUACAAUUUUUGUUGGAGGCUAACCAUUAAAAAAAGAAAAGAGAGAGACAGAGACAGAGAUAAGAAGAAGCUGAAUUUGGUGCAAGUGAGUAAGAAGACUGGUUUUAUUUUGAAUGAGAUUGAAGAUAAGCUUUGUGCCUUGCCGCUGCUGAUGCUUUUUUUUUUUUUUGUUUCCUUCGUUCUUCUUCUCUAAUACUACUACUACUACUACUACUUUGCAUAAAUUCUUUUAAUUUUUUUGUUUAGUGUUUGGUUUUGAUUUGGGUAUUGGAUUGAGUUUGGGAUUAGGUUUGGGUUUUAAUUCUUUUAAUUAUUUUCAUUUUUAAUUUUGGUUAUUUUGUUUCAUUUAUUAUAAUUUUGAUUAUUUUUAUUUUUUAUUUAAUAUAUAAAUUGCAAACAAUAACCAAAGUCAUCUAAUACUUUUGUCAUUUAGCUCAAUUUUGUCAUUUAGCUCGGUGAAAUAGUAAUUUUACAUUAAAGGAUCAAAACAAUCAUUAUAUUAAUAUUAUGUUAAAUUCUCUCACAGACAUUAGACGAUAGUAAAAUAAUGAUAUAUUUUAUAAACUUUCCAUAGAAUUCUGUAAAAAAUAAAAAAUUUAUAUAUUUUUUAAAAAAAUUUAAAAAAUGGGUGAUCGGUGGAUAUUGCCCUUUUAUUUAUCAAGCACAUGUGUCAUGUCUUGUCUUUUGAAUUUAAUGCUUUCUUUUAUUUUUUUUUAUUACCCAAUUUGUUCAAAACAAUUACAGUUAUGCCACUUGUUCAAUUUAUAUAAUUUUAGAAUAUUACCUUUAAGUUAACAAAAUUAUCUAAAUUUUUAUUAGGAUUUGGGAUCUCGUCCUGAACCAUAUAGAGUUCAGUUCAGUAUCAUUUUUUAAAAAAAUUGAUUUAAAAUUAGUUGAGAUUUAAUAUAAAAUUUUAUCCCAAUUUAUUAUUUAGAAUAUCUGGAAAUAUCAAUCAAAAAUCUUGAUUGCCUUGACUAUUAUUUUAAUUUUUAAUUAACUAAAUUAAAAAUCAUUUAUCUUAAAAAUAAACAAAAAUAAUUGAAACCCAACAAAUUCACUACUUUGCAUUCACUUUUAAAGUUUGUUUAUUUAUUAUUUAUUUUUAACGACAUUUAGUUUUAAAGUUUAAUUAAACUAAACAGAUGAAGAAGAAAAUAAAUUAGUUUGUUAAUUUACAUAUUAAAUUUUAGAUAAUGAAUGGAAAAAAUCGGGACGUUGGCAUUUAGAAUCGCAACUUGCAACAUAAAGCAAGAAGAGUGUGUGAGUAACAAGCUUUACCAUUUCUUUCUUAUAUACAUAUUUAUUAGGAUGAGUUGAGACUUGAUAUUUUUUCCCUCUCUCUCUUAAAAUAACUUGUUUUUCAAUUUUUAAUCAGGUAUAUAUAAGAACCACGUUGGUCUUGGGAUUUGAACGAAUUAUCUUUAGUUCAAACGAAAGAUAACAAAUUAACUUUUCAAACAAAAAAAAAUCAUAACAAAUUAUUAAACAAGCAAAAAAAAAUUUAUUCACGAUCAACUCUUAUUAUUAUAUCAUCAAGUUACUAAAGGAUUAUAUUUCUUUUUUCUUUUUUCUUUUUUUGGUCUGAACCAUGAGGUGGUCCUGAGUGGGCCCCAACUGUGAAAAACAACUUUAGGCCCGUACCACAACUUGAUUAAUCCUCGCUCGCACCGGAUCGGUCCGUAAAGGGUAAAGUACUGGCUAAAGUGGUGACUCCAUACGAGAACGGGACUUGAACCACUAACAUCUCUUAAGGAGUGAAAGUGUCAAACCACUUACACCAACCAACUUUGGUUUAUAACACUUGUAAUAAUUCAAAUUAUUUCAGUCGCGAUAAUUACGAUGAUUUUUUCAUUUGCUCGUUGGCAUGGGGCAAUUGCUGGAUACGAAAAGGCCCAGCAAUCAAGCCCAAUAGCAAAAGGACCAAAUAGAAGCCCAAUACUGUUUCUACUCUUGAUACACAAGACACAGCAAACGGCAUCUUCUUCAAGCAAGACGUAUUAACGCAUUUAUUAAUUUGAUUUCUUUUAAUUUCAAUAAAAUUUUGAUAACAAAAUAGCUAAUUUGAGAAAUAUGGUCAAGGAGUGUGUGAAAAUUUAAAAAAAUAAUAAAAUAAUAAUAAUUUUCAUAAAUUUAUUAAUUGUAUUUUCUAAUUAAAAAAAGAUAUUUUUAUGUCUAUAUAAUAUAUAUGAGGUUAUACGUGGAACUGUAUGAAAGAUCAAACUUUUCAAUAUUAAAUUUUACUAAAAAUAUAGUAUAGGAUUAGGUGAUUUUCACCUAAGAAUUUUUUUUUAAAAAAAUAACCAAACAUCAUAAUUAGUUUUAAACUUCUCAAAAUUUCUUUUGAGCCUCUCAUUUGCUUCUCAAAAUAACUUCUUAUUUGUUGACAUGAAGGAAUAAUGCAAAAGUGCCUCUAUUGUAAAUUAAAUUUUUAUUAUUAUUAUAGUUGUUAUAGAACUUUAUUUCUUGUUAUACUCAUGAUACACUCAUAAAUCAUAUCUUAUAAUGAUUUGGGUGGGGUACAAAAACAAAAACCUUUAGGACAGAUUUGUUUGUUUUCAUUUUUACAACAAAAUCCAUUUUUAGAUGGACAAUCCCUCACACAAUCAGAAUCUUGGGUGCAACGAAUUGGUAACCCUCCAGUGUAGGCUUCAGCACUUGGUAACUCAAAGAUUGUGGUGCCUGCAAAUUGAGAUCAAUAAUUCAUGAUCAUAGAGAAAUGAAAUAAAAAGCGAAAUGUGUUAGUAAUUAGCAAAACAAUAUACAAAGAGAGAGAUAUUUGGGACAUUGACUAACCAUAUACAACGAUCAUGAGUACGACCAAGAAAGUUAGUUUAAACGAGACUUUCUCCAUUUGCUGUAAGAAAAAGAUUAUGCAGGAUGUUUCUUUGAGUGGGAAAAAAAAAUCUAAAAAAUUGUAUGCAAGAACUUUGUUCUUCACCUAAUAUUUAUAGAGAUGUAAUAUACAAAUGGUAAAAUGGCACACCCAACUUCUAAGUUAUUUUAUAGAAAAAUCACAACAAAUCAAAUAAACUUGCAACCGAUUAAUAUUCAAAUCAUUAAACCUAGCCCAAUAGGAAACAAUUAAAAAAAAGGAAAAAAAUAAUUUUUUUCAUUUUUUUUCCAGCUUCGCAUUAACAACGCAGACACAUUUUCCGUUGUUGGUAAAAUCUUCAUCCAUCUUAGCUCAUAAAUUUAAUUGCAUCAUUACAAUCUAUCAAUCAACAUCUACACAGUACAUGUAAGUUGAUGAUCCCACUAUUAAUUCCAUUUCACGUUGAUUAGGGUAAAAAAAAAACAAAGGAAGUUUUCUUGUAUUCAUGUAAUUUCUAUAAUCUCUUAAAAAUACCAUAUGAAGUAGGUCUAUUUUGCUAUUAACUAAAUAUCCCAGAUUUUGUAUUAUUGAAUCCAUUUAUUGCCUUAAGGCUAUAUAUAUGUAUAUUUUUUAACUUUGCUUUGAACUCAUCUCGUGCCAUUGAGUUUUUGACUUUCUUCUGUUUAUUGCUACCAUUUUUAAAUAAAAAAAUUGAUUCAAUCGAUGGACUUAUUAAUAAUUGAUCAACUUAAUUUCAUUUAAUUGAUCAACCUAGUUUUCUUUCAUUAACGUUUUAUAGCAUGAUUCAUUCGUGAUAUAUAUUUACAACAUUUUUUUUAUGUGUCCUUUGCUUCAAUUCACUCAUAAUAAAUCUUAAAAUCAUUAACGACCAUCGUGAUUUAACUAUAAUAGUCUGAAAACAAUUUGAAAAAAAAAAUAACUCUAUGGAUAAUUCAAUUUUAAGUGUAUUAUGAGACAAAUCAUUGCACUAACAAUUUCGAUUGUUUGCUUGCAAAAGUAAAAUAUGCAUUUGUAUAUCUGGUUUUGCAAUAAGAAAAAAUGUCAAAAGGUACCCCAAUUUUUUCUUUCAAGUUUCAAGUUAAUUAUAUGGUUGCUAAGUGAAUUAAGAAAAUAACCUCAUUGGCCUCUCUUAUAAUAUGGAUGUCUUUUGAAUUAUCUUAAUUUAGAAUUUAUUGACAUACACUAAUUGAUAAUUAACUUUUUUGUUCUCAUCAGUGAUCUUCUUCUUUAUGCUUCACCAAUGGUGACAACAUUUUAAAUCAAUGAGAUAUUCAUUAUAUUAGCAGAAAUUACGAGGGAUCUUAAUGAGAAUAUUAGAAUAACCCCAAAAUAAUAAAAAAGGAUGAUUGUGGCUUGAACACUGGUUCUCGCCACAAGUUGGGCUGGUUUAUGCUCAGUCCACGGCCAUAACAUCCUAGGAAAAGUUGAAUAAAUAAUAUUUUGUGAGUUCUUGAUGGAGCGAGGGUAGUGGAAGUAAAAUUGAUUGGGUAAGAAAAAAUGAAAGUGGAGUUGAUAGGAUAGAAAACACUAAAUAUCAUUCUAAUACUUGACCAAGCCAAUGCGAUUAGGUUACGCUUUAAUCAAAGCAUGAUUAAAUAUCAUUUUAAUCCAAACGACUCAAUAAGAUUUUUAAUAACGCUUAAAGCGAGAUUAUAUGAAGCUUUAAUCCAAACAACUCUACAAGAGAGAUUUUGAUAGAUAAUUCCAAAGGAAAUUAUAAAAGAGGAAAUUUUAUUAAAUAAUUGAAUAUGAAGUUAUGAAAAUAAUAACAAGACCUCUCUAUUUAUAAUAGAGUAAAUUCACUUCCCUAAGUUAACUUAAAAAAAGGGAAACUGAAUCGCAAUUAUAAUGGAAAUAAAAUAUACUUUCCCUAAGUUAACUAAAUCUCAUGCCUUAAUUGACUCUAAUAAAAUUAGAAAGUUCUAAAGUAAUAAAAUACCAUAAUUGACUCUAACUAAAAUAGAAAUCCUAAAAUAAUAAAAUUCUAAAAUCUUAAAAUUUCUAAAAUAACGUCCUACAUUAGUUCUAGUUGAUAUUGUUAAUUUUGCAGAAAAAUAUUUUUUAGGGAAAUUUUUAACCUACCCCCAAAUAAAUUGACAUUUUGGACCGCGUCCCCAAAAAAUUUGACUUAUUGCACCGCACCCCCAAUUCCAUUAUUUUCUCAGUUAAGUUUAACGGUGGAGGGGUAAAAUUGGAAGUUCAUUCCUUAAAUUAAUUUUAAUGGGAAUUCUCUUUAUUGCAAUUGAAAUAAAAAUCUUAAAAGAAUUAAAGGAAAAAUAAUAGUGGUGACAAUGUACAUGUAACAAGAAAUUUUUUGUAUUGCAAUUGAAAUAAAAAUCUUAAAAGAAUUAAAGGAAAAAUAAUAGUGGUGACAAAUGUACAUGUAACAAGAAAUUUUUUUUUAUUGCAAUUGAAAUAAAAAUCUUAAAAAAAUUAAAGGAAAAAUAAUAGUGGUGACAAUGUACAUGUAACAAGAAAUUGUUUUAUUGCAAUAGAAAUAAAAACCUUAAAAAAAUUAAAUGAGCUAAAAAUUUUGUUUUUUUUUUCAUAUAGAGGGGCAUUUUUGUCAUUCAAUCAAAAGUUAGACGGAGCCGUUAGAAAUAACUGAAAGAUUAACGGAAUUGGGGGCGCGGUGCAACAAGUCAUUUUUUUUGGGUGCGCGAUGCAAAAUGUCAAUUUAUUUCGGGGUUGGUUAAAAAUUUCCCUAUUUUUUAAGAUAUUAAAAAUCUUCAUAAAUCUUUUAGAGACCUUUCCUCAUUUAGGCCUUCUCGAAAAGCUAGAACUUACAAUCAAACUUUUGCCCCAUUAUAUGACAUAUGUUAGUAAAAUUCAUUUUUACAAAUGAUAAUUCUAUUCACCCCUUUCUUUAUAUUUUCUAAAAGAUCUAAAAUUUUACUCCCAUACUUACGGAAAAAUUCAAACCUUCUAAUGAUAGGCGAUGGUGAUGAUGAGAGAGAAAGAAAAAUAAAAUAAAAAUAAUUAAUAAUAUAAAAAUUUUUAAUUAUAGUAAUUUUAAAAAUAAACAUUUAAUACCCAUAACUAAGACAUCUUUGAGUUGGGUUGGGACCCCAGGCAUGGUCAUAGCAGGUAGGAAACCUUUUCAAUUGUUCGGUUCCUUAGUUAGCUCCUCAAACUUCAGAAAGUACACAUUUCCGAGGAGGUGUCUUCACCUAAAACCAAAUCAACUUAUUUGAGCUCAACAAAAGUUUGUAUCUCCCUCUGAGUAACAUAUAUUUAUAUGGUCUCAACAUACACCUAAUAUUGAAAUUCUUUUCAAAAGCAUCACUUCAUUCAAUGAAAAGCACAUUGGCCAUAGUAUUUUCCGUCUUUUACUAAGCGGGUACCAUCAAGAUCAACCACUACACCACUUUUUAUGCUACUUGAAAGAAGAUUAUAAAUAUUUUAGAGUUCCACAAACUCUCUACACCUUAGAGAUUUUGCUACUUCACUUGAUGAUUAAACCAAAGGGGAGAGGGGGUAUUUAUACAUGAAACAAACUAAUCACAACCAUUCAUUUAUUCAAUUAAUACACAAAUCCUCACCAUCUAUUAAAACCUACCACUCACCUACUUCACCAACCACACCUAACACACCUAACACAAAUAAUUCAAAGCUCACCAACCAUACCUACUCAUGGAACCUUCCAUGAGUUGGGCUUGAUUUACUCAUCUUGGAUCAAGUUUAUGAUCCAACAUUAUGUUUGACGCCUUAUUACAUGUUUGACCCCCAUUCUUACAUCUUUCACAUGACUUGUUGCAUGUUGACAUGGUUUUCAUGUUUAACCUCAUAUAUUACAUGUUUCUCCUCACUUGUUACAUGUUUCACGUGGAUUGUUGCAUGUCUUAAAUAAAGCCAAAAAAUGAAAAUUAUCCCACGUAUUUUAUGUUUCACGCCUGCGUUGCAUGUUUGAUCUCCGUUAUUGCAUCUUUUAUGUGAACUGUUACAUGUUGACGUGGUUCUCAUGUUUAACUUUAUGUGUUGCAUGUUUUACGUGAUCUUUUUACACGUAAAUUUCAUGUUGCAUGUUUGAUCUCACUUAUUACAUGUUUCAUGCGGAUUGUUGCAUGUCUUGAAUAAAGCAAAAAAAUAAAAAAUUUCCCACUCAUUUCACGUUCGUAUACCUCCAUUGUUGCAUCUUUCACGUGAACUAUUGCAUGUUUCUCAUCUUUAGCCUCAUCUGUUUCAUGUUUGACCUUUGGUGUUGCAAGUUUUACUUGACCUUUUUACAUGUAAAUUCAUAUUGCAUGUUUCAUGUGGAUUUUCGCAUGUUUGAAUAAAGCCAGAAAUGAAAAUUAAUAAAGCCAUAAAUGAAAAUUUUCUCGGCUGUUUCAUGUUUCACGUUUGUGUUACAUGUUUGAUCUUCGUGUUGCAUCUUUCACAUUAACUGUUGCAUGUUGAUGUCGUUCUCAUGUUUAACCCCAUCUGUUGCAUGUUUGACCCCAUAUGUUCCAUGUUUUACGUGACCCUCUUACAUGUAAAUUUUAUGUUGCAUGUUUGAUCUCAUUUGUUGCAUGUUUCACAUGGAUUGUUGCAUAUCUUGAAUAAAGCCAAAAAAUGAAAAUUGUUCCACUCAUUUCAUGUUUCACGUUCAUGUUGCAUGUUUGACUUCCGUCUUUGCAUCUUUCAAGUGAAUUUUUGCAUGUUGAUGUGGUUCUCAUGUUUAACCUCAUCUAUUGCAUGUUUGACAUCAGAUGUUGCAUAUUUUACAUGACCUUUUUAAAUAUAAAUUUCAUGUUAUAUGUUUGACCUCACUUGUUGCCUGUUUUACUUGAAUUGUUCCAUGUCUUGAAUUAAGAGAAAAUUUGAAAAUGGGUGACGAAGACAAAGUAACAGUGCAUAUAAUCACCAAGUUGGCUGGCCAACUUAUUUAACAAUGAAUCUAGCGGUUAACCACUUCCACUUCAGAGACACCCAACAAUGAAACUGUUAGCCAAUUGAUUUAACGAAGAAUUAAGCGGUUUAUUGCUUCCACUCCGGAAACACUCAACAAUUAAGUGGUUAGUCGACUAAUUUAACAAGGAAUCAAGUGGUUAACUGCUUGCGUUCAAGAAAAUAGCUAACAAUGAAACAGUUAGCCAAAUUGUUAAGCAAAGAAUUAAGCAGUUAGCUGCUUCCACUCCAAAAACAACUAAGUAUGAAACGGUUACUCAGCUUAUUUAACAACAAAUGAAACGGUUAACUAGUACAAUGAAUGUUUGAUGUUGAUAUUUCAUGUAUCACAUUGUCUAACACAUGUAUAAAUAUCAUGUUGCAUUUCAAAAUUUCUUGACAUUUCAAGUGAUAAUUUAUAAUCAAAAUUAUUUUGUUUCAUCUUCUUUUUUAUUAUUAAUUAAGUUUUUUUAUUAUUAAUUAAGUUUAAUUAAGCCCAUCUAUUAAGAAAAAAAAAUGAAAAUGUUGCCUUAGUUUAAAAUUAUUUGAUAAUUUAAGUGAUCAUUAUUACUCCAAGUAAUAAUUUAUCAUUUUAGUUAUUAUUUGUUUCAUUAUUUUGUAAUUUGAUUAAUUUUUCAAACGAAAAUAACUAUGGUGACAAUUUUAAAUUACCAAUUAACCUUCUUUUUUUUUUUAGUGCAAUUGGUAAUUUGUAAAUUUUUUAUUUUAAAAAUCAAAUAAUACAUACAACACAUUAAUUAUUUUGGAUUAAUUUCAUCAGAGCUUGUAAAUGAAACCCAUAAACAAAGGCAUCUCAAACUUUGUAAUUACAAAAAAAAAAAAAGCGUAAAGAAGAGAGUUGGCGGGUGCACGCCAUACGCGAAUUAAUUUUCACCAUCAUCUUCCACCAUAUGUCGUGAGCAAUGGAGGCUUUCCCUCCCCAUUACCAUUACAAAAAAGGUGUCGAAAAAGGUGUCGACCUGUGUCACACCCCCAUCCAAGAAGUGAGCUAAAAAUUAUGAAACUCCAAAGCACUGUCUAAGCAUAGCACACAGACUACUUCCAGCAUCUCCAUUAACAAAAUACUCGAAAAAAGCAAGGCAUGAGCUAUUAGCCCAUACACUUUUAAGCAUAAUGAUUCUAAUCGCAUCUCAUUUAACCACGAGGCCAUGAAAACAUACUCAAAGAUUCCAAAAGAAAAUUGACAUUUAAGCACAUAAGAAUCAAUCUUAAGAAUCCAUCAAUUUUGCAAUCAAGCGAAAAAAAGUCAAUCGCUGAUCUAUAAGACCAAACUUCAAAGUCUAUAAUUUCAAUGAUCAAAUAACAAAUGAUGUCCAAAUAAAAUUCAUGGAAAUCUAUAGAAACCUUUGGCAUUAUUUGAGACCUUGUAAUAAGGCAGGCCUUGUUCAAUAAUCCCUUUAAAUUAUUGGGUUGGUUCAAUUACUAUACAAUUUUGCAGAUAUAAUCUAGACAUGUAAAGCACCUAGAAUAUAACAUCUUAGCUCAAAUUAGUUACAUUUAUUACUAUUUCUAUGACCCAAUAUAGAGUUACAGAAAACUGGUUUAUUGACAGGAAACACCAACAACCUAAGCUUGUGAUUUUCUUUAAAAAUUCAAUACUAUUCAGAAUAUUAUGAAAACUUCCAGAAUAUUAUUAGACACAACAUAUAAAAUUUUCAAGCCAUUUGGACAACUCUAUAAUAGGUUCUCACAGGAUUGCACUAAACAAAUCAAAACUGCCUUUUUAAUUCACACAAAUAAAGCUGAGCUUUGGUGAUUUAUUAAAAUUGAAAUACUCAGUAUGUUGGGAUGGAAAUUCCCAGAACAUAAUUCCACAUAUAACUUGAUAACAUAUUAAAAGUUCAAGACAUUCUGAUAUCAUUAAGCUAAUGUUUCAUAAGAUCAAACACAAGUGAAUAGUUCUGCCAAGGGGUUUACGGCUAAAGCGGUGGAGUUUAAAAAAUCAUAAAAAACAAAAAAGUACCAGAAGUUCAAUUACCAUGGAACUUUCAACAUUUAAAAUAGACAUAUUGAAGUUUAAUAUCUCAAAAUUUCAGCUCAUGUUGACCCCAUUAGAUUAUUCGUUUAUAACACCAAACAUGGUACAUAUACAGUUUCUGAUAAAUUCCAACAGCAACUGACCAAUUUGACAAAUCCAUUAAAAAUAAACUAUUAGUUCAAUUCAUUACAAAAUGUCCAGAAUCGAAAUAUACAAUUAAGCUUUUAUUACUCAAAAUUUGAAUCUAAUCAAGCAUCAUUUAGUCAUAUUUUCAAACAAUCAAAGUUAUGAUAAUAGUCCAACAAUCUUUAAAUUUUCUGCAGAAUCAAUAAACUAUUUAUCAUCUUUUCAGUUCAAUAAUCAAUUUUCUGGCAAAAUUAGACAUCCAAAACCAACAACAACCUUGCUUUUCAAUAUUGAAGUAACAAAACAUCAUUUGCACAAAGUUACCUACCUAAAUCACAAGCUUUAACUUCCUAGCCUCUUAAUAAAGCUUUCUGACACCUUCACAAGUAUUGACCUCGGCCUUGACAUUACCAAAAAGCCUACCCAAAAUUAAAAAAAAAAAUGAUAAUCAAUCACACUUCCAUUAAACAAAGUCAUGAGAGAUUAUUUAAAAAUUGAGGUGUUUUUUACCUCUUAACGAAUAGCUCAACGCCCAACUUCCAAUCUGUAGCACUACAUAAUUGAAACAUACGACCACCGAUCAACAAAUAACACAAAAAAUUGCUAACAGUUUCAAUUAAAAAUAAAAGCUGGUGAUUAUAUAGCGUUAAAUCAUCAAGCAACCGUAUAUGACAGUGAGUCUCUGGAAACAUCAAUAAAAGUUUCUGAAAAACAGCAAAAAAAAAAAAACAACUUAAAAGUAAUAUAAUGAAUAUCAACACAGAUAAAUAAGAUUGGUCAAAAAAUUAAAAAUAAAAGAAAAAGAAGCUGAAUGGAUAAAUCUCUACCAAAUUUGUGAGUACCCAUCUUUAGUAUUCCGAACAAUGAGUGCGGAGCUCAAAACAAACAAACAAGAAAAAAUUAGUAUAUCAAGAGAUAAAUAACACCUAAUAAAAAACCAAUCCUCAAAAAAUUAACUAAAAAAAAUUAACUUGCUUUGAGGGUUUACGCUGGUGGCUUCACGAAGCUCACGCGGCAACGAUUUCGGCCAAAGCGAAAUCGUAUAGAUAACGGUGCGACAGAAAUAAUGGUAGAUGAUUCCGAUUGGUUGAUUGGUGUGAGAGAGACAAUGGAUUUUAGGCGAUGAGUCCAGAAAUCGGAUGAGAGAAAUAAUGGAUUUCAAAGAGGGAAGAAAUUUUAGGGAUUUUCCUUUUGGGAAAGCGACGAAAUCAGAUUGGUGAGAGAGAGGAGAAAAAAAGAAUGAGAGAAAUUUAGGGAUUUCUCAAGUUGAGAACCGGCAUCUCAAGCUGCCUUUCUUUCUCUAUUUUAAUUGAAUAUAAAAUAUCAUACAAGUGAUGAUAUAUAAGAACUUGUACUAGCGAAUUUACAGACAUAUUACAAAGGGAUAAUAAAUUAAGUGCAAGAUCUAUAAUGUAUUUCUAGUAAACGACAGCUUUAUGGAUUAAUAAUCCUAAUUUUUUUUCUAAUUUUAUGACCAAGUAACAAUAUAAUUACAAAUUUUUGAACAUAUUUAAUUUGUACAAUAGUUUGUGACUGCAUCAUCAUUCUUUAUGAGUAAGUAAGAAUCGUUUAUUUUGCUCCAUUAAAAAGAAUAGUAAAUGGCUUGCCCGGCCUUGAGCAAAGUAUUUAGGUCAUUUGACAUGCAAUAAGUGCCAUUUCUCAAUCUACCAACUUUGGUAUUGACAAAAUGCAGUAUACACAUAAGUUGAUUAUAGUAAACAAGUGGGCGAGAGUUCUCUAUAGAAAAUUAAUGGGACUCAAAUUGCACAGUAACAAAUGACCUUAGAAAUUGAAUAAGAUGCAGCAAAUUGACCAUGUGACAAAUCUGUUCCUGUCCGAAGUUCGGAACCAUUAGAAUGAAUAUUUGAAAAUGAGAGAAGGCAAGAUCACAUGAGGGCACAGCGAAGGAAAACAGACCUAGCAAUGAGGCACGAAUUAAAAGUUAGAUAAUGCUCUUACACACUAUUAUUGAAGGCAUUCAUUGCAAAGAUUAUAAUUCAUUACCAGUGAAAGAAAAGAAAAUCAAUUUGAUUGUCUCAUACGUCUAGCUCUUUAAUAUUUUAAGAAUCCCAUUACAAUUUCUUUUGCAUUGAUUCUCUAUUUUGGUGAUCCUACAGUACGCUCCAUAACCAAAUUGAAGACAAAUGACACACAUUGCUCUUUGGUCAUGAAAUGUUUGUCCUCCUGAGUUAGUAGAUUUGCAUCAACGACUUCCAUAACUGUUUCAGUGUAAUAUGUGUUCUUUUCUAAUUUUAUGUGCAAGUAAGAAUAUCAUUUUAAAAGGAACCGUAAAUAUCUUCCCUAGUUUUGAGCAAAGUAUUUAGGUCAUUUGACAUAUAAUAAGGUCCAUUUAUCAAUCUACCAGCUUUAGUUUUCAUAAAAUGUGAUAUGCAUAUAAACUUAGGGUAUAAAACUAAAUGCACUGAAACUUUCAAUCCUUCUAAAUCCUACAAAAUAUUCAUAAUUUUCCACACAUAAAGCAAAAGAACAAUAACUAAAUCACACUGACCUGAUUAUAGUACAUGAAAGUCCAGAUUUUCCCUAUAGAAGAAAUAUAAAUAUAAUUAAACCUAAACAAAUGGCAGAAAUCUCUAUGGAAAGUUAAAGGGACUCAAAUUGCAGAGUAACAAAUCACCUUAGAAAUUGAAUAAGAUGCCAACAGACUGACCAACUACCAAAUCCGUUCCCUUCCGAGUCAUAGCUAAUUUAGAAUGAAUAUUUGAAAGUGAGAGAAGGCAGGAUCACAUGCAAGCACAACAACCAAGGAAAGCAGACCUAGCAUUGGCAUGAAUUAAAAGUUAGAUAACACCCAUGCACAGAAUUAUUGAAGGUAUUCAUUGCAAAGAUUACAAUUCGUUACCAGUGAAAGAAAAGAAAAUCAGUUUGAGUGUCACAUGCGUCUACCCCUUAACAUUUUUCAGCAAUGAGUCUCUAAUUUUUAAGAGGCUUGUUACAAUUUUUUUUGCAUUGAUUCUCUCCUCUGGUGAUUCUAUAGUACACUUCAUAGCCAAAUUGAAGAUAAAUGACACGCAUUGCUAUUUGGUCGUAAAAUGUUCAUCCUCCUGACUUAAUAGAUUUGCGUCAACAACUUCCAUAACUGAAAUGGGUAGCAAGUCAUUAACUCAACGCUUUAAUGUCAUUUCUCCAGAAAAAAUUUCAUCUGUUGGUUUUUUUCGAGUAAAUAUUUCCAUUAACAUAAUUCCAAAGCUGUAAACAUCCCCAUUUGUGGAUACUCGUCCUUCACUUCCAUACUCUAUUGAUUGCAACAGUUACAUAGUAAGAUAAUAUAAUUUAUAAUACUAUGUGUAAAUGAAGAUCAAAAGAAAUAAAUAACAUAUCAGAAAGUAUUAAAGAAAAAAAAACUAUUAUAUAACGAACCCGGUGCCAUAUAGCCUAUAGUGGCAAGUGUUUGUGUUUGAGUCAAAGAUUGAUCUUCUUCGAGUAAAGGCUUUGCCAUGCCAAAAUCACUCAAAUGAGCAACCAUAUUAUCAUCUAACAAUACAUUGCUGGGCUUUAAGUCACAAUGAAUUAUUGGGGCUGAAUAACCAAAGUGCAGAUAUUCCAAAGCUGAUGCAACAUCUAUCAUUAUGUCCAAUCUUUGAAAAAUAUCCAAAAUGUAGUUGCUCAAAUACAAACACUUCUCCAGACUUCCAUGGGGCAUGUAUUCUAACACCAACGCUUUAAAAUCAUCAUUUGAAUAACUGCUAAUGAUUUUUAUAAGGUUUCGAUGACGAAUACGUUUCAUCACGUCACAUUCAAUAGCGAAACUCUUAAAUGCUCCUUCAUAUUGUGGGUCAAAAACCUUUACUGCAACCUCCAUCCCAUCCUGAAUUAUUGCCUUGUAAACAGAACCAAAACCUCCUUUGCCGAUUAGCUGCUUUCACUAAAUCCGUUUGUAGCUCAAAAAAGUUCUAGGUAUGUAAACCUUCUCUGAUUUGCUACUGGUGGCAUAUUAGCAUCAUUUGGCAGUGGUUUCCCUCUCUUUUGAUAUCUUAAGAUCAACAAAAUCAUUACUAUCAUAAAUAUAGUACUCAAUGGCAAGACAAUCUCUAUGAGAAGAUAAUUUUUCCUUGAGGUGUGGUGGAUUCUAUUUCUGCAUGGUGGGACUUGCAGAUUGGGCAUAUCACAUAAUAAUUCAUUUCCUUCGAAUGAUUUAAUUGAUAAAUUUCUAAAAGGUCCUCUAGGAAUCUCUCCUUCCAGCUUAUUGAAAGAAACAUUUAUGUCUUUAAGAUCUAACAAUUUCUCCAAAGAUAUAGGAAUAGUUCCAGAGAGAUUAUUAUUGGAUAAAUUUAAGGAUUUCAAGUUUAUCAAAUCACCAAUGGAAUCAGGAAUUGAGCCUUGUAAUCUAUUAUAUUCUACAAAGAGAUAUUGUAGAUCUUUUAGGCCUCUAAUUGUUGUUGGGAUAACACCUGAUGGUUGUCGAAGCCAGCAAAAAAUAAAUACCUACUCUAAAUAAAUUGUGUAUAGUGAUUGAGAAGGGUCGUGUCCACAAAGAUCGGUAAUUAUUUAAAUACUUUUAAAAUGUAAAAUGCAAAAGUGGGGGAUUGUUGACAAUAAUAAAAAUCAAAUUAAAAUAACAUUGUAAUUUAAAUUGGGGAAAGCUCUGGUUGAAGGAAUUAACUCAGCUUAAUUCGACUACUGAUCAUUGAUUCAAUUAUAAAUCAUUACUACUUAUGAAUAGACCGGUUAUAGCUACUGAGACCCUCUAAUAGCCAAUCUCUCCUUAACUAGUCGAUAACCAAGGUACGACCGUUGGUUAUUUCCCUAAUCAAUAGACAACCCUAGAUACGAUCAUUGGAUUUAAUCAAUUGACAGCCUGAAAAACCAGAGAGAUCCAAAUCCUAAUCAACAACUGCAUACGAUGAUUCAUUUAAAUUAGAUUGUUUAUUCUCAUAACACAACGCACUGCUAUACUAUUUGUCACAAACAUUAAAAUCUUCAUACGAUGAAUCUUUUAAUUGACAAUAGAUUAAGUUGAUAAUUAAAUAGUGGCCAAUUAUCUAAUUAACAAACAUAAUUAUGACAAUAAUUCAGAGAAUAAACAAAUACCCAAAAAACAAUAAAAUAAUUAAAGCAUAAGAAAGAUCUCACAGUAGUGAUGAAUCAAAACUUCAUUAACCUUCAACCAGAAUAAUAAGUUUAGUUCUUCAUAGAGAGAAGAGAAAAAUUUAGAUCUAGGGUUUCUUUCUCUUAAAAAAAUCUCCCAUUUUCACAAUAGAUUCAUCUCUUAAAUUCUCUUCUCCUCUAGAGUUCUUUUUAAAAUAAAAUACUAAUAUCUAAAAUAUUAUCUAAAUAUUAAAUUCGUAAUUACAAAAAUAACCAAAAAGACAGAACACAUUAAACUAAAAACUGCAGGUCCGUAGUUGACAGUACGCGCCCACGCCUUAUCAACAAAGUUCUUCUGAAGCUCAUAAUUUCUCUAGGAAAAUAAUCAUCCUCAAACAUCAUCUUGUAGCUCAAUUUUAGCACCAAUCAAUAGAAUUGCACCUACAAAAAUAAAACACAAGUAAAUCACUAUUAUUAAGUGCAAAACAUCGAUAUUAAAGGAAGUAAACAAUGCAAAACUAGUGUAUAAAUCAUACUCUAACAAAUUUCCCCACACCAAGAUGAUGCUUGUCCUCAAGCAUAUAACUCAAGACUAAUCCCAAAUCUCCACUCAAUUCUCAUCUCAACUCAUCCGAAAACAAUCUUAAGCAAGCAUACCUCAAGAAUUUAAGUCGAUCAACAUUCGAGAGAUAAAGAUUUUAAAGCAUAGGAUCUCAUAAGCUAAUAUAAAAGAAAAACAUUCAACCACCAAGAAGAUCCAUUCAAAAUUUAAGUGCAACAAGAUUUAAUAGCACUCUCAUUGACUUCACUUCAUGCACUCAAAGUGUUUAGGGUAUCAUUUAUGCACUCAAAUCAAAUCAAAGAAUGCUAUUACCAUGAGCUUGCUCACAUAUCACAUCUCAAUCCACAAAAUAUGAAUUAAAUGCAAAAAUCUAAGGGUCUUAGAAAGGUUGUAACGGGGUUAAAUGGGUUAAAUGAAAAAGAAAGGUCUAUGAAAGAAAAAGAGAUCAAAAUGAGAAGAAUGAACUCAUUGAAUGAACCUUAUGAUAUCAAAACGCUUAUUUCUACUCAAGUCGCCAAGAAUGUAAACAUUUUUUUUCUUUUUUUUUUUAUUUUUUUUUCAAUUUUUUUUUUAAAUCAAACAAAAGAAAUGAACCUUGCACAAUUUAAUUCAAGCAUAAUGCUUGUUGAUCUAAUCGAGAAACUUUAAUUCAAGGUAGUAAGAGCAACAAAAUAUAUACAAAAUAUAUCCAAACAAUGAGUCCAAAAAUCUCGUUAAAUUGAGGCUCAAAAAGAAGGAAAAUGGGUAAGUAGAUGGAGAGAAUUAGAUGGGUAAUGGUUAAGGCUCAAACAAAGAUAACAAAUAAAGGUCUUCGGGUGGAGAAAAAGAAGAAAAAUGCGAAAAUAGAAAAAUGGAAAGUGGUUUGCCCUUAUCAUUUUAAUGCAUAAAAUCCCGUAAUGCGGCUUCAACAUGCAUAACAAAGCAAGUUCUAGAAUAAACAAACUAAGAUUGAUAUUCACAUAACAAAAAUAAUUAGAGCAAAGUGGUUGCUCAUAGGCUCAAAUCCUCACAAAGUUGAUAAAUUUACCAUCAAAUUAUGUACACUCUUCAAAUGAAUCAACCAUCAAUAGUGGUGUAGAAUGAGAAGAAGGUAUGAGUGAUAUAUAAAAGGAAAGGUAAAAAUGAUAAGAAGCGAGAAAGAUGUAUGUAGUAAUAUAAAAAGUGAAAGAUAAAAUGUGAGUGAUGAAAGAGUAUGAUAGAAUAAAAAUAGAUGUAAAAUAAUUUGAGAUAGAUGGGAAAAGAGUAGUGAGAAAGAAAAAAAAAAUAAUAAUAUAUGAAGCAUACUAACUCCAAAAUCAUUUAAGGAUAAGCAGAGCGAAAAUAAUACUUCCAGACAUCAAUAUUGCAAAUAUCCCUCCCUCACACCAAGAACUUACAUUGUCCCCAAUGUAAGAUAAUCAAAGCUCACAUAAAAAAAUAAAGCGUAAGGAUACAAGAUUAAAGGCAAAACUUCCCUGAAUUGUGAGCUUUGAUCCACAUAACGUCUAUGGGUUUGGCGGAAAUGGUGGGAUAAAUCCCACGUUCUUGAAGUAUGCGGCCAAAUUCUGCUCCAUCUUGUUCAGCUUGUGCUCCAUUUUCUCUAACUGAAUGCUCAAAGGUGGUGCAGAUGCAGAAGGAAUAGUUGGUGGGGCAGCAGUUUCGUCGUCAAACUCGUCAUUAGAGGUAGCACCACUCCUAGCAUAAAGCUUCUUUGGAAGUUGAGUGGGUCCUGGUUCAGUAAACUGAAAUCUCCCCUCCUUGAAUUCGACCACACCUGUUCUUUCAAACACAGACAUAUCCAAAAAAUCAUUUUUGCAAGCAGGAUGCAAAUCAUUAUUGUCAGGAUCAAGCACACAUAAGUUUAUAGCUAACAGAGUAAUGUAUGGACCAAAAAAUAAAGUCCUAUACCAUUUAAGCACACUUUGAAAUUGAUCUGCUAACCAAAAACCUAAAUUAGGCCUCACAUCAUUUAACAUGCACCAGAUAAAAUAAAACUCAGUUUUAGAGAAAACUCCCGAGUGAUCUUUUUUUCCUAAAAAAUUAUAUGCUAAGAACCGAUGCACACAUUUCAAAACAGGAUCACGUAAGAAAGAGCUCUUUGAUUUACUCGGGUCAUAGGCAUUGUGAUUAAAAGAUAAAUUACGCCAAAGACCAUAAGGCUCAAAAUUUUCGCUAAAGUCACAAGUUAUCCUUAAAUAUGCAUCACUAGAAGAAUAAUCAUCAUUAAUGAAUCCUAAAGCUAGGUUAAAAUCCGUGAUAGAUUGUGAAAAAUUUCGUCCCAUUAACUUAAACUUUAUAACAUUCGGAGUAUGCAAAGUAAAAUCAUUCGGUAUAUUAAAUUGAAAAGUAGCAUAGAACUCCCUAAUCAACUCAACAUAACCCAAACAAUCAACAUCAACAAACUUACGCAAACCAAUCUUAUCUAUCAAAUAAUCAAAAUUAUCCUUAACAUUCAAUUUUUCAAGAGUCGGGUAAUGAAUAUACUUAGCUGGAAGUAUUUUUCGCUUGGAAAUAUCUUUGUACCUUUCUUUCUCUUGUUGAGGCGUGAAUGUGAGGCACCCUCCGAGAUUGGAUUCAGCAAGUGGCAAAACACUUAUGCCUUUUCCAUGUUUCGAUCUUUGUCUCACGGCUUGGCGUGAAUCUGAAACUGUGUUCCAUGGAACCGUAGUGGGAGCGGCAAUCUUGGAUUUCUUUGCGAUGGGUGUCUUUUUAGAUGACUUGGAAGUUGAUGCUUUCCUCUUUGGCAUUGUCACAAUAAUUUCACUCACGGGUAAUGAUUCACGCGGCUGGAAUGCUGGGAUUUGGGAUGCACGGCUGCUGGUGAUUGCAAACACGCGGCUGUUGGUUGCGCGCGCGGGAUGCUGAGAUGCGUGGGCUGGUGCUGCGCUGGUGGGCUGGAGCUGGGCGUGGGAUUGCUUGUGCUUGCGCUGGCGCUGCGCUGGUGGUUGUGGACGCGAGAUGCUGCGCUGCUGGUUGUGGACGCGAGAUGCUUGCGCGCGCAACUGGUGAAGGCUGUUGCUGUGAGAUGGUUGGUGAGCGCAGCUGCUGCUCUGGUGCUGUGCUGUUGGUUGCGCGGAAUUCUUCUGGACUGGUUGGGCGUGCGGUGUUGAGUAUUAGAAAAUGUAUAUUUAUAAAGGAGAAAAUCGUCAUUUUACAUUUCAAGUCUUACUAACACACCCUUACUUUUAUGUAUUUAAGGUUCUUGUAAUUUAAUUAUGUGUGUUUUAUUUUAAUUAAGUAUUUUGUGUAUUUUAAGGGCAUCAUAGUCAUUUCACAAUAAACAAGAGAUCAAACGGCAAAACGGACAUCACUUUUGAACUCAGGACGGUCGAAAAUCUUAGGAGGAGCAUAAAAGGAAAAAUGGAAUUGUUCACAUGUACGGUAUUAUUCACAUGUACGGUACUGUCUACGUUACUGUUCACGACACUGUUAAUUGGUAUUAAUAAGGAAUAUUUAGCCCAUGAUGCAUGUUGAUACGGAUCCAGAUACCCAAGUACGUCAAUUUAAUAGAUUUUCACUUUAAUUUCUUCUCGCCAUUUCAAUUCCAAUUUUUAGGAUAAUUUAAAUCACUUCCACCACAAAUCCAACCACCUCAUACAAAAUUAAUUCUACAUAUAAUUAAAAUCCACCUCCUCGUAGGAUCGACACUCGUCACCAUUGGUCUAUUCUACAAUAGAUUCGUGCGCUUGCGAGUUCAAUAAAAUUUGCACAACACGCGGGACGGAGCUGGAGACGCAGCGUACGAUGCACGGUGGAUGCUGUCUGGCGGGCUAGAGUUGCUGGAGGUGGCUGCUGCGGGAUGGUGGGAUGAUGGGAACAAAUUUUUUUUGAAUUAGGGAUUUGUGAAUAGUGAAAACAAAAUUUUUUUCAAAUAAAAUAAAAUAACCUCUUUUUUUUAUUGAAACUAAAAAAAAAGUAAAAAAAAAAAACUUUUUUUUCAAAUAAAAUAAAAGAAAAAAACUUUUUUUUUUAACUAAAAACUAAAAGAGACACUUGAGACACAAAAAAAAAUUAUAGAAGUAUUUUUUAGUUAAGACGUGGGCACGCCUAAAAACCAUUUUACUUUAAAAUCACAAAAGUACUUAUUAGUUAAGACGUGGGCACGCCUAAAAAUCAUUUUACUUUAAAAUCACAGACGUACUUAUUAGUUAAAAUGUGGGCACGCCUAACCAAAAAUUUUCUUCUGGCCAAAAUAAGCAAAAACAUUAUUUAAACAAUCUGAAUCAAAAUUAAAAACAAAAGAUAUAACAAAAACCAAAAUAAAUAAAUCCUUUGGGUUGCCUCCUAAAAAGCGCCUUUGUUUUAUGUCUUUGGCUAGACACAUUCAUGCAUCAAUCUCCAUAAAUGACACUCUCGAGAGCCACAUCCUCCACAAUAUUCACCGAAAAACCUUCAUAAAAAGGUUUUAAGCGAUGACCAUUAACCUUAAAAACUUUGUCAGAAGUCGGACUCCGAAUCUCAACUGCACCAUGAGGAAAAACAUUAGUAACAAUAAAAGGUCCAACCCAGCGAGAACGUAAUUUACUAGGAAAAAGUUUAAGCUUAGAAUGAAAAAGAAGAACUUUUUGACCAACAGAGAACUCCUUUCUCAAAAUCAUUCUGUCAUGAAAUGUCUUCGUCUUUUCCUUGUAAAAUCGCGAACUCUCAUAGGAUUCGUUUCUAAUCUCCUCCAACUCUUGCAGCUGCAACUUCCUCUGCUUUCCCUCUUCAUCCAUCCGCAUAUUGCAUUGCUUAACUGCCCAGUAUGCUCUGUGCUCAAGCUCUACAAGUAAAUGACAAGGUUUACCAAAUACUAAACGAUAAGGAGACAUACCUAUGGGAGUUUUGUACGUGGUGCGAUACGCCCACAAUGCAUCAUCUAAUCGUAAGCUCCAAUCCUUUCGAUUUGGACUAACCGUCUUUUCAAGAAUAGACUUGAUUUCUCUGUUUGAUAUCUCAGCUUGUCCACUUGUAUGUGGAUGAUAGGCGGUUGACACUCGGUGGGUAACAUGAUAUCUCUUGAACAAAACCUCCACCACCCGAUUACAGAAAUGAGUGCCUCUAUCACUUAUCACCGCUUUCGGUACACCAAACCUGACAAAAAUAUUAGACUUGACAAAAUCUGCAACAACUUUAGCAUUGUCAGUCCGGGUGGUCUUAGCCUCUACCCACUUAGAAACGUAAUCUACUACUAAAAGAAUGUAAGUAUUGCCAAAAGAUGAGGGAAAAGGUACCAUAAAAUCAAUGCCCCACACAUCGAAUAUUUCACACCCAAGAAUAGGGGUAAGUGGCAUUUGAUUCCUAUGACUUAAAUUAUCAGUCUUUUGACAAUUCUCACACAACUUACAAAAUAUGUAUGAAUCACGAAAUAAAAAUAAGCCAAAAUAGACCACAUUCUAACACUUUAGAUGUUGUCCUUUUGGGAUAAAAAUGACCACCACAUGCAUACGAGUGACAAAACUGAAGAAUAGAAGGAAUUUCAAACUUAGAUACGCACCUUCUGAUGACUUGGUUAGAGCAAUGUUUCCACAAGUAAGGGUCAUCCCAAACAUAGUACUUAGCAUCGCUCUUAAUCUUAUCUUUUUGAGCCCUUGUCAGAUCACUAGGUAGUGUUCUUGUAACUAAGUAAUUGACAAUGUCAGCGUACCAAGGAACCAUACCUUGAUUUACAAAGAGAUGCUCAUCUGGAAAAUCAUCCUUCAAAGGUGCUGCUUCUUCACUCGUGAUCAAUCUACUAAGGUGGUCUGCAACCAAGUUUUCUGCUCCUUUCUUGUCACGGAUCUCCAAGUUGAACUCUUGAAGUAGUAGGAUCCAGCGGAUGAGUCUCAGUUUUUCCUCCUUCUUGGCGAGCAAAUAUCUGAGAGCUGCAUGAUCAGAAAAAACAAUCACUUUAGUACCCAAUAAAUAUGAACGGAAUUUUUCUAAAGCAAAAACAACAGCCAAAAGUUCUUUUUCCGUUGUUGAGUAAUUGCAUUGAGCACUAUCAAGUGCUCAUGAUGCGUAAUAUAUCAUGUGAGCAGCUCUUCCAACCCUUUGUCCGAGAACAGCACCAACAACAUAAUUACUAGCGUCGAACAUUAUCUCAAAAGGGAGGCUCCAAUCGGGUGGCUGUAUAAUUGGAGUUGAAGUCAAUAACUCCUUGAGCUUAUCAAAUGCUACCUUGCAUGCUUCAUUAAAAUCAAACGUCACAUCUUUCUGAAGCAGCUUGCAUAAAGGCUGAGCUAUCUUUGAAAAAUCCUUGAUAAAACGUCAAUAAAAACCUACGUGACCAAGGAAAGAAUGAACUUCCCGCACACAUGUGGGAUAAGGUAAAGAUUUAAUAACAUCUAUCUUAACUUUAUCUACCUCAAUUCCUCUAUCAGAGACUACAUGACCCAAAAUAAUGCCUUGAUCUACCAUAAAAUGAUAUUUUUCAUAAUUCAAGACAAGGUUUGUUUCAAUGCAUAUUUCAAGCACUUUCUUCAGAUUAUAGAGAUAAUCAUCAAAAGAAUCAGCAUAAACUGUAAAAUCGUCCAUAAAUACCUCUAUAAUGUUCUCUACGUAGUCUGAAAAAAUACUAACCAUGCACCUCUGAAAAGUGGCGGGAGCGUUACAAAGACCAAAUGACAUACGUCGGUACGCAAAGGUUCCAAAAGGACAUGUGAAGGUAGUCUUCUCCUGAUCCUCAGGCGCAAUUAGUAUCUGAUGAAAACCUGAAUAGCCAUCAAGACAACAGAAGUGAGAUUUUCCUGCCAACCUUUCAAGCAUCUGAUCAAUAAAAGGAAUAGGAAAAUGAUCAUUCCUAGAGAGUGAAUUAAGCUUUCUAAAAUCAAUACAAACCCUUCACCCAUUCUGAACUCGGGUGGGUACUAACUCACCAUAAGAAUUCUCAACAAUUGUUAUACCAGUUUUCUUCGGUACCACUUGUACCGGACUUACCCAUUUACUAUCCAAAAUUGGAUAGAUUAUACCUGCAUCAAGAAGUUUCAGAAUUUAUUUCUUCACUACUUCCAUCAUGAGUGGAUUCAAACGUCGUUGAGCUUGAAUCGAAGGUUUGGCAUUUUCCUCCAGUAGUAUUCUAUGCAUGCACAUGGACGGACUUAUCCAUUUAAUAUCAACAAUUGUCCACCCAAUAGCCUUUUUGUAAUCCUUCAGCACUCUAAUAAGCUUUUCUUCCUCUAAAGUACUAAGCUUUGAAGAGAUGAUCACCGGAAGUGUCUCACCAUCUCCUAGAAACAUGUACUUUAGAUGACUCGGCAAUGGUUUAAGCUCUAUUUUCGGUGCCUGCAAAAUAGAUGGAAGAAGUUUUGCAUGAGAUGAAGGUAAUUCAAUAUAAGACAUAUGAUGAGUUAAAGUUCUCAAAGAAUUUAAUUCAUAAAUUGUCUCUUGCAAUACAGAAUUUAAAACAAACACAUUUUCAUCCUUUUGCAAUCCUUUGAGGCCCAAACUGUUAUUUAAAGCAGCUACCAAUGAUUCUUCAACAUCUAAAUAAAAAACUUCCUGCACUAUAGGGUUAAUAACAUCCACAGAAAAUAUUAAAUGUUCCUCACUAGGAUAUUUCAUGGCAUCAUUCAUAUUGAACUCUAUAACCUCUCCAUCAAACUCCAUAGUGAGAAUCUCUUUAUGUACAUCCAUUUUAGUCCUAGCAAUCUUAAGAAAAGGUAUUCCUAGCAAAACUAGGACAGAAUUAGAGGAGUUAUCCUCUUCCAUAUCAAGUACAUAAAAAUCAGCAGGAAAAACCAACUCAUUAACUUGUACUAAGACAUCUUCUAAUACCCCAUCAGGAUAUUCAUUAGACCUAUCAUCUAGUUGAAUUAUCACGCUAGUUUCUUUUAAUGGACCAACAUUCAAAGAUGAAUAAAUGGAACGAGGCAUGACAUUAAUAGAAGCUCCUAGAUCUAACAUACCAUUCUCAACUCUAACACUACCAAUUUUGCAAGGGAUAGUAAACAUACCUGGAUCCUUGCACUUAGGAGGUAGUUUCUUUUGGAGAACUGCUGAAACAUUCUCCCCCAUGUGAACUCUUUCAUCUCCUCUUAAUUUUCUCUUGGAGGUGCACAGUUCCUUAUGGAAUUUAGCAUAUCGAGAUAUUUGUUUUAUAGCAUCUAAUAAAGGAAUAUUUACCUCAACCUUGCGAAAUGUCUCAAGGAUGUCUUUCCCUUGUUCCUCCUUCUUGGAUUUUGCAAACAGGCUUGGAAAAAGGAGGAGGUAUCACCACAGGUAGGGGUUUCGCUCUGGUGGGUUGCGCAUCUUGAGAUUUAGGCAUCAAUUCAUUCUUCUCAAGCUCAUCUUCUACAUGCUUUGUCACUUUUUUAUCAGGCUCUUGCAACUCCUUCCCACUUCUAAGGAUGACAGCACUAGCGUUUUGCUUUGGAUUCACCUCAGAUUGUGAAGGCAAUCUCCUUGAUACUUGAGACUCUAGACGGCUCAUUGUAGUCGCCAAUUAACUCAUUUGGUUCUCCAAAUUCUGAAUGAUUGUUGUAGUUGCGUGCUGAAAUUGUUGAGUGUUAGUCGCAAGUGAUUUAAUAAUUUCUUCAAGAGAUAUACCUGACUUGGAGUUUGACUGUGGAGGUGCUGGUUGUCUUGGUGGGUAUUGUUGUGGGAAUCCUGAUGGCCUAACUCCAUAGCUGAAGUUGGGAUGAUCUUUCCAUCCCGGAUUGUAUGUUUGUGCAUAAGGAUCAUACCUCCUCUGAGGCAUGCUUGGAAAUCCUCCAACUGCAUUGGCUUGUUCAACGAGUUCUUCUUGAAGUGUAGGACAUAUAUAAGUUGAAUGACCCAUAUUGGAACAAAUGCCACAUGUCUUCACCUGUUGCACAUUAACUACAACAAACUUUUCCAUAAGAGAAGUAAGUUUAUCUAAACGUUGUUCAACAGAAGAAAUAUUUACCUCAUUCACCUUCCUUGAAGUGGGAUCUUGCCUGCUGCCAAAUUGUUGUGCAUUGGCAGCCAUAUUUGAAAUCAACUCCUUGCUUGCGUAUGGGUCUUGUUCACCAACACACCUCCACUGGUAGCAUCUAUCAUACUCAUAUCCAUCAAUGACAGUCCUUCGUAAAAAUAGUGAAUAAGAAGUUGAUCAGAAAUCUGAUGCUGAGGACAGCUGGCACACAAUUGUUUGAAUUGCUCCCAAUUCUCAUACAAAGUCUCCCCAUGAAGUUGUCUGAUCCCACAAAUGUCUUUUCUGAUGUUGGCAGCUCUUGAAGUAGGAAAAUACUUCUCAAGGAACUGCUUCUUCAAACCAUUCCACGUUAUAAUCGAUCCAGGAGGCAAGUAGUAUAACUAAUCUUUAGCUAGCCCAUCUAAAGAGAAAGGAAAAGUACGCAGCUUAAUCUGCACUUCAGUCACGCGUUGUGGUCUCAUACUUGAACACACAACAUGAAACUCCUUGAGAUGUUUAUGAGGAUCUUCACCUGCAAAACCAUGAAACUUGGGUAAUAAAUGAAUAAGGCCAGACUUUAAUUCAAAAUUUACCUCCAAGUUUACAUAUUGAAUGCAGAGUGGUUCCUUAUUCAAGUCUGGUUCAGCUAACUCUCUAAGAGUUCUUUCUACAGGUGCAGCUCUAUCCAUCACUUGUUCUUCUGAAUCGUUAGAUGAUUCAACCAUAUCAGGCACCGUAUCUGUUUCAGAAAGAAAAAGCGACGAGGAUCGUUGCUUAGCCCGCUUCGUCUGCUGUCUCAGCUAGCGAGCUAUCUUCUCAAUUUCAGGAUCAAACAAAAGUGUACCUGUACGAGAAGAACGAACCAUACACCAAGUAAAACGUAAAAAGGAUUAAAUAAACGACACCAAUCCCCAGCAACGGCGGCAAAAUUUGAUGGUUGUCGAAGCCAGCAAAAAAUAAAUACCUACUCUAAAUAAAUUGUGUAUAGUGAUUGAGCAGGUUCGUGUCCACAGAGAUCAGUAAUUAUUUAAAUCCUUUUAAAAUGUAAAAUGCAAAAUUGGGGGAUUGUUGACAAUAAUAAAAAUCAAAUUAAAAUAACAAGAAUGCAAUUUCAAAAUUGUAAUUCAAAUUGGGGAAAGCUCUGGUUGAAGGAAUUAACUCAGCUUGAUUCGACUACUGAUCAUUGAUUCAAUUAUAAAUCAUUACUACUUAUGAAUAGACCGGUUAUAGCUACUGAGACCCUCUAAUAGCCAAUCUCUCCUUAACUAGUCGAUAAUCAAGAUACGACCGUUGGUUAUUUUCCUAAUCAAUAGACAACCCUAGAUACGAUCAUAGGAUUUAAUCAAUUGACAACCUGAAAAACCAGAGAGACCUAAAUCCUAAUCAACAAACGCAUACGAUGAUUAAUUUAAAUUAGAUUGUUUAUUCUCAUAACACAACGCACUGCUAUGCUAUUUUUCACAAACAUUAAAAUCUUCAUACGAUGAAUCUUUUAAUUGACAAUAGAUUAAGUUGAUAAUUAAAUAGUGGCCAAUUAUCUAAUUAACAAACAUAAUUAUGACAAUAAUUCAGAGAAUAAAAAAAUACCCAAAAAACAAUAAAACAAUUAAAGCAUAAGAAAGAUCUCACAGUAGUGAUGAAUCAAAGCUUCAUUAACCUUCAACCAGAAUAAUAAGUUUAGUUCUUCAUAGAGAGAAGAGAAAAAUUUAGAUCUAGGGUUUCUUUCUCUUCAAAAAAUCUCCCCUUUUUCACAAUAAAUUCCUCUCUUAAAUUCUCUUCUCCUCUAGAGUUCUUUUUAAAAUAAAAUACUAAUAUCUAAAAUAUUAUCUAAAUAUUAAAUUCGUAAUUACAAAAAUAACUAAAAAGACAAAACAUGAUAAACUAAAAACUGCAGGUCCGUAGUUGACAGCACGCGCCCACGCCUUAUCAACAAAGUUCUUCUGAAGCUCAUAAUUUCUCUAGGAAAACAAUCAUCCUCAAACAUCAUCUUGUAGCUCAAUUUUAGCACCAAUCAAUAGAAUUGCACCUACAAAAAUAAAACACAAGUAAAUCACUAUUAUUAAGUGCAAAACAUCGAUAUUAAAGGAAGUAAACAAUGCAAAACUAGUGCAUAAAUUGUACUCUAACAACACCUGAAAAAAUUAUUCAUCGACAAAUCUACUUGUACCAAAACCUUCAAAUUUCCAAUCUCUGAUGGGAGUGGACCAGUAAAAAAAUUUGAAGACAAAUCAAGGCGCAAGAUGUCCUUAAGGUUCCAUAAAGUUGAAGGAAUAGAAGUUAACUUAUUAGAGCCCAAAUAGAGGUUCCUUAGAUUAGUGAGAUUGCCAAAGCAUGCUGGUAUGAAUCGAACAAGCUUAUUGCCCCCUAAGUCCAACUCAAACAGUGCGACUAAACGACAAAGAUCAUUUGGGAUUGAUCCUUCCAAUUGAUUAUCUUUCAAACUCAAUAAUUGAAGCUUUUGUAAUUUCCGGAGAGCAAUCGGAAUUGAUCCAUUCAAUUUGUUUCCUUCUAAAGAAAUUGCUAUCAAGUUGGUCAAGUUACUGAUCUCAUCAGGAAUGCUGCCACUACUGUUGCAAUUGGACAUCCAAAUGUUUUCCAUAGAUUGAGAAAGAUUGCCUAUAGCCCUUGGAAGAAUGCCAUCUAGUGGAUUAUCAGAGAAGCUAAGAUACUCCAAAUACUCGCAAUUUGACAACGAUGAUAGAAAGCUCAAUUCUGGAGUUGAAGAUGUCAAAUAAUUAUCAUUUAAACCAAGGUUUCUUAAGUUGCCAACUGUAUUUGGAAUAAAACCAGAGAAAGAGUUCAUCUGCAACUCUAGUGUGGAGAGCUUAGAAGCAUUGAAGAUGAAACUAGGAAUUGUGCCACUAAAAUUAUUAUCCCACAAGUGAAGCUUUUCGAGAUUUGAAAGUCGGAUGUUUGGGCUUGAUGGAAGUCUUCCCGAGAGAGAAUUAUUAGAAGCACCAAAUAUUUUGUGUUGAGACAUUGAAGAUUGUAGCUAGGACAGCUCCAACUAAUUUGUUAAUACCAAACUCCAUCCAUUCUAGAUUAUGGAGAUUACCGAUUUCACUUGGUAUCUCACCUGCAUUUUGAAAGAAAUAAUUCAAAUUUAUUUUAAAUAAUAAAUUAUACACUUUUAUAUCAUGGAAUGAGUGUUUGUAAUUAAAAUUAUUUAAAUAUGAGUUCAAGAUUAAUUAUUAUACAUAGAGAAAAUGUUAAUAAAUUAAUAAUUUUUUUCUUAUGAAUUAAAUAUAAAUAUUAAUAUUAAUAAUACCAGUAUUCACGCCAUUGUUAAAUAAAAAAAAAAGAAACUAAUCAUUUUAAUAUUAAUUUGAAUUAGUAAUAUAAUAUUUGUAUGAACAUAAGAAUUUUUUUCAAACUAAAUUUUUAGUUUAUUUUUCUAUGUGCUAAUACAAUGAAUAUAUGAAUUGGUAUCAUGGUGGAAGAAUAUUGAUUUCAUGAGGUAUCUCAUCUAUUUUGAAAAAACUAUAUUCAGAUUUGUUUCAGAGAAUAAAUAAUACAUAAAAACAAACUCAAUUUUGUCACCACUCAUCCGUCAAUUUUAGUAUGUUUUAAGGCCUAUUUGGUAUUGAAGUUAAGUAGCUGUAGUUUUUAAGUUACGAUACUAAAAUAUUUGGUAAACAUUAACUGUUGUUGUUUGGAACCGAAAUUGAUUUGAUCCUCGACUAUAUGCAAAUAUAUAUAUCUUAAUAAUAUAUGUUGUGUAGACUUUCGAGAAUUUAUUAUAGAAAAUGUUACUAAAAGAUCAAAUGUUUGAUUAUCUUAUAAACAACAUGUGUCAUUAUCUUAUACAAAAUUUAAGAAAGAUUAGAAUAUGAGAGGAUCCAAAUCCCUUUAUCUAUUAUAAUUCUCUGCUUAGUCAAAGUUACUGUCAACAUUUAUUAUAAGGUUUCCAAUUAAAAUGCUUAAACAAAAUUAAUUUUCAAGCAAAUAAACACCUGCUAUUCCAAGGAUGAGCGCACAAUGAUCCAGGUAAAAUACUCGGAGCCAUAACUAAAAAAAUGACAUAAAUAUAAAUCAUACAUACCUUGGAGUCUGUUUUGGUCAAGAUAUAAAUACUUAAGCUUGGUCAAAUUGCCGAUUUCUUUUGGUAUGUCUCCUGAGAAGUCAUUCAUUGACAAAGAUAAUGUUUGUAGACAUUUGCACCUUGAUAAAGUCGAUGGGAUUUUGCCGUCGAAGUUGUUUUUUUUUUCUAGAGAUAGGUUUUCUAGAAAAAGGUUGUUGCAAAUAUUUGCCGGGAGUUCACCUGGGAGUUCAACAAAUAAUAUAUUAUAUUCAAAAUGAAUAUUUUCUAGUAAAGAAGACUUAAAUAAGAUAAAGGAAGGGAUUGGACCAGAGAGCUGGUUAUAGCUAAGAUAAAGUAUUUGAAGUGAAGAUGGAUUCCCAAGUUGAGAAGGAAUGAUGCCUGUUAAGAAAUCAUUUGUUAGCGAUGGCAUCUCCAAUUAUAUAAAGAUAAGUAGAGAUUUCAUGGCAAAUAUUUUAUGCUGAUGUCAUAAAUGCAUAUUAUUAGCAAAGACUACCUGUCAAGUUAUUAACUGACAAAUCCAAAUUCGAUAGAGAAGAAAGAUUGAAGAUUGAUGAAGGAAUAGCUCCAGUUAAGAAAUUUUUUGUAGCCAUAACGUCUCUAAUUCUGCAAGAUUCCCCAGCUCCUCUGGGAUUUCUCCUAAAAAUCAUGAGUAACAUAUGCGUUAACUAUUUUAACUUAUUAACCAGCGUUCAAUAAGAAAAAAAGGAAAUUAAAAAAAAAAGUUUUUGCCCUAAGAGAGAUAAAAAAAUUUAUGAAAAAAAUAAAUAAAAUUAUGUAAAAUGAAAGAUAAGCCAUACCAAAUAUGCUCUAAGGCUAGGAUUUUUCAAAAUCAAAACAUUUUUUUUUAUGCCUAAAUAAACUUAUAAACUUAACUACCAUAUCAUAAGCUGUUGCUUGUUUCUGACUUCUUCUUCUCUACUACUCAUUAUAUCACUAACUUUAAAACUUUUGCAUAAACAUGAGCAAAGAAGAAACAUUGCCAAUUAAUUCUUAAUUCUUUUACGAAUUUAUGCCAUGGAAUUAGAUUAAAAUGGGAUGCAUUAUUGUCAUUGGUAUUCUGCAAUAACAAUUGACAGAUGAGGUAGACAAUAUCAAUUGAACACAAUUUCUAUUUGCAAUCGUCUGAAAUUAAUUUAACUUUAGACACAUAUAAAUAUUGUUCCAUUUUUCUAAUUCUCCAUUUGAUUUUGGACCCUAGAAAGACAAUUAAAAAAAAAAAGGAAGAAAAGAAAAACAUCUAAUCUGCGAGGUAGAUAAUCAAAAUUUGUUGAGUGAUACAAAAUAAAAGAAAAUGCAAUAUAAAAAAAGAAACUAACAAAGUGAAAGAAAUAGAAGGUUUACGCGUGUUAGACGUUCAUUAAUCUUAGAGAGCUAGUCUUAGAUUUUUAAUUAGGCAAUGAAACGAUGUGUUUUAAUUUUAAUAAGGAAAGUUUAAAUAAGAGUGAUGAUAGAGCCACAAACUCUUGUACAAAAUUAUAUUGUACAAACUGAUGUAGCAUUAAUUCAUUGGUUGAAUGAAAAUACAAAAUAACAAAAAUAAAUCAUGUGGGCCAAUAGAUAUUUAAUUCAACCAAUUGUAUUAUGCCACAUCAAUUUGUACAAGAUAAGUUUGUACAAAAGUUUGUGGUUGUAUCAUUACUCUUAAAGAAGGAAUUAGCCUUAGAAAGGUAUAAAUGAUUGUGUCGUGAUCUUAUACAAAAUUUAAGAAAGAUUAGAAUAGUCGAAGAUCCAAAUCUCUUUAUCUAUUAUAUUUAUUCGUUUAAAUACUAACAAGGAGAUUAAAGUUACUGUCAACAUUUAUUAUAAGGUUUCCAAUUGAAAUGCUUAAACACAAUUGAUUUUCGAGCAAAUAAACAUUUUUUAAUUUUUCUAUCAACCUUUCUGAAAUUCUAAGAACGAGCGCACAAUGGUCCAGGUAAAAUACCCAGGAGUGAUAACUAAAAAAUGACAUAAAUAUAAAUCAUACAUACCUUGGAGUCUGUUUUGGUCAGAUAUAAAUACUUAAGCUUGGUCAAAUUGCCGAUUUCUUUUGGUAUGUCUCCUGAGAAGUCAUUCAUCAACAAAGAUAAUGUUUGUAGAUGUUUGCACCUUGAUAAAGUCGAUGGGAUUUUGCCGUCAAAGUCGUUUACUUCUAAGAUGAGGAUUUCCAGAAAAGGAAGGUUGUUGCAAAUAUUUGGCGGGAGUUCACCUGGCACCAAAUAAUAUAUUAUAUUCAAAAUGAAUAUUAUCUAGUAAAGAAAACUUGCAUAAGAUGAACGAAGAUAUUGGACCGGAAAGCUGGUUGUAGCUAAGAUAAAGUGUUUGAAGUGAAGAUGGAUUCCUAGUUGAGAAGGAAUGAUGCAUGUUAAGAAAUCAUUUGUUAGCGAUGGCAUCACAAAUUAUAUUAUAUAAAGAUAAGCAGUGAUUUCAUGCCAAAUAUUUUAUGUUGACGUCACUAAUGCAUAUAAUUAGCAAAGACUACCUGUCAAUUUAUUAACUGACAAAUCCAAAUUCGAUAGAGAAGAAAGAUUGAAGAUUGAUGAAGGGAUGGUUCCAGUUAACAAAUAAUUAUUUUGUAGCCAUAACGUCUCUAAUUCUGCAAGAUUUCCGAGCUCCUCCGGAAUUUCUCCUAAAAAUCAUGAUUAACAUAUGCGUUAACUAUUUUAACUUAUUAACUGGUGUUCAAUAAGAAAAAAAUGAAAUAAAAAAUGUUUUUGCCUAAAAAAAGAUAAAAAAACAAUUUACUCACAUAAUUAAAGAUUUAUAGGCUAACAGGAUUAAUAAAAGUGAGACAUUACCAAUUUUCAUCAAUUAAUUAAACUCAUUGAUCAUACCUUCGAGUUGGUUCAAUCGAAGAUAUAGCCUCAUAAGCUUUGUCACGUUGCCAAUUUCUUUUGGUAUGGUCCCAGAAAAAUCAUUGAGCGAUAAAGAUAUCUCUCGCAGCCGUUUGUAGCUUGAUAAAGUGGAUGGUAUCUUGCCAUAAAACAUGUUACUUUUAAGAAAUAGCGAUUCCAAAUGGGAAAGGUGAUUGCAAAACCAUGUUGAAGAUAGAAAGUAAAGAAGACAUGUUGAAGAUAGAGGCGGGAAUGGAACCCGAAAACCAAUUAAAACUGAGAUCAAGUGUUUGAAGAGACGAAAGAUUCCCAAGUUCAGAAGGGAUAGUGCCAGUGAGAGCUAACCCAGACAUAUUCAAGGCUGUGACUCUACAAGUACGGACAUCACAAGUGACGCCCGUCCAAUUACAGACAGAGCUACUUGUGUUCCAAUUUCUAGCCAAGAAAUUGGCUGGAUCAUCAGUUACAUGACCUUUGAGGGCAAGAAGGGCUUGUUGGUCUGUGGUAAUACUUGUAGUGUUGGCUGAUGCAAUCAUGAAGCAAUGGAGUAAGAGAAAUCUGAUCAUCAUCCGGGCAGAAGGAAUUCUUUCCAUGAGACUAGAAUAUUUAGAUUGUAAGUGUGUGCUUAAUUGGAUUGAUAAUGCAAGAACACUCAUAGCUGCUUCCAAGUAUAUAUAAUGAAACCGAAAUUUCGAAGAAGCAGCAAGAAAGAAAAUAGAGGAGUGAAAAAACUAUGCUCAUAACUUGUUGAAAGGUGCAAUAAUUUUAUGUGGACCCGCUGCGUCAAGCCAGUCCUUUAGGUCCGCACUCAGGAUGAUUGCAGUAAGUUUUGUUUUCCUUUAUAAUCAUCCAAUUAAUUUAUCACAAAAUAGUUCUACUCAUUAAAAAUAUAUAUAUAUAUUCUCCAUACAUAGUAACAGGACAUAUAAUGCUCCAAGAAACUCAAAUUUUUAGAUAAGUUGAAUUUAUAUUUCUAUAUGCUUUUUCUGAAUUUGAGAUAAUUUACUAGUUCUGAAAAAAAUUGUAUGAACCGGUGGUGUCACUUUCAUCAAAGUAUUGGCCGUUGGGUAAAAAAGUUCGGGUCAAUGAGGACGUUGUAAGUUGAUGACAAAUUGCCUAAGUCAAUAAAAGAAGAGACAAUGAAACCGAUUAUUAUUUUUAUAUAAGUAUUCAUAUUCAUUGAAGGAAUUUAACAGUUCUCAAUGGGACAAUAGAUGUUUAAGCGUUUUUGCUAUUGGUAUGAUCAUUCAAGGAUUUACAAGUGCCAAUAAAAAUAUAACCAAAAAGGAAAAAAUAUGUGGCUUCAAUUGUAUUUGUGAGGGACACUCAUUUCUGAUCUUUAACUUGAAUUGGUUUUUUUUUUUUUCCUCCAAAUUAUGAAUAUCUCAUGUGGAAAUUGGAAAUUUGUAUCACCUAUGAUUGGCUAAUAUGGAAAUUCUCUUUGAGCAAUAUAUAAUUCUCUUUUAAGAAGAAGUUAGUGGCCUGUUAAUUAUGCGUGCUUUAUGGGCUACAAUUAGCACUAUUUUCAUUUCACUUUUAUUAGGGAUGAUGACAGAACUAAAUUUUUAAAAUUUUCUCCGAAAAAUUUUUUUUUUUGCAAAGGCGUCAUGUGCAUGCAAUCCUACAGAAUUUCGUAACUAAUAAUAAACUUGCAAGAGAUUGAGAUUGAACGAUGAUGAAAUACAGAGCAAAUGCAAGAGCAAAAGAAAGAAAACUCGUUUUUUUUAAAAAAAAAUAAUGCUUAUAUUACUUUUAUUUGCGAAAAUUUUCAAAACAUAAUAGUUAAUUCAUACAUACAGAGUAAUGAAAAAGCUGUUCAAUAGCAAGAGCUUUGUUUAUUAGGAUUUUAACAUUACCCUGUUAUUUGAUUAAAAAAAAUUGUAAAAUAUGGUUUAGUUCUUAUAUUUUAAUUUAGGAGUUUAUUUAAUUUUUAUAUAUUGAAAAAUACUUCAAAAUACUUCUCUUAUUAAAUAUAUUAGGUUCCAACCAUUAAUAUUUUCGUUUUAAUGGUAAUACCUUACAAUAACAAUCUUGGAGAUAUUAAUGAAAAAAAUUAAUUCAUCAAAUUAGCCUAAAAAAAUAAAAAUUAAUGUAAUUUUUUAUGUUAUUAUUUUACUUUUAGGAUUAAUUUGAUAAACUAAAUUUUUUUAUACAAUUAUUAGUAAGAUUAUUGCAAUGAUAUUAAAUAUUACUUUCAGUUAGUUGAUAUUAAUUUAUUUUAAAAUAGUUAUUUGUCAAAUUCUAGUUAAAGUACAAAAAAUACUAUUUCUUUCAUACUGAUAUUUAUUGAUUAAUUUGGUAUUUAAUAAUUAGUUAACUUGCUAUUAAAUUUUUUUUAGAUAAAUUAAUUAAUAUUAAGAAUAUUGUUGACAGGGUACCAUUAUAAAGGUAAAGAAAAAGUAAAGAUAAGAAUAUAAUAUAUUUAAUAAUAAUAGUAUAUUGAAGUACUUUUUAAAAUAUAAGAAUUAAAUGAGUAUUUCAAUCAAAAUACAAAAACUAAACAAGCAUUUACUUGAUAAAAAAUCAUAAAAGUUGAAUGUUUCAAAAUUUUGACACCCAAGACUUAUCUAUUAAAAGAGGUCAUGAGAAUUAAAACUUAGAUGAAACAGUGCCGUAACGUUAUCACAGAGACAUGCUGAGAUUUUCCUAUUUUCAAAUUUAAAUUUGACACGCAUAAGAGAUAGCGAUGGUGAGAGUGGGACUGCCCACUUAGAAUUUAAAUUUAAUUGCACGGUCCCAUUCUCUCUCUCAUAUUUUUCGUAUUCUCUUUCAAGAAGAGUAAAUUAGCGGCCCAUUGAAUAGUGUUUAUGCGUGCUUUAUGGGUUAUAACAUUUUUGUCGAUCCUUAGCUCGACUCAAAAGUCAUGAAUUGCAAAGCCAAUGUAACAGAAGACAAUCGGGUAAUGACUAAUUAAGUAUUUAUGAUGGAGUGACACUCGCAAGUGCUUCUAAGUAUUUAUGAUGAAACCUAAAUUUCUCUCCACGUGAAAGAGAAAAAUCAGAAAAUAGAGGAGAGAAAUUAAAGCGAGAAAAGAUUCCUCUCCACGUGACAACAAACGUUGAAAUGUUUUUGCUAUUCGUUUGAUGCUUCGAGGAUUCACAGGUGCCGAUACGUCCAACAAAAUUCCGCGGCUUGAAUAGUAUUUGUUAGGGGCACUUGUUUCUGAUCUUUUAACUUGAAUUAAAUUUUGUCGAUAUAAUUUUAGACUGAAGAAAUCAGUGGCCCAUCGGUUAAUUGUGCGUGCUUUAUGGGUUAUAACAUUUUUGUCAAUAGUCAACCCAACUCAGAAAUUACGUGUUGCGACGUCAAUGAAAGGGAAGUCAAAGUCAAUGAAAGCGAAAACAGCAAGACAUUGACUAAUCAUAAUAUGGUGGGACACUUAAGUAUCAUUUGGGAUUAAAGUAGAAAUUUAAUAAAUUUCUUAUUUCAUAAUUCUUUAUAAAAAUAAUAUUUAAUAAAUUUUGUAAAAAUUAUUUAUUUCAUAAUUUUUUUUAUUUUACUACAGUUUUUAAAAAUAAGUUGAGAUUUACUUAUCAAAAGUAACUUAAAAUAAGCCACCACAAUUUUUCAAAAUUUCUGUUAUAACAUUAAUAAUUUAACAAAAAAGAUAAUUAUGUCUUAUUUUUUUCAUACACUUUAAUACAUAAGUUAUUCGUAUCAUAUUACCACCACAAUUUACUAUCGCAACUAAUUUGAGUUCUCUCCAGUAUCAAAAUUUUGAUUUAGUAAGUUCAUAUUUUUUUAUAUUUUAAUAUUAUUUUCUAUUAUAAAAUAAUGAGACUUAUACAUGAUUACACAAAUUUUUUAAACAAUGAACAAGUUCAUGUGAAAGUUAACCAUAAGUCUUAAAAUCAAAUUCAUGACUAUAGUUUUUAACGUUCAAUCUAUUUAUAUUUUUUCUAUAGUCACGGUAAUCAUUGCAACAAGUUGAUUCUCUGCUUUUAAGAGUCUUGUUACAAUUUCCUUUGCAUUGAUUCUCUGCUUUGGUGAUUCCACAGUAACGCUCUAUAGCGAAAUUGAAGACAAAUGACAUGAACUUAGCAAUUUUGCACCAACAACUUCCAUAAUUGAAUUGGGUAGCAUAUCAUUAACCCAAUGUUGUGCAAAUUUUAAUGUACUCGCAAGCGCACGAAUCUAUUGUAGUAUAGACUAAUGUUGACGAGUGUCGAUCCCACGAGAAGGUGGAUUUUAAUUGUGUAUAGAAUUAAUUUUAUAAAUCGGGGAUUAGAUUUGUGGUGGAAAUAAUUUGGAAUAUGCUAAAACUUAAAUUAAAAUGGCGAGAAUAAAUUCUAAAAUUGGAAUUAAAAUGACGAGAAUAAAUUGAAGAGAAUUCUAUUCAAAUGAAGUACUUGGGUAUCUGGAUCCGUAUCAACAUGCAUCAUGGGCUAAAUAAUCCUUAUUAAUGACAAUUAAAUCAUGAGGGGGGAAUCCACACCUCAUGAACCACGCUCUAAUCAAUAUGGUGCUAAAGGCUUAUCGUGCCAAAUAAUAAUAACCUUGUACUAGAGAGCCGGUGUAACCAAGGCGGUAUCUAGACAAGAUCAGUAUUAUUUGUCCAUGAAAAGUCAAAUCAUCCACAAAAACUAGAGGAAAAAGAAAAUAAAUUUACCAAAUAAAGCGCAUGACACAUGUUGAGACUUCACCUUCAACCCAAGCUUGAAAGAAAAUUAGCCACUCAUAAUUGAACUAAGGGCAAAAUGGAAAUUUAUUAAAAUACGUAGAAAAUACAAGAUGGAGAGGGAAUUACAGAAAAUGGAUCCCAAAAAUGGAUUCAGAACUAUCAAAUUAGGGGGGGAGGCUCCCUUUUUAUAGAUACAUGGAGUAAAUCAUGGCCAUCGGAUUAAAAACAGUUUGGACGCUCAGGAUUGCGCCACGUCAUCAGUCAACAGUACUCGGUUUGACCACGUGGAUGAACAGUAACACAGUUUGACCCGGAUGAACAGUAAUGCGGUUUGGUUGAAAAUAAUCAUGUGUGAUGCAUGUACCGUACGCGAGAUUUUUCGUCCGCUGAUAUGCUGCCACGUCACCAUCAACAGUACAUAAGAAUUUUAGCCCAAUAGGAUCGUGACACCUCAUCAGUCAAUGCCACAUCAUCGGUAAAUGCCACGUCAUCGUCCGUCUAUGUGAACAGUGUCGUGAACAGUAACGUAUACAGUACCGUACAUGUGAAUAGUGCCAUUUUUUCUUUUAUGCUCCUCCUAAGGUUUUUGACCGUCCUGAGUUCAAAAGUGAUGUCUGUUUUGCCAUCUGAUCUCUCGUUUAUUGUGAAAUGACUAUGAUGCCCCUAAAAUACAUAAAAUACUUAAUUAAAAUCAAGCAAACAUAAUUAAAUUGCAAAAAGCUUAAAUACAUAAAAGUAAUGGUUGUUAGUAAAACUUGAAAUGUAAAAUGAUGAUUUUCUCCUUUAUAAAUAUGCAUUUUCUAACACUCAACACACCCCUCAACCAGUUUAUUGCUAGUCCCUAGCAAAUAAAGUGAAAACGAAAUUCAAAUCCAAAAUGAUUUUUUUUUUUAAUAGAAACACUCGUGUUUAUUCAAUCAGAUUAAUGAUAACAAUCAAAUAAAAGUAUAAGCAUUAUCUCCAGCCUAAAGAAACAUUACACCCACAUCAACCAUCCACAUGAAUCAGCCCAGUAGACUUUGUUAUAGCUACUUUCAAGAAUGACAUGUCAAACCCCAAAAUCUCACUGGAAUUAGUGACACUCUCACAAAAAAAUUAAACCCAAUAAAAAUAGUCACUCCAAUGAAUGGUAAUUGAGAGAAAAUAAUAAAGCAGUGAUAUCACAUGCUCUCACCAAGAUGAAAGAAAUAUGCCCUCAGCUUAGAAAUAAUACGAUCUCAAGUCAAACAAAAAUGCUAGUCAACCCAUUUUAUUUAUCUCUUUUUUUUUAUUAUUAUGCACCACUACAUCUUUUUAGCCCAUAUAACUAGCUUCUACUUCAAACUAUAGUUCCCUAAAAUCAAGAAGGACUUUUAUUAGGACGUAACGUAGGCUAGGGACAUGGCUAACACAGAAGGGAAAUAAGGAAAACAAAGUGUAUGUUUGAGAAAAAUGCAGAGAUUUUUUUUUUUUUUUUGAAGUUGCAAGGUGUAUUUCACCUGUUGUUGUUAUUUUUAUUCUUUUGAAACAACAACUUUUGUUUUGUUAUUUUUUUUUUUUUUUUAGCAUAACUUCACUGAACAAAAUAAUUAUUUACAUCUUCUCAAACAUAAAUAGGUGAUGGAACUUAUAAGACAUCGGGUAAUACUCCAAAUCGGAGUGGGUCAAGAUGAUAAGUUGACAAAGAAAAGCAGAGAUUUUUUUUUUUUUUAAAAGGCUCAAAAGGGGUAACUAUGGAUAUUUAAUAAAAGGCAUGGCUAGAAAGGCUCAAACGAAUCAAAGAUGGCAUUUCCAUCGUCUUUUAGGACUCUAAAUAAUUAUCCAUAUCUACUAGUUAGAUGGGCCUCCCAAUGUAGCAACACACAUUUUUUUUCUUUUUUUUUUAAUUUUACCAUUUUUUUUAAAGGGUUAACUCAAAAGAAAUCUAGAGAUCGUGUAUAAAAUAAUAAACUGCUAAGCUAUAUAGAGAAUGGGCAAAAGGGUUACUCUCCAAGAAAAUGAUAGGCUCAACAACUCACUUGGCACUUAUUUAUGACAUGUUCAUUCCUUCAAGCAACUCAUAUUUGUCUCCGACAUCAACAUGUAAAGUAGCAAACAUAGUGUAACAUCACUUAAGACCAAAGAUAAUACAAAUACUAAAAUUUGAAAUUAAUCAUGUCAUCCAAUGUUAAAACAAAUAACACAAUUUUUUUUUUAAACAACAUUCUACCCCCCAACAUAUUCUAAACAUGAAAGGAAAAUAUGCAUGCAGAAAUAUGAAAAUGAUGCAUAAAAAUUAAUUAGAAAAGUUACACUUAAAAUGAUAGAAAACGAAAAUGGUUUUUUUUUUUUUUAACUUAGAAGAUGCGUUUCUAGAGGCACUACUCUCCAUAUUCAGCUAUCUUCGACUCAAAAGUUGGAAAAUGUAUAUUCAUAGAGGAGAAAUUAAAAAGAAGAAGAAAAAUGAACAUAAAAACUUAAUAAAGAAAAAAAAUGUCUAAAUUUUUUUUUUGAAUUUUUUUUUUAAACGAUGAAGAUGCGUUUCCAGAGGCACUACACUCCAUAUUCAGCCAUCUUUAACACAAAACGUUAGCAACAGUUAGUUUCUACAAUAAAAAAAAUCAAUAAAAACUUAACCAAGAUUCCACAAUUGUCGACUAUUCCCUCCCCCCAACCAGAACGAAACAUUGUCUUCAAUGUUUUAAAGGAAAGAAGUAGAGUUUAGAAGACAUCACCUGGGUGGUGCAACACAGAAGAAAAUAUUUACAAGCGGAGAGUUAAAUCUAAUUUGUACUUCUUACUGCGGCUACUGUUACCAUCAUUAUUUGGGCGCUCCAACACAAAGGUCCAGGGGUCUGGCUCCGGUUUAUAAGCUUGUAACAGAUCAAGUAACUCAUUAGUAGUGUGAGCACAAAUAAAAAGUUUUUUUACAUUAGAAGGAAUGAAAUAGUUUUUUAUUGCAUGGUUAAGAAAUGCGAUAAAGCCAUCAUAAAAGUUAUUGACAUUUAACAAACCGAUGGGUUUCUGGUGAAUGUGUAGAUGGGCCCAAGAUGCUAGUGUCAUAAGUGCCUCUAGUGUUGCAAGAUCUCCUGGAAGGAAAAUAAAAGCAUCAGCAUGAUUAAGCAUUUCGGUUAUUCUUUCUUGCAUACCUGAGACGACUAACUCUUCUCCAGUUGAUGAGUCAGACGAACUGCCCAAUGGUUUUAGGACUCUUGGGAUGAUGCCUAACACUUGACUUCCUCUAAUAAAAGCUGCUUCUGAGACCAUUUUUUAUAACCAUCGGUUACCUCCUCCAUACACCAAGUGUAAUUUUCUUGCUGCUAUGCUUCGACCAAGAUCUAUGGCUGCCUCCACGAACUCUUUAUGUUUGCCAUAGGUAAAUCCAGAAAGCACACAAAUGUUCUUGAAUUGUUUAUUGGGAGUAGCUGCCAUUGUGAUACUUCUCAAAAACAAUUUGUGAGUGCUUGACAAAAAUUAAAUCACAUUUAAGAAUCUUGGUGACAGUGGAUCACAGCUGUGAAUGAGGUAACAUGUCAGUGUCAAAUAACGCGUAAAACACAUGGCUCGCGAGUCAAAAAGGAAACAGUAAAAAGAAAAAGAAAUAAUGAUAAAAUAAAAUUAUUAAAGACAAUAAUGCAAAAGAUAAAAUAACAGUGAAGUAAAAGGGUAUUUACAGGUAGUUGCGACUGUGGCUCACAUCUUCUUCUGGUUUUACGUCCAGAAACGGCUUGAACGCCCUCUAUGGGUCGAGGAUGGGCUUCCCAUCCAGUUUUCUUAUAAACUGGCAAACAGGGUCAUUUAUAGUCAGAUUCCCGAGACUAUAUCGUGCAUGCUCUUUCUGGAAUAAUGGCCAUAACUAGAGAAUCGCUCCUUGCACAUAUCCACUGGGAUGCGUUUCAAGAGACAGAAGGAUAUCAUCCAAUGACUCCUUAUUCAAGCCAUCCCUAAUGAAUUGAAUCUUAUCUUCCCUGUUAUCAGACACCAUUCCUAAAGAACAUGGGUUUUUAUCGCAACUCAUUCUGGCACACUUAUGACAAGCAACAGAAAUUCUUCGAGCUCGUCAUUUUCUUGCAUAAUUUCCUUUACCACAACCAGACAUGUAAGCAAUAAAUUUUGGAGGUAACUCACCUGCCGAUCGUACUUUAGCCUCGAUUAACCAACGGAUGGCAGCAGGUAUGUUAUUCCUUAUGAGUAAUCCCAUGCGUUCGAACCGAGCUUUAUAGAUCGUAAGAAGGGCAUUCUGAGAAAGUGAAGAGAAUCGCUUGUGAAGCUUCGCUAGAAUCUCGUUUCUAUCCAUACUUUCGCCUCAGAAUGUCAGUUAUUAUAGGAAACUGAAGUAACCGACUUGAUUGUCACGGAGUACCGUUAUUCGCCACUUCAUCGGGGUAACAAACUAAAGCACACAAACAGAAAAACAAAUUAAAACACACAAAGAAAAUUAAAAUCGUCCUCUUAUUGAAUUUACAUCAAGCUCCAACUGGAUGUCGUAAACACUUCUCUCAAUAUCUCGGAGUUGGCUUUCUAGAUUCUCAACAUAGGCUACUAACUCUGGUGGUUGUAGAGCCCAAAUGCGUUGUGUUUUACAAAAUUGAAUCUGCCUUUUGAGAUGAGUUUUGACACGUUGAAGUGGUUUAAGAAUGUUCAGGAGGAACGGUCUAAGUAUGGUACUCAUGAUUAAAAAUGAUAAGAGAAAACUUAAUAGUUUAAACAAACACACUUAUGCAAAAAUAAUUUCAAUUAGCAAAAGAAUAAUAAAAAGAAAGAAAGAAAAAUCAAAUCAACGAAAAGAAAAAACAAAUCAAUUCAAAUCUGGUGGGUCACUCAAAUUUAUUUCGGUGUCUUCGCUAUGUGGUUGGUAUUCUAGAUAUAGCUUUAAUCUUUGACCAUUAACUUUAAACGUGACACCGUUCUUUGGGUCCUUAAUUUCAAUUACCCCAUGUGGAAAAACAGUAUGAACAAUAAAGGGACCAGACUAUCGAGAGCGUAACUUACCUGGGAAUAGGUGCAAGCGAGAAUUGAAUAAAAACACUUUCUGACCUGGAGUGAAAGAUUUUCUCAUAAUGUGCUUGUCAUGAAAGACUUUCAUUCGUUGCUUGUAAAUUUUGGCAUUUUCGUAUGCAUAAUUGUGAAUUUCUUCAAGUUCUGCCAGUUGUAAUCUUCUUUUUGAGCUGGCUUGCUGCAUGUCAAAGUUGAAUUUCUUGAUGGCCCAAUAUGCACGAUGCUCGAGUUCCACAGGUAGGUGGUAAGCUUUUCCAUACACUAGCCUAUAGGGUGACAUUCCAAUCGGGGUCUUGAAAGCCGUUCUAUAUGCCCAUAAUGUAUCAUCAAGUCUUAAUGACCAAUCUUUUCUGUCUGGCCUCACCGUCUUUUCUAAUAUGUGCUUUAUUUCUUGAUUGGAGAUCUCAACUUGGCCACUGGUUUGCGGAUGAUAUGGGGUCGCCACUUUGUGAGUGAUUGAAUACUUUGUCAAAAGAGCUUUGAAUGCUUUGUUACAAAAGUGGACACCACCAUCACUGAUUAUCGCUCGAGGGAAUCCAAAGCGUGAAACAAUGUUGCUUUUCAAAAAUCCUAUCACCACCUUGUGAUCAUUGGUUCUACAUGGAAUUGCUUCCACCCAUUUCAAUACGUAGUCAACACCAACCAAUAUGUAUUGAUGGCCAAAAGAAGGGGGAAAGGGUCCCAUGAAGUCGAUACCCCAUACAAAAUCUCAACCACUAAAAUUGGAUUUAGUGGCAUCAUGUUCCUUCGUGUAAUGCUCCCCAUUCGUUGACACCUAUCACAUGAAGAACAGAAAGUGUAAGCGUCUCGAAAUAUAGUUGGCCAAUAGAAACCACAUUGUAAAACUUUAGUCACUGUUUUCUUAGCACUGAAAUGGCCUCCACAAGCUUGUUCAUGGCAGAAUGAAAGAAUAUUCUGAAUUUCAUUUUCAGGGACACAUCGUCUAACAAUUUGGUCUGCACAAUACUUGAACAAAUAUGGGUCAUCCCAAAAGAAAUUCUUUAUUUCCGCAAAGAAUUUAGCCUUGUCUUGCUUGGUCCAAUGCUCUGGAAGUUUACCUGUAACAAGAUAAUUAACUAUAUCAGCAUACCAAGGUAAUACUUCCACACUCAUUAAUUGUUCAUCUGGAAAUGACUCAUUCAAUAUUAAUGGCUCUGUAAUUGUGUCAAAAUGGAGACGAGAGAGGUAGUCCGCCACAACAUUUUCUGUCACUUUCUUAUCUUUGAAUUCCAAGUCAAAUUCCUGCAAAAGUAACACCAACGAAUUAGUCUAGCUUUUGCAUCUUUCUUUGUGAGAAGAUAUUUAAGAGCAGCAUGAUCUGUGAACACAAUUAUUUUACAACCAAUGAGAUAAGAUCAAAAUUUUUCUAAUGCAAACACUACUGCUAGCAUUUCUUUUUCAGUAGUUGAAUAGUUCAACUGUGCAUCAUUCAAUGUCAUACUAGCAUAGUAAAUAACAUGGGGAAUUCGAUCAACUCUUUGUCCUAAUACUGCUCCUACUGCAUAAUCAGAUGCAUCACACAUGAGCUCAAAUGGUAAGCUCCAAUUUGGGGGCUGAAUGAUGGGUGAUGAUGUCAACAAUUGCUUUAAUUUUUCAAAAGCCACAAGACAUGAAUCAUUAAAGAUAAAAUGUACAUCCUUAGCAAGUAGAUUGCAUAAGGGUUUAGAAACUUUGCUAAAAUCUUUAAUGAAACGUCUAUAAAAACCAGCAUGCCCAAGGAAAGAUCUUACUUAUCUGACUGUUUUGGGUGGAGGAAGAUUAGAAAUGAGAUCCACCUUGGCUUUGUCAACCUCAAUACCUUUGCUCGAAAUGAUGUGACCGAGAACAAUACAUUGUUUUACCAUAAAAUGACACUUCUCCCAAUUUAAGACCAAGUUCUUUUCGAUACAUCUCUGUAGAACUAAUGUUAGAUGAUGUAAACAUUGAUCAAACGAGUCACCAAAGACAGAAAAGUCAUCCAUAAAGACUUCAAGGAAUCGUUCAACCAUAUCAGAAAAAUACUUAACAUGCAUCGUUAAAAUGUAGCAGGUGCAUUACAUAAUCCAAAUGGCAUUCUCCUAUAUGCAAAAGUGCCAAAAAGGCAAGUGAAAGUAGUUUUCUCUUGAUCUUUUGGUGCUAUGGGAAUCUGAUUAUAUCCUGAGUAGCCAUCUAGAAAGCAAUAAAAUUCAUAACCUGCUAAUCUAUCAAGCAUUUGAUCGAUAAAUGGUAAAGGAAAAUGGUCUUUACGUGUGACAGAAUUCAACUUUCUAUAAUCAAUGCAUACACGCCAUCCUGUAGUUACUCUAGUUGGUAUCAAUUCAUUAUCAGCAUUCGUAACUACUGUGACUCCUGACUUUUUAGGGACAACUUGUAUAGGACUGACCCAUGAACUAUCAGAAAUUGGGUAAAUGAUACAUGCGUCUAAUAGCUUAAGGACUUCGGUUCUAACAACUUCUUUCAUAUUAGGAUUUAACCGACGUUGCAUUUCCCUAGUAGAUUUAGCAUUUUCAUCGAGGUGAAUGUAAUGAAUGCAGUCUACUGGGUUUAUACCUUUUAUGUCCGCUAUGGUCCAUCCUAAUGCUCCUUUGUGCUCUUUUAAAACAUCCAACAACUUACAUUUUUGUUCGUCAUUUAGGGAUGAUGAGAUGAUUACCGGUAAAGUACUUUCUUCUCCCAAAAAUGCAUAUUCCAAUGUGUUGGGCAAUGGUUUGAGCUCGAGUUUCGGUGGUGAUUCUGAUGAUGGGAUGAGUUUCUUCUCUGAUGGUGCUAGUUGUUCAACUCUUGACUUCCAUUUAUUAGUGUCCAUGGAUGGUGCUAAGUCAAGUAGAGCGUUGACCUCAUCGACCGAUCUGUCAAUAUCAAAAUCCAAACCAAAGUGAGUUAAACAUGUUUGUAAAGGAUCAUCACUAAGGUGUGAAAGAAAAGUAUUAUCAACUAUUGUUUCUAUUAAAUCCACAUCAACAAUUCCAUCAUCUGCACUGUGAGGUUGUUUGGCAAUGUUGAAAAUAUUUAGCUCCAUAGCCAUGUUGCCGAAGGACAACUGCAUAUUUCCGGUCCUGCAUUGAAUAUGAGCAUCUGCAGUUGCCAAGAAAGGUCGGCCUAGAAUAAUGGGGAUGUGCUUCCUUGAAUCAUGUAUUGGUUGAGUGUCAAUUACAAUGAAAUCAACAGGAAAAUAAAACUUGUCUACCUGGAUAAGCACGUCCUCCACAAUACCACGAGAUAUUUUUGUGGACCGAUCUGCAAGCUGUAACACCACUGGAGUUGGGUGUAAUUCUCCCAGUCCAAGUUUCAUAAGUUAUUAGUAUCAUAUUACCACCACAAUUUACUAUCGCAACUAAUUUGAGUUCUCUCCAGUAUCAAAAUUUUGAUUUAGUAAGUUCAUAUUUUUUUAUAUUUUAAUAUUAUUUCUAUUAUAAAAUAAUGAGACUUAUACAUGAUUACACAAAUUUUUUUAAACAAUGAACAAGCUCAUGUGAAAGUUAACCAUAAGUCUUAAAAUCAAAUUCAUGACUAUAGUUUUUAACGUUCAAUCUAUUUAUAUUUUUUCUAUAGUCACGGUAUUCAUUGCAACAAGUUGAUUCUCUGCUUUUAAGAGUCUUGUUACAAUUUCCUUUGCAUUGAUUCUCUGCUUUGGUGAUUCCACAGUAACGCUCUAUAGCGAAAUUGAAGACAAAUGACAUGAACUUAGCAAUUUUGCACCAACAACUUCCAUAAUUGAAUUGGGUAGCAUAUCAUUAACCCAAUGUUGUGCAAAUUUUAAUGUACUCGCAAGCGCACGAAUCUAUUGUAGUAUAGACUAAUGUUGACGAGUGUCGAUCCCACGAGAAGGUGGAUUUUAAUUGUGUAUAGAAUUAAUUUUAUAAAUCGGGGAUUAGAUUUGUGGUGGAAAUAAUUUGGAAUAUGCUAAAACUUAAAUUAAAAUGGCGAGAAUAAAUUCUAAAAUUGGAAUUAAAAUGACGAGAAUAAAUUGAAGAGAAUUCUAUUGAAAUGAAGUACUUGGGUAUCUGGAUCCGUAUCAACAUGCAUCAUGGGCUAAAUAAUCCUUAUUAAUGCCAAUUAAAUCAUGAGGGGGGAAUCCACACCUCAUGAACCACGCUCUAAUCAAUAUGGUGUUAAGGGCUUAUCGUGCGAAAUAAUAAUAACCUUGUACUAGAGAGCCGGUGUAACCAAGGCGGUAUCUAGACAAGAUCAGUAUUAUUUGUCGACGAAAAGUCAAAUCAUCCACAAAAACUAGAGGGGAAAAGAAAAUAAAUUUACCAAAUAAAGCCCAUGACACAUGUUGAGACUUCACCUUCAACCCAAGCUUGAAAGAAAAUUAGCCACUCAUAAUUGAACUAAGGGCAAAAUGGGAAUUUAUUAAAAUACGUAGAAAAUACAAGAUGGAGAGGGAAUUACUGAAAAUGGAUCCCAAAAAUGGAUUCAGAGCUAUCAAAAUAGGGGGGGAGGCCCCCUUUUUAUAGAUACAUGGAGUAAAUCAUGGCCAUCGGAUUAAAAACAGUUUGGACGCUCAGGAUUGCGCCACGUCAUCAGUCAACAGUACGCGGUUUGACCACGUGGAUGAACAGUAACACGGUUUGACACGGGUGAACAGUGACGCGGUUUGGUUGAAAAUAAUCCUGUGUGAUGCAUGUACCGUACGCGAGAUUUUUCGUCCACUGAUAUGCUGCCACGUCACCAUCAACAGUACAUAAGAAUUUUAGCCCAAUAGGAUCGUGACACCUCAUCAGUCAAUGCCACAUCAUCGGUAAAUGCCACGUCAUCGUCCAUCUAUGUGAACAGUGUCGUGAACAGUAACGUAUACAGUACCGUACACGUGAAUAGUACCGUACAUGUGAAUAGUGCCAUUUUUCCUUUUAUGCUCCUCCUAAGGUUUUCGACCGUCCUGAGUUCAAAAGUGAUGUCCGUUUGGCCAUCUGAUCUCUCGUUUAUUGUGAAAUAACUAUGAUGCCCAUAAAAUACAUAAAAUACUUAAUUAAAAUCAAACACACAUAAUUAAAUUGCAAAAAGCUUAAAUACAUAAAAGUAAUGGUUGUUAGUAAAACUUGAAAUAUAAAAUAAUGAUUUUCUCCUUUAUAAAUAUGCAUUUUCUAACACUCAACACCCAACACUUUAAUGUCAUUUUUCCAUGAAAAAUUUCAUCUGUGAGUUUCUUCCAAUUGAAUGUUUCCAUUAUCAUUAUCUCAAAGCUGUAAACAUGCCCAUUUGUGGAUGCCUAUCCUUCUCUUCCAUACUCUAUGGAUUUCAAUAAUUACAUGGUAAGAUAAAAUAAUUAACAAUAGCAUGCUCAAAUGAAGAUUGUAAAAAUAAAUAACAUAUCAUAAAGUAUUAAAGAAAUAAAAAAAUUAAUGUAGAACAAACUCGGUGGUGGCAAGUGUUUGUGUUUGAGUCAAUGAUUAAUCUUCUCUGAGUAAGAGCUUUGCCAUGCCAAAAUCACUCAAAUGAGCAACCAUAUUAUUGUCUAGCAAAACAUUACUCGACUUUAAAUCACAAUGAAUUAUAGGUGUUGAAUGACCAAAGUUAGGGAUGGCAAUGGAGCAUAUAUGGAUUGGAUCUACAUUGCUCCAGAUUUAGAUCUGUAAUAAAAAUUAAGAUCCGUAUCUGCUCUAGAUCCAUCAUGGAUCUAUAUUUUUCGCUCCAUAUCUAGAUCCGAAACAAAAAAUAAAGAUCUAUAUCUGCUCCAAAUCCAAAAAGAAAAAUUAAAAUCCAAAUAUGCUUUAGUUCCAUCAUGAAUUCUGAAUCUCAAUAAUAAGAGAUCAAUAUUUUUUUAGAAAGAAAAUUUAAGACUAAAAUGCAUUGGUAACAAUUAAAUUAUAUAAUUUGUAUAAAAAAUCUAAUAAGUAUUGUAGCUUCUACUUUUACACCAAAAUAAACAAAUAAGAAAGAUAAUAAAAUAUCGAUCAAAAGUAAUUGCAGGAAUAAGAUCAUUAUAAUAUUAUAAUGUCUCCUUUACUAUCUUGAUAUCCAUUGCACACUAUCAUCAUUCCUAUAUCAUUAAAUAAUAACAUAUAAGUUAAAAAUGAUUUAUUAUAUUCAGUGCUUUAUUAUUUUUAUUAUGAUAAUAUUUAACUAAAUAUAUGAUUAACAUAAUUAUUUCAUAGUUGAUAGCCACCAUUGAUUAGUGAUUAUACAAAAUAAUUAAGAUUAUGAGAAAAUGAUAGCAAAACAAACUCAAGUUUAUGGAUUUUCGUAACAAUUAAAGAACUUAUCCAAGCAUUCAAAUGAAGUGGAGAAGCGAGAGCAGACUAAAGAGGAAUAAAUAGACUAAAUUGUAGAGUGAAAAACUUAAAAAAAAUUAGGCAGGCUAUCUUAAUUUUAUUUUACACUUGAUAAAUUUAUGUCUUAUUAUCAAUUAAGUACCUUUAAGUUUUAAGAUUCUUAAAUACAUGUUAAUGAAUAAAUUUUAUCAUCAUUUAUAAAUUUUAUCAUCAUUUAUAAUUACAUAAUUGUUUUUUUUAAAUAAAAUUACAUUAAAUGGUGAGUGGAUAUGGAUUUGGAUCUAGAUAUUAAGAUAAAUCCGAAUUUGCUCCAGAUCCACCUUAGAUCCACACAUCGAUAUCCAAAUCCAAUCCAAAUUCAUUUUAAUCCAACCCAAAUCCGAUCCAUUGCCAUCCUUAACCAAAGUGUAGAUAUACCACAGCUGAUGCAACAUCUAUCAUUAUGUUUGAUCUUUGAAAAAUAUCCAAAAUGUAGUUGCUUGUAUACAAACACUUACCCAGAUUUCCAUGAGGCAUGUAUUCUAAUACCAAUGCCUUAAAAUCAUCAUUUGAACAACUACUAAUGAUUUUGAUAAGGUUUUGAUGGUGAAUACUUUUCAUCAUAUUGCAUUCAACAUUAAGGUUCUUAAAUGCUCCUCCAUAUUGCAAGUUAAAAACCUUCACUACAACCUCCAUCCCAUCUUGAAUUCGUGUCUUGUAAAUAGAGCCAAAACCUCCUUUGCCGAUUAGAUUGUUUUAAUUAAAUCCGUUGUAGCUCGAAAAAGUUCUAGGUACGAAAACUUUCUCCAAGUUGCUACUGGUGGCAUAUUAGUAUCAUUUGGACUUUGGUAUUCGUUUUCCUCUCUUUCCAUAUCUCAAGAUCAACACAAUGAGUACUAUCAUAAAUAUAGUACUCAAUGGCAAGACAAUCCCUAGGAGAGGAUCAUUUUCCCUUGAUGUAUGGUGGAUUCUAGGCUUUUAAAUUUUUGAAAAAGCAUAAAAUACAAGUAGCUAGUGAAUAUUGCCCUUUUAUUUAUCAAGUUCAUGUGUCAUGUCUUGUCUUUUGAAUUUAAUGCCUUCUUUUAUUUGUUUUAUUACCCAAUUCGUUUAAAAUAAUCACAGUUAUGCCACUUUUUAAUUUAUAUAAUUUAGAAUAUUACCUUUAAGUUAGUAGAAUUAUCCAUUUUUUUAUUGGGAUUCGAGAUCUCGUCCUGAACCAUAUAGAGUUCAAUUCAAUAUAAAUUUUUUAAAAAUUAAUUUAAAAUUAGUUGAGAUUUGAUAUAAAAUUUUCCUAAUUUAUUAUUUAGAAUAUCUGAAAAUCUCAAUCAAACUAUUGAUUGCCUUGACUAUUGUUUUAAUUUUUAAUUAACUAAAUUAAAAAAAAUCAUUUAUCUUAAAAUAAACAAAAAUGAUUGACCCAAGCACGAAUCCAACAAAUUCACUACUUUGCAUUCACUUUUAGAGUUUAUUUAUUUAUUAUUUAUUUUUUUAGCGACAUUCAGUUUUUAAGUUUAAUUAAACUAAAUAGAUGAAGAAGAAAAUAAAUUAGUUUGUUGAUUUACAUAUUAAAUUUAGAUAAUGAAUGGAUAAAAUGGGGACGUUGGUAUUUAGAAUCGCAACUUGCAAUAUAAAGCAAGAAAAAUGUGAGAAUCACAAGUUUUACCAUUUCUCUCUUAUAUACAUAUCUAUUAGGAUGAGUUGAGCAGCUAUAUAACUCUUUAGUUCAAAUAAAAGAUAACAAAUUAACUUGUCAAACAAUAUAUAUAUAAUUACCAUGAUUUUUCAUUUGUUCGUUGGCUUUUGCACCUUGGUGCCGAAGCAACGAAGGACAUGGGGCAAUUGCUGGAUACGAAAAUCACCCGCAUCGAUUAGCUAUAAGAAGGCCCAAUGACCAAGCCCAACAGAAAAAUGACCAAAUGGAAGCCCAAUAUUGUUUCUACUCUUGACACACAAGACACAACAAAUGGAAUCUUCUUCAAGCAAGACUUAUUAAAAACACAUUUAUUAAUUUUAUUUCUUUUACUUUCAACAAAAAAAUUGAUAACAAAAUAGCUAGGUUGAGAAAUGUUGUCAAGGAGUGUGUGCAAAUUUUAAAAAAAAUUAUUAUUAUUAUUUUCAUAAAUUUAUUGAUUGUAUUUUCUAAUUAAAAAAGGAUAUUUUUAUGUCUAUAUAAUAUAUAUGAGGUUAUACGUGGAACUGUAUGAAAGAUCAAACUUUUCAAUAUUAAAUUUUACUAAAAAUAUAGUGUAGGAUUAGGUGAUUUUCACCUAAGAAAAUUUAAAAAAAAAUCACCAAACACCAUAAUUAGUUUUAAACUUCUCAAAAUUACUUUUGAGUCUCCUAUUUACUUCUCAAAAUAACUACUUAUUGUUGACAUGAAGGAAUAAUGUGAAAGUGCCUCUAUUGUAAAUUAAAUUUUUAUUAUUAUUAUAGUUGUUAUAGAACUUUAUUUCUUGUUAUACUCGUAAUACACUCAUAAAUCACAGCUUAUAAUAAUUUAGGUGGGGGUACAAAAACAAAAACCUUUAGGACAGAUUUGUUUGUUUUCAUCUUUACAACAAAAUCCAUUUUUAGAUGGACAAUUCCUCACACAAUCAGAAUCUUGGGUGCAACGAAUUGGUAACCCUCCGGUGUAGGCUUCAGCACUUGGUAACUCAAAGAUUGUGGUGCCUGCAAAUUGAGAUCAAUAAUUCAUGAUUAUAGAGAAAUGAAAUAAAAAGCGAAAUGUGUUAGUAAUUAGUAAAAAAAUAUACAAAGAGAGAGAGAUAUUUGGAACAUUGACUAACCAAAUGCAACGAUCAUGAGGACGACCAAGAAAGUUAGUUUAAACGAGACUUUCUCCAUUUGCUGUAAGAAAAAGAUUAUGCAGGAUGUGUUCUUUGAGUGGGAAAAAAAAAUUCUAAAAAAA
rnacentral:lncRNA from 1 species